rnacentral:lncRNA from 1 species
UUGAGGGAGAAUACUCUAUGAUAUGAUUAAGAAUCUCUAUCCAGAGUAUGAAUGAGAUUUAGGAAGUCGUUCCAAAUCACAUUCAAGGUAAUCAUAUAAGCACACGAAUCACAAUGGAUAGUAGACAUGAAUAAACUAUCAAACCAAACAAUGUGGUCAAGAGUAUUGUAUUAGAGAAAGACCGUAUUGCAUUUGUAAUCCUAAACUGAAUAGGUUCUCCACCUCUUCUGAUUAGCUUGGGUAACCAUGAUAUGCUGCUAGGUGUCACUCAUGGUUUGUGGAAGCCCUAAACGUGUAUAAUCACUAAAGGGAGAAUUGAAAGUAAGUUUCAAUUCACAAUCGAUUUGAAAUGGUUUUAAUCGCCCAUUGCCUCGCUAAAAGGAACCUAAUGGAUCGUACACCGUGUAAGGUGGAGAUUGAAGAAACAAUGGAGAUGAGUAAGAAUAAUUAAAUGGUUUAAUUAUUUAUGGCAAGGAUUAAUUAAUAUGUUAAUUAAUCAAACGAAUAAGUUCGUUAAAGACCUCGGGAUAGUUUUGGACCUUAAGGCCCAAUGGGCUUCGAACGUCAAGCCCAUUGACUUAAGUUGUAUGACAACUUAAUGAAUAAUGAUUCACAAAGGCCCAAUUAGCCCAAUAAUACCCUAAGGCCGGCCAUUUAGGGGAAAGGUAGUGAACUUGCUUUAAUUACAAGUUUGCCACUCCAAUGAAUAAAGGUAUAAAUAUGACUUUAUAGCCAAAAUUCAUUUAGGGUUUUCUUUUGGGGAAAGGAUGAGAACAUAAGCUCUCCUUUCUCUCUAAAGUGGCCGGCCUCCUUGGAGGGUUUAGCUAUGAAUCCCACUACUCCAAGGUCACUCAUUUCUUCUCCAAUCUAACCUUGGUGAAGAGACUUAGAGGUUCUCAAUUUUGGGAACUUGGAGAAACCUAUUCUUCCAUCCAAAUCCAUGGAUCUAAGAAGCAAGGAAUGAAGGCCCUAUCUCUUGGGUGAUUAUCCUUUGCUUAUGCAAAGAGGAAUCAACAAAGGUAUAAAUUUCUGAACUCACUUUGUUUUGAGUUGAGUCUUGGUUCACCAAUCUACUAGGCUUUGAAUUUCAUGGUUAAUGUUUUGUUUUUGAGUGCAUGCAAGCAUGAUUCCGCCUUUUAAUUGUUAAUUGCAUGCUAUAGAUGUUGCUCAAAUGAACAUGUUUUUCACAAUAUUUCCUUCAUCUAUAUCAAGCCCCCCUCAAGGAAAAGGGUGUCAAGACCAAUUUCCUCAACCAGGCUAGACCAAUGGAUAUACAUGAUCCAGUGCUCAACUUAUCAGGACAGUUGAACAUAAUCCACCUAGAUGCUUCAGACUUCAUUGUGGAAAGAGGGAAUGAAGUGUAUCGAUUUGAUUGAAUCAUUUAUGUUUGAUGUAUUUUUAUUCUGAACUUGUAAUUUAAAACUCGCAUUUCAAUUCAAUAAAAGUGGCAUUUGAAUUUCCUUUUAUUAUGAAUAAAUUGUUUUUUAACUGUGAUCCCAUUUACUCAGAAAGCAUGGAGAAAAACUAUGGUUAUUCUCAAAACAUGAGAAAUGGCGGAGAUAUUUGUCUUGUAGACAGCGCAACCACGUAUAUAAUACUUCGUGAUCGAAAGUAUUUCUCAAGCUUAAUGCUUACAAAAGUAAGGGUAAAAACAAUAUCAGGCCAAUCAGAUGUAAUUGAAGGCUAAGGGAAAUCCCAUAUUAUGUUACCAAUUGGAACAAUAUUGUCUAUACAAAAUGCAUUGUAUGUUACUCGAUCUACUCAAAAUUUGUUGAGUUUCAAAGACAUACGUUUAAAUGGAUACCACAUUGAAACGAAAAGUGCAGAAAAUGUGGAGUAUCUAUGCAUUACCUCCAAUGAUAGCCAGAAGCGUAUAUUAGAGAAGUUGCAUGGUUUGUCGAGUGGAUUAUUUUAUACAUACAUAAAGACAGUUGAAUCACAUACUGGCAUGAACCAGAAGUUAAUUGAUUCAAAAGUUUACAUGUUUUGGCAUGACCAUCUGGGUCAUCCAAGCUCGACCAUGAUUUGUAGGAUCAUUACCAACUCUAAUGGAGAUCCAUUAUUAAGCAUACACAUCGCUAUCUCAAAUGAUAAACCUUGCAAAGCUUGUUCUCAAGCGAAGUUGGUAAUCGAACCAUCACAACUAAAGGUUGAUGCUGAAUCCCCAUCAUUUUUGCAAAGAAUUCAAGGGGAUAUUUGUGGGCCUAUUCAACCAUCUUGUGUACCAUUUCGAUAUUUUAUGGUUUUGGUUGAUACAUCUACCCGAUGGUCACAUGUUUGUCUCUUGUCUACUCGAAAUGUAGCUUUUGUGAGACUUCUUGCUCGGAUAAUUAAGUUGCAAGCACAGUUCCUAGAUUACCUCCAUUAAGUCAAUUCGACUUGACAACAUUGGUGAAUAUACGUCCCAAACCUUUGAUGAUUACUGCAUGACAUUGGACAUUGAUGUUGAACACCCUGUUCCUUAUGUCCAUGCUGAAAAUGGUUUAGCAUAAGCAUUGAUCAAACGACUUCAGUUAAUAGCUCGCACUUUGCUCAUGAAAACAAAAUUGCUAGUUUCUGCAUGGGGACAUGCCAUCUUACAUGUUGCAUCAUUGGUUCGAUUGAGACCUAUAGCCAACCACCAAUACUCCUCAGUACAACUCGUUUUUGGGCAGCAUCUAAACAUUUCACAUUUACGAGUUUUUGGUUGUGUUGUUUAUGUACCUAUUGAACCGCCGCAACACACUAAAAUGGGACCUCAGCGGAGAUUAGGAAUUUUUGUGGGUUUUGAUUCACCAUCUAUCAUUAGAUAUUUGGAACCCUUGGCAGGUGAUAUGUUUACAACUCGUUUUGCUGAUUGUCACUUUAAUGAGAUAGUCUUCCCGUCGUUAGGGGGAGAAAAGACUAUUCUAGAAGAACAACAAUAGCUGACAUGGGUUGUACCCACCUUGUCUCAUUUUGAUCCACAUAGCACACAAUGUGAAAAUGAAGUGAAAAAGAUCAUUCAUCUUCAAAGUAUUGCCAAUCAAAAGCCAGAUGCAUUUAAUGAUGUUAUGAAAGUGACAAAAUCACAUAUGCCAGCUGCAAAUGCACCUACAAGAAUUGAUGUCCUUGUUGGAUAAAAUAAAGUGGCGGCGAAUGAAUCAUCUAGUACACUCCUGAAGCAUGGUAGAUCCCCAAGUUAAAAAGAUUCAGCCUCUCGAAAAAGAAAGAUAAGAGCACAACUGAAUCCAAAUGAAAUUAUUCAGGAAGUGAGAAUGAAUGACAAAUCCACAAUUCAUGAUUCUGAACUUCCAGAAAAAGAAAAUGUCCUUGAUGAGACACAUGUCCCUAAAGAGACAGAAGUACAUGAAAGCAAAGAAAUCUCCAUAAAUUAUGUAUGUACUAAUGAAUUGUGGAAUCGGAAUGAAAUAAUCAUCGACGAUAUGUUCGCAUUCGCAGUAGCCACUAAAAUCAUAUUAAGUGAUGAUAUUGAGCCCCACUUUGUUGAUGAAUGCAAACAGAGACAAGAUUGGCCUAAGUGGAAAGAUGCAAUCCUGAUAGAAUUAAAUUCCUUGGAAAGAUGAAAUGUUUUUGGAUCAGUAGUCCAAACUCUGCCUGAUGUAAACCCUGUAGGUUACAAAUGGGUAUUCAAAAGAAAGCGCAAUGAGAAAAACGAGAUUGCAAGAUACAAAGCACAAUUCGUUGCACAAGGCUUUUCACAAAGACCUGGAAUUGAUUAUGAGGAGACAUACUUUCUUGUAAUGGACGCAAUUACGUUCCGUUACUUAAUAAGUUGAGUGGUUUCAGAAAAACUUGACAUGCGACUUAUGGAUGUCAUCACUGCGUAUCUAUAUGGAGAAUUAGAUACUGACAUAUACAUGAAGGUCCCAGAAUGACUUAAGUUGCCUGAAACAACUAACAAACCAUGAGGUAUGCUCUCAAUCAAAUUAAGACGAUCAUUGUAUGGGCUGAAACAAUCUGGAUGAAUAUGGUAUAAUCGUCUCAAUGAGUAUUUGAUCAAAGAAGGAUUUAUCAAAAAUGUCAUUUGCCCUUGUGUGUUCAUUAAGAAAUCCAAUUCUGGAUUUGCUAUAGUGGCAGUAUAUAUCGAUGAUAUGAACCUAGUUGGAACUCCUGAAGAGCUCAAUAAAACUGCUGAAUAUCUGAAAAGUGAAUUUGAAAUGAAAGACCUUGGGAAAACAAAAUAUUGCCAUGGCCUGCAGAUCGAGCAUUGUGCUAGUGGAAUUUUGGUCCACCAAUCAACUUAUAUUGAAAAAAUCUUGAAGCGAUUUGGCAUGGACAAUGCUUAUCCACUUAGCACGCCAAUUGUCGUUCAUUCUUUGGACAUUAAGAAAGAUCUAUUCUGUCCAAAAGAAGAUGAUGAAAUGGUCAUUGGUCCAAAAGUACAAUAUUUGAGUGCAAUGGGUGCUUUAUUGUAUUUAGCAUAAUGUACUAGACCAUAUAUAGCUCUUUCAGUUAACUUGUUAGCAAGGUAUAGCUCUGCUCCAACAAUUCGUCAUUAGAAAUGAAUCAAAGAUGUUUUGCGAUACCUUCGUGGGACAACAGACAUGGGUCUUUUCUACUCAGAGAAAUCCACAAAUGACCAGAUCCUUGCUGGGUAUGCAGAUGCUGGUUUCCUCUCUGAUCUGCAUAAAGCCCGCUCACAAACUGGAUAUGUGUUCACUAAUGGAGAUACAGCAAUCUCAUGGCGCUCAACAAAGAAAACACUAGUUGCUACAUCUUCCAAUCACUCGGAACUACUUGCUUUACAUGAACCUAUACAUCUAUGAGGUUUUGUAUUGUUAAUAAACAUGUGUUUAAGGGUGAUUAAUUGAAAUUAGUUCAUGCAUACUAACACCAGGUGAAAGAAAAAACAAAGUUUAAAAACCAUUUGAUAAAUAAAGAACAAAAAUACCCACUUAUUAAACAACAAUGGCUUACCUAUUUGAGAAUAACGACUAGUUAAUAGGUACGUGUAGGGAUGCGCACGGUUUGAUCCAGUACUAACACACCUCGACCUAGAUCGAGGCUUGUUGGCCGUCACAUGAGGGUGACGUAGCCAGAUGCAUAGUGCGGAAGAAUAACGAUAUAAAAAAGUGCGCAUAAAUAAAAACCAAACUAACUAAAACACUAGAUAAGAUAAGGUGAAAGAUGAGAAUAAGUGUUACAACACAUAACUAGAGCGUAGGUAGCCUAAGUGCAGUCCAGCAAGACAAAUACUAAUUACACAAUACCAAAGAUGGUCUUACAUUGAUGAUAAUUUGUCAGAACCGCCAACGAUUCCUCGUAAGCCACCAACAAGCACUCCUACCUAAAACCUGGAGGGCGUAAAACAAAAAGUGUGAGUGGGCAAAAACAAAGCUUUCCAAAACCAUUUCACUUAUCAAAAGUAGUAACCCCUCGCCCUAAAACCUAUAUAAUUCCCAGAAAAUAGCAUACAUGUUUAUAUCUCAAAACCAAAUUCAAAAUAACAAUUCCACAAAUAUACCAUGUCAAAUCUCAGCAAGAAAUAAGUAAGCCAGGUGAAAUAAAUCAAUAUGACAUAGUAUGCAAGUCGGAGUCACAUAACUUGACCUGUACAGCUGAGUCUAUAGCUUCUCAACUAGUUCUCUACACACAAGUCGGAACCACCUAAUGUGGUUUGUACGACAAGCUGGGUGUAAAUAAAUACGCUCAAGUGCUACGAUCAUGUGAAGGCUGUGCGAAGUAUUGCAAGUCACCUACAAGUCGGAACCACCUAAAGUGAUCUAUACGACAGGCUGGCACCUGCCUUGGAUCCAAGGUGAGCGUGUGGUGUGGGAGGUGAACGAUCACGUGAAAGCUAUGCCUUAUCCUCGGGCGGAGCACAAACACCAGGGUGCAGGAUAAGAAGCUCGAAAUAUAUCUCAGCACUAUUAUACUAACUACCAUCAACAUACUCACCUGAAGCGUACCUAAGCGUCCGCAGCAUCGAGCAACAAUAUAUAUAUAACCAUACUAAUGCACAUUUAAACAUAGAGAGCAUUUGACAUGGCAUUUCAAAAUAUCAAACCAUUUAAUUAAGUUUUCUGGGAAAAAAACCAAGUGUGUUUAUAUAUAUAUAUAUAUAAAUACUGAAAACCAAAAGCCCACUCACUGAUAUGUAGAAGGGUCGUAACCCCCGAGCCUUGCUUGACUGUGCUGUUCCUUUGGAUAGGUCUCACCUAUAUGCGAAACAACUAAGGUUAUUUUAAAGCACAUAAAAAAAACUAGGUAAUAACUUCUCAUACCAUGCUUAACUGGGGUAUUCGAAUAUACCAACAUGAUCUACUCAACCCCACGCACAUCCCCAUAUUAAUAGAAAACUUUUUCGAUCACCCAUGUGCCCAUACGAGUCAGUCAAGGCACGGCCAGAUGCGCCGCCCAUGCGCAGGCACAUGGCUAGCACACUGACGGAUUCCCUAACGACGUUAAGGAAUAUUCCAUUAAAUAUAAGCAUAUGCCGUUAUAUUUACCUAACGGCGUUAAGAAUAUUUUGCCAAAAUUGAUGGAAUAUGCUCCUUCUUGUUCUUUGGUUCACCAAAGUCCUGCGUCGGCCGCCGCUGCGAUCGCCGGAAACUAGAAAAACUUCAAACCUUAAUAUCUCAUCCAAUACUCAACCAAACUUCAUGAAAUUUGUCUCAAAAUGAAGCUUUAAACUAGUAUAACACAUUCUUACCUUUCAAAGAUCCUAAAAACCACGAUAAGUGGUCGGAAAUUCCUUCAUUAUUUCGGCUAAACCUGCAACUUCCCAAACCCGUGUAAUCCGACGUUCAAUACUUUCCAAAAUUGCUCCCAGAGCUUCAUAGAGUAGUUCUAAGACUUCUUCGAGCCUAAAAACGCCGUGAAAAAUACACGAUCGCCACUGAGCAACAAAGCCAUCGUCAGAGGUUAUAGGGGUUUUUUGAAGUCCUUACGUCCAACCAAAGGUACGAUUGUGAUCCUGAGCUUGCAAGGAACCCAAAAAUCACGUCCACAACCUCGAUCUGUGACUUAAAGGGUUGUUUUGGAAGUUAGUCCUUAUAAUUGUACGAAAAUGGAAAGAAGUCCGAGAAGGAAGGAGAGAGAGAGAGAGAAUCAACGGGAAAAUGUGAGAGUGUGAGUGUGUUGUCCAGGUUGCAGCCCAACAAAACAAACAAAACAAUCUAACUUCCAAUUGGGCCCAACAACUUAGGAAGAAAAUGAAUUGGUACACAACCUAAGUUCAUUUCACACAAUCACAACCCAACGCUCAAGGGCAACAUAGUAAUUUCCACACUCUCGAGGAUAAAAUAAUACAUAUCUUCGAAACGAGCUGUCACAACCUACCCCCUUAAGAAAAUUUCGUCCCGGAAAUUUCACAUAUUAACAUACAAACCACUAAUAACCAUAAAAUAUGCGUGGAUACAUUUCCUUCAUGCGAUCCUCCGUCUCCCAGGUAGCUUUCUCCACAAAACUUUCAUUAAGCGCGCGAUCUUAUUCCUCAGAACCUUAUUUUUCCAAUCCAAAAUCGUCACCGACUCCUCAUCAUAAGUUAAAUUCAGAUUAAUUUCCAAUGGAUGAGGAAGUAUCACAUGUGAUGGAUUUGAAACAUAAUGACGAAGCAUGGAAACAUGAAAAACAUCGUGCACUUUAGAUAACUUUGGAGGCAACUCAAGCCUGUAAGCAACUUCACCGACUUGCUCGGUGAUCUGAUACGGUCCGAUGUACCUAGGACUUAGCUUACCCUUUUUUCCGAACCGCACUACACCUCUCCACGGUGAUCGCUUCAAAAACACCCAAUCACCAAUUUUAUACACCCGGUUAGUGGCAUGCUUGUCUGCUAAACUUUUCUGUCGAUCCUGGGUCAUUUUCAGGUUAGACUUAAUUACCUGAAUAUUCUGAGUAGUCUCAUCUACAAUCUCAAGGCCCACCAAAACUCUUUCACCAACCUCUAACUAGCACAAAGGUGUACGACAAGACUUGCCAUAAAGUGCCUCAAAAGGUGAUAUACCAAUACUCAAUGACAGCUGUUAUCAUAUGCAAACUCCAUCAAAUCUAACCGCUGCUGCCAAGCAUUGCCAAACUGUAAGACAUAAGAUCUUAGCAUAUCUUCCAGCGUCUGAAUAGUCAUAUCUGAUUGCUCAUCUGUCUGAGGUUGAUAUGCCGUACUAUAGAGUAAUCUUAAACCAAGAGCCUCCUGAAAUGCUACUCAGAACUUAGAAGUGAAUCUAGGAUCACGAUCUGAGAUAAUACUAACUGGAACCCCAUGAUACUUAACAAUCUUCGAUAUGAAUAAUUAAACUAAUCGGGUGACUUAGUAAACCGAUCAACUAUCACCCAAAUGCCAUCAUAACCAUUUCAUGUACGAGGAAGCUUGUACACAAAAUCCAUAGUAAUAUCUUCCCACUUCCAUUAUGGAAUGGGAAGUGGCUGCAUCAAUCCAAAUGGCUUUUUCCUUUCAGCUUUGACCUGCUGACAAACAUACAUUCUUCCUUCCUGCAUAAGCAUGCCAUCCAAUUUUCUAAUCUUUAGAUCUUUCUUUCUCCCCUCAUUUCUUGAAUUAAUUCUUGGGUUUCCUCAUCAUUCAUUUGAGCCUCGAGCACUCGAUCAAUUAAUAUUGGCCUGACCUAAAAAUUAGCAAGUAAGGCUUCCUCUCGACCUUCCACCCCUAACUUCAUUCCAGUGGACCUCAAAUUCGCAAGAAAAGGAACAUGACAAACAUACAAAGCAUUAAUUCUCGCUUGAGGCUUCUUACUUAGUGCAUCCGCCACCAUAUUUGCAUGACUAGGGUGAUAAUCAAUCGUGCAAUCAUAAUCACUGAGCAAUUCAAUCCACCUUCACUGUCGAAGAUUAAGAUCCUUCUCAAUGAAAAGAUACUGAAGACUCUUAUGAUAUGUAAAAAUCUUACAUUUUCCACCAUAAAGAUAAUGUCUCCAAAUCUUCAAGGCAAAGAUAAUAGCUGCUAAUUCAAUAUCAUGAGUAGGAUAAUUCAUCUCAUGAGGCUUCAACUCUCGUGACGCAUAAGCAAUCACUUACCAUACUGCAUCAACACACAACCUAGGCCAUUCAAGGAAACAUCACUGUAGAUCUCAAAAUUACCACUAUCAUCUGGAAGUGCUAAAAUAGGUGCAUGAAUGAGACAAUAUUUCAACUGUUGAAAACUUUGCUCACAGUUAUUAUCCCACUCAAACUUAAAAUCAUUUCUAGUUAACCUCGUUAGUGGUAAAGCAAUGAUUGAAAAAUCUUUAACAAAUCGUUGAUAAUAACCUGCUAGGCCAAGAAAACUCCGUACCUGAGUGACUGUUCGUGGUUGUUCCCAAUUCUCAACUGCUGCCAGUUUUUGAGGAUCCACCAGAAUCCCUUGAGCUGAUAUAACAUGUCCCAAAAAUGCUACUUGAUCUAGCCAAAAUUGGCAUUUGCUAAACUUAGCAUACAACUGUGUUCCCUCAAUUUCUUCAACACCAAAGUGAGAUGUCGAACAUGCUCUAAUUUAGACUUAGAGUACACCAGAAUAUCAUCGAUAAAGACAAUGACAAACUUGUCUAACUAUUGCUGGAACACUUGAUUCAUCAAAUCCUUAAAAGCUGCAGCUACAUUAGUUAACCCGGAUGGCAUCACAAGAAACUCAUAAUGACCAGUCCUAAAAGUUGUCUUAGGGACAUCCUCAUUUCUGGUCUUCAAUUGUUAAUAACCAGACCUCAAAUCAAUCUUAAAAAACACACAGGCGCCUCAAAGCUGAUUAAAUAAAUCAUCUAUACGCGGCAACGGAUAACGGUUUUUAAUUGUUACCCAAUUCAAUUGUCUAUAAUCGAUACAUAGCCUUAAAGUCCCGUCUUUCUUCCUCACAUAUAUAACUGGAGCUCCCCAGGGUGAAGUACUAGGCUGAAUAAAACCCUUAUCAACUAAUUCCUGCAACUGGAUUUUUAAUUCCCUCAAUUCAGCAGGAGCCAUUCGAUAAGGAGUUAAAGAUAUAGGAUCUGUACCUGGAAGUAAAUCAAUGGUGAACUCCACAUCUCGGUCUGGCUGCAAUUUAGGUAAAUCAUUAGGGAAUACAUCAGGAAAAUGCCUGACCACACGAACAUUCUCCACGCUACGAACGUUCUCCACGCUAGUAGGAGUAUUAUCAUUCAACACCACAUGAGCCAAAUAUCCCUGACAACCUUUCUCUAACAAUCUUUUAGCCCUUAUGGCAUAAAUAAUACCAUAUCUCACCCCACUACGCUCGCCCACAAAUGUAACCUCAGGCAAUCCAAGACGAUGGAAAGUAACUGACUUCUCGUAGCAAUCUAUAUUAGCACGAUUAUAAUGCAACCAAUAUGUGCCCAAAAUAACAUCAAAAUCAACAAUAUCUAACGAGAUGAGGUUAGCGGGCAUAACAACAUCCUUCACUAACACGGGACAUCCUGGAUAUACACAACUAACAUAACAUAUCUCCCCUCUAGGCAUCGCAAACUCUAAAUCAUACCCAAGAAGUGUAAGAUGAGGUUGGGUUAUCUGAGUGAACGUAUGAGAAAUAACAGAAUGCGUAGCACCACAAUCAAUUAAUACUCUAGCAAAAUGACCAAGAAUAUUCAACGUACCCAUGAUCAAAUCAGGAUUAUUUUGAGCAACUUGCAGUGUCAUGUGGUGAAUACGUCCCUGAGCCUGUUGUCGUCCUCCACUAUCUCUGCUAGUCUGCCCACUACGACCUUGCAUAUUACGCCACUGGCCUGGCUAAUUAGACUGCCUCGAUGAUUCUGCAUUACUAGAAGCAACCUCCACGUGUUGGGAUUGUCCUCUAGGAAACCACUAAGACCCAUUAUCUAAAUAUGGAGGAUACGACGUAUAAUCUCCAGGAUACUAAGGGUAACCAUUUUGCUGAUACGGGUCCUGCAGAUACUAAUACUACCCUGCAGAAUAAGGAGUUACAUCGCCCUAGUAAUGAUAAGCACCUCUGCGGCCCGUCUGGCAUAACUACUAGGUCCUGAAACUUACUGGAUCGGCACUUGUGGUGGUAAGGAAGGCUGCUGGGGCCUUUGCUAAUUCUAAGGACAAUGCAUAGCCCGAUGCCCCAAUUGACCACAGGUAAAACAUCUUCUACUACCCUGCCUGCACUCCCCAAAAUAUCAGUUAUUACAUCUAGACAAAACGGACUACUAGAACCACUAUAACCACCACAAUCUCUCUACCUCUAAAAACGAGGACCUCUAGAAAAUCUACCACCUCUCAUUUGCCCAGUGGAACUCAUACCCCCGCUAGAAGAACUAAAACUAGCACCACUCAUCUUAAAACUUUGAGUCUUACGAGGUCCCUGAGAUGAUUGACCCUUAUCUUUAUCAUCUUUCUUCUUCUGGUUAUCUUCUUCCUCCUCGCUCUCACUAGGCAUAUUCUCUGAAUCUUUAAUCCACAGUAAAAUCUCAUAAAACUCUUGUUAAGUAGCACAGGGAGUCGUGGUCACCAUAGAACUGUUGGAAGUAUGCCCAUAAAGCCACUCAUUUGAUGUAAUAGCUUUUUGGAAUACUUAAUGUAUUAAACUUUUAUAUGUUUAAUGAAGGGCAAAGCUUAUUGUUAAUCACUAUUUAUUGUAUCAUGUGUUUAAGCAAUAAGGGAAUCCAAGGGAUGUAUUUGAUCUAAGAGACAAGUGAUCUAAGUGAGUUAGAUUAUCGAGACCAUUCUCUUAUGUUCAUUCCUAAAACGUUCCUAGCCAUAGGAUUGCCAAUUGGGUAUUGACAAUCCGCUAAGGUUAGUAUGUGUUAUGUCAACUCAAGCUUGAGUAUGACUAGUCUCAAGUCAUUUGGUGUUGGACACUAAGACAAACACAUAGGUGCUCGAAAGAGUAAUCGAGUACACUGAACAACGAUCAAAAGAGAGUUCAAACAUACAUGUCAUGUAAGAACUCGAAAGUUGCAAUAUGCAAAGUAGUCCUUUGACCUGAGGCAUCAUAGAUGUCUAAUGGUUAGGUCCUUGACCUUUGAUCAUGUCAAAGGCAUUCCAUUGGAGUGUCCACGGCAUUGUUGGGGUCAAGCUAUCUAGUCAUGUAGGCAUAUGAAUGCACAACAAGGGAUCUCUAACCUUCCAUGGUGGAAGGAGAAUACUCUAAGAUAUGAUUCUAAAGUCUUUGGCCAAAGCAUAUGAAUAUGACUUAGGAAGUUUGUUCCAAAUCAUAUUCAAGGGAAUCAUAUAGAUAAGUAUCACAUUGGAUAGUAGACAUGAAACAAACUAUCACUUAAACAAUGUGAUUAAGAGUAUUGUAUUAGAGAAGGACCGUAUUACAUUGUAGUUGUAACUGGAUAGGUUCUCCAACCACUUCUACUUAGCUUGGGUAACCAUGACAUACUGCUAGGUGUCACUCAUGGUUUGUGGAAGCCCUAAUGAUUAGCAAACACUAAUCAUUAAGGGAGAAUUGAAAUGUGGUUUCAAUUCACAAUCGAUCGUUAAGAGUAACAAUCGCCCACUACCUCGCUAAUUGGAACCUAAUGGAUCGUACACCGAGUAAGGAUGUAUGUGAACAAAUUAAAUGAAAUGGAUAAGCAAUUAAAUGGUUUAAUUGAAGAAUGGUCAAGGUUAAUUAAUUAGUUAAUUAAUUAUACACAAUGUUCGUAUUGGGCUUAUAUGUUGGUUUUGGGUUUCAGGGCCCAAAAGCGUUUUGGUCCACAAGGCCCAUUAUGUUUAAGUUGUAUGACAACUAAAACAAAAUGGGCAAAUAGCCCAAUAACAUUAAUAUGGCCGGCCAUUAGGGUGGAUGAUGCAAACUUGGAUUAAUUACAAGUUUGCCACUCACUUGUAAUGAAGUAUAAAAGCAACUUUAUAGCUUUAUUUUCAUUUAGGGUUUUCUUGAAGAAAUUGGGUGAAACAUUUUCUCUCCUUUUUCUCUAAAGAGGUCGGCCACUUAGGGGAGGGACAUCUAGCAAUCUCUUCUUCCCUAAGUCAUCCAUAUCAUCUUCACAAGAUACAUCCUUGGUGAAGAGACUUAGAGACAUCAAACUUUUGGUGUUUUGGAGAACAAAUCCUCAAAUCCUCAAAGAAGCAAAGGAGCACUAAAAGGAGGAAAAUCACAAGGAAUAUUCAAGGAGCUUGGAGGUGACUUGAAGGCCCUCCACUUGGGUGAAUCCCUUGUGUAAACAAGGAUGAGCUUCAAGGGUAAAGAAAUUCUAAAUCUUUACUUCUCUUUAAUGUUGUUAAAGAGUUUAUUGGUUCACCAUAUACUAGGCUUUGAAAGUCAUGGGUUUUAUGAAUUGUUUUUGAAUGCAUGCCUACUUUAAAGUGUUAAUAGUUUGCAUAUGUAUUCAAAUGUUCUUACUUGUUCUUAGCUAGGACAAAAUUUUUCCUUCAAGAACGCCAUUUCUUCCAAGUACCCAACCUGAAACAACGAAGCAUCUCAACCGAAUUAGCAGCCACCUCACGAUCAUAGCGAGACAAAUCAGUAAACCUCAUGUAGUACUCAUUACCUGUCAUUUUCCCUGUUUUAGGUGCAUGAAUUCUUGCUUCUUGCGAUCUAUAUACUCUGGAGGAAUGAAUCUCUUAUGAAAUAACUACUUAAAAACUUCCCAAUUAGCAGCUUCCUUUGGUGAUAACUUAUAAGACUCAUGUCUCCACCAGGAUGCAGGCUGCUCACCUAAAAACUAGGUAGUUGUCUCAACCUACCUAUCCUCCGGAAGAUUCCCCUAUUUAUGCAUCAAACAGAAAGUCUUCUCAAUAUGAUUAAGUUAUUUCUCUGUUCCUUCAAACCCUUCAUUACCCAUGAAAUGAUUCAACUUCAAAUUAUACACAAUCUCCAAAUGAGUCCUUUGGGGAAGACGAAAUGAAAACUAAAUAGGAUUAGCUAUAACUUCCCAUAACUGAGCUAUAGUAGGGAAGCCAGACUCAGCUGAAGGACGUGGCUCUCUAUAAGGCGGCAUAGUUCUGAUAGAAGACACCAAGAUAAUUAGAACAUUCACAAGAUAUGCAGGACUGCCAAACCUAGGCUCUAAUACCAAACUGACACACCCUGACCUAGAUCUGAUGUGAAAUUAAACUAGCACACAAAUUAAACCUUCUUUUUGACAAUUGUAGUAUGGAUAAAUAAGGAUCGCUCUAGGCCGGGGAUUAGAAGGGACUACUAAUCUACUCAAAUUAGACUCAAUUUUACUUAACUAGACUUAAAAACACUAAACUAGACUCCUAUGACUCAAAACUGACUCAAAAUACUAAAAACUACACAAAACAAACAAAUUGACUCAAAACUAACACUAAGGAUGACUUUGGACGAAUUUUGAACUAAAAAGACUCAAAACAUUAAAAAGACAUCAAUUGGACAGAUUCUAACCUAAAAACACGAAAUAGAAAGGGGGGUUGGUUUUUUGACGAAUUUAAAACUUAAACUAAGUACUUGCAGACACAAACCAAAGGUGAUAUGAAAUUAGAUGUUUUUAAGAGGUGGAUGGUUAGCUAGAGGGUCCUUCUCCACACAUGACACAUAUGCAUACAAAUCAAUUUCCAAUUACUCUUUGUAUAAACCAUGAAUGACAAUGCCCCAGAUUAAACGUGAACAACACUAAUUAACCCUCAGAUUUUCCUAAGUUCAUUGAAUUAGACUCAGCGUCGCAACCAAAUUAUUCUUGUCAAGUUCCCUACACAAAUAGCAUGAUAGAUAUACAUAUCAAAGAUCAUUAAAUUCUAUGAAAAUCAUAAGCAUUGACAAGACAUUCGUAACUAUGAACAGCAUGAUACUCCAGGAAUUCACUUAACACAAUCAUGAUUAGUGACCUCCACUACUUGUAAAUAUAAGUUCAUAACUAUUAGGUGAAACUCCUUUAUAUUUUAGCAUCAAAUUCAUGCAUACAAACUAAGUAUGCAUCCUUAAUCAACGUACAAGAACAAGUUCUGAAUUAAACAGUUAAGCAAAUUGCAUUCACGAUUCAUGGAGUAAUAACUGAAAGUAAUCAAUUCAUAUGCAAUAUAUGUUCAUGUCUUUGAAUUCACCUCUAGCCCAAACGAAUUUAGUUCCUCAUGUUCGCACUUAAACAAAGAUAACUUAAAUUAAACAUUGAAAACAAAAGAUAGAAUACACCUAAGAAUGCUCCAGCAAUCCAAUCUUGAAUGGCAAGGCACGGAAAAGGGUCUCCUCUCCUUUCUUCUUGCAAAGCUACGGCACAAGAGGGAUUUUUUGUGUAUGAUGGAUGUGUGGUGUUUGGUGCGAAAUUGUGGUGAGAGAUGGGUGAAUUAUGAGGGCUGUGACACUAAUUUAUUUAUAGGGAGAAGGGAAGGCACGGCAUAGGCUGAGAAGGAAGGGAAUUAGGACUCCAAAUUAGCAAGGAAAGAGGACACUUCUCAUCAGAUUCCAGAGAGGAAAAGGAGUAGUCUUUGCAUCAGGAAAUACAACUUCUAGAAGGGCUAGGUGCGGCACCAAUUUAGGGAUAGGAACUUGGCUUCUAGAAACCUGAUUUGUAGGUGUUUUAAUGUGAAAUUGAUCCCCCAUUUCAGCUGGAAUUAAGGUAAGAUAAGAUUAGGAUAGGAUAAGAUAAGGUUAGUUUGGAUAAGAUAAGGUUGGAUAAUGUUUUGGAUAAUGUUCCUUCUUUUUGGUUGAUUCCUUAUCUUCUUUGUCUUGCAUUCAUUUCUUCCAGAUCUUUAGCACAUUCCUAGCCUCUUUGAACUUCAAAAACGUCCAUCCACCUUGCUCCAUUCAUUGUUAUCCAUUCUUGGCCCAAAACUGCUCCAAAACACUCCAAAUUGCACUUUCUUGCCAACUUUGUCAUUUGAACCUACAAACACACAAAAAUAGCUUAAAUCACUAUAAUAAACAGAAACUAGCUAUGAAAAUGCAAGAAAAAAAGCUAACUAAGUCGCAUAAAUAUGCUCCUAUCAAGAUCGAGGCAUGCUGGCCGUCACAUGAGGGUGACGUAGCCAUGUGCACAGUGCGGAAGAAUAACAAUAUAAAAAAAUGCGAAUAAAUAAAAACCAAAUUGACUAAAACACUAGAUAAGACAAGGUGAAAGACGAGAAUAAAUGUGACUACACAUAACUAGAGCGUAGGUAGCCUAAGGCCUGGUUUGGUACUGAGGUGAUUUUGAAAAAAGUUGGUAUCAAAAAAAGCUGGGAGGUUUUUUUGUGUUUGGUAAACAUGCAGCUUCAGCUUUUUUUCACGGUUUUGGAAGAAAAAAAAAGCCAAAAACAAGAAGCUGUAAAACCUAGUUUUGAAAAACCUGCUUUUUUCACAUCUGUUUUACAUAAAAGUUUACCAAACACUAUAAUAAUGCUUUUUUUUUCAUAAGCAUUUUUACAAAAAAGUUUACCAAACACUCUACAGCUUUAUUUCACAGCCGCUUAUUCUCACAGCACAGCAGAAAUAGAUUUUUUUCAAAGCAUAGCAAUACCAAACCAGCCCUAAGUGCAGUCCAGCAGGACAAAUACUAAUUAUACAAUACCAAAGAUGGUCCUACAUUGGUGAUAAUUUGUCAGAACCGCCUAUGAUUCCUCGUAAGCCACCAACAUGUACUCCUACCUAAAACCUGGAGGGCACAAAACAGAAAGUGUGAGUGGGCAAAAACAAAUCUUUCCAAAAUCAUUUCACUUAUCAAAAGUAGUAACCCCUCGCCCUAAAACCUAUAUAAUUCCCAGAAAAUAGCAUACAUGUUUAUAUCUCAAAACCAAAUUCGAAAUAACAAUUCCACAAAUAUACCAUGUCAAAUCUCAGCAAGAAAUCAGUAAGCCAGGUGAAAUAAAUCAAUAUGAAAUAGUAUGUAAGCUAGAGUCACAUAACGUGACAUGUACGACUGAGUCUAUAGCUCCUCAACUAGUUCUCUGCACACAAGUUAAACCACCUAAUGUGGUAUGUACGACAGGCUGGGUGUAAAUAAAUACGCUCAAGAGCUACGGUCACGUGAAGGCUGUGCAAAGUAUCACAAGUCACCUAUGAGUCAGAACCACCAAAAGUGGUCUAUAUAACAGGCUGGCACCUGCCUUGGAUCUAAGGUGAGCGUGUGGUGAACGAUCACGUUGAAGGAAAUUUUGUGAAAAACAUGUUCAUUUGAGCAACAUCUAUAGCAUGCAAUUAACAAAUUAAAGGCGGAAUCAUGCUUGCAUGCACUCAAAACAAAACAUUACCCAUUAAAUUCAAAGCCUAGUAGUUAGGUGAACCAAGACUCAACUCAAAACAAAGUGAGUUGAGAAAUUAUACCUUUGUUGAUUCCUCUUUGCAUAAGCAAACGAUAAUCACCCAAGAGAUAGAGCCUUCAUUCCUUGCUUCUUAGAUCCAUGGAUUUGGAUGGAAGAAUAGGUUUCUCCAAGUUCUCAAAAUUGAGAACCUCUAAGUCUCCACACCAAGGUAAGAUCUUUGGAAGAAAUGAGUGACCUAGAGGAAGUAAGAUUACAAGCUAAUUUCCUCUAGGGUGGCCGGCCUCUUUAGAGAGAAAAAGAGUUUGUGUUCUCAUCUUUUCUCCAAAAAAAAAACCCUAAAUCAAUUUUGGCUAUAAAGUCAUAUUUAUACCUACAUUCAUUGGAGUGGCAAACUUGUAAUUAAGUCCAAAACCCACUCCUUUAUCAAUAUGGCCGGCCAUAUGGUUUCAUUGGGCUUUUUAGGCCUUUGUGAAUUAUUUGUCAUUAAGUUGUCAUACAACUUAAGUCAAUGGGCUUGACGUUCGAAGCCCAUUGGGCCUUGAGGCCCAAAACUAACCUGUGGUCUUUUAACGAACUUUAUUCGUUUGAUUAAUUUACAUAUUAAUUAAUCCUUGCCAUAAAUAAAUAAUUAAACCAUUUAAUUAUCCUUACUCAUCUCCGUUGUUUCUUCAAUCUCUAUCUUACACGGUGUACGAUCCAUUAGGUUCCUUUUAGCGAGGCAGUGGGCGAUUAUAACUCUUUCAAAUCGAUUAUGAAUUGAAACUUACUUUCAAUUCUCCCUUUAGUGAUUAUACACGUUUAGGGCUUCCACAAACCAUGAGUGACACCUAGCAGUAUGUCAUGGUUACCCAAGCUAAUCAGAGAGGUGGAGAACCUAUUCAGUUUAGGAUUACAAUGCAAUACGGUCUUUCUCUAAUACAAUACUCUUGAUCACAUUGUUUGGAUUGAUAGUUUAUUCAUGUCUACUAUCCAAUGUGAUUCAUUUACUUAUAUGAUUACCUUGAAUGUGAUUUGGAAUGAAUUCCUAAAUCUCAUUCAUACUCUGGCCAGAGAUUCUUAAUCAUAUCAUAGAGUAUUCUCCCUCAAACGGUUUGAAGGUUAGAGAUCCCUUGUUGCGCAUUCACUUGCUCCAUGGCUAAGUGGCUUAACCCCAACUAUGUCGUGGACACCCGCGAAUGGAGUGACUUUGACAUAAUCAAAGAUCAAGGACCUAACCACAAGACAACUAUGAUGCCUCAGGUCAAAGGACUACUUUGCAUUAUCCCAACCAUGAGUUCUCAUGUGUUGGAAAUGUGCCCUAAAACCAAUCAUGUGAUGAUACUUUACGGACAUUUCACAUGUUAAACUAAUCUAGUUUAAUAUAAAGGGCAAAGAUUAUUGUUUGAGCCGUCUCAUAUAAAUGUUAUAUGCUUAAACGAUAAAGUCCAAGGAAUAUGUGAUUGGGAGAAUGCAAUCUAAUGAAGUUAGAUUCAUGAGACCAUUCUUUCGUAGACACAUCCUAAAUGUUCCUGAUCAUAGGAUUGCCAAUUGGGCAUUGACAGUCCGUCAAGAUCGGUACGUGCUAUGUCUUCUCUCAGGGAUAGUGACUAGUCUCGGGUCAUUGGUGUGUGUGACACCAAGACAAGUACGUAGGUGCUCAGUAGAGAACGAGUUCACUGAACGCGAUCAACGAAGAGUUCUCAUACUCAUGUCACAUGAGAACUCAUGGUUGGGAUAAUGCAAAGUAGUCCUUUGACCUGAGUCAUCACAGUUGUCUUGUGGUUAAGUCCUUGAUCUUUGAUUAUGUCAAACGUCAUUCCAUUGGAGUGUCCAUGGCAUCGUUGGGGUUAAGCCACUUAGCCAUGGAGGCAAGUGAAUGCGCAACAAGGGAUCUCUAACCUUCAAACUGUUUGAGGGAAAAUACUCUAUGAUAUGAUUUAGAAUCUCUGGCCAGAGUAUGAAUGAGAUUUAGAAAAGUCGUUCUAAAUCACAUUCAAGGUAAUCAUAUAAGCACACGAAUCACAUUGGAUAGUAGACAUGAAUAAAUUAACUAUCAAACCAAACAAUGUGGUCAAGAGUAUUGUAUUAGAGAAAGACCGUAUUGCAUUUGUAAUCCCAAACUGAAUAGGUUUUCUCUACCUCUUCUGAUUAGCUUGGGUAACCAUGAUAUGCUGCAAGGUGUCACUCAUGGUUUGUGGAAGCCCUAAACGUGUGUAAUCACUAAAGGGAGAAUUGAAAGUAAGUUUCAAUUCACAAUCGAUAUAAAAUGGUUUUAAUCGCCCACUGCCUCGCUAAAAGGAACCUAAUGGAUCGCACACCGUGUAAGGUGGAGAUUGAAGAAAUAAUGGAGAUGAAGUAAGAAUGAUUAAAUGGUUUAAUCAUUUAUUUAUGGCAAGGAUUAAUUAAUAUGUUUGAUUAAUCAAACGAAUAAGUUCUUUUAAAGACCUCGGGAUAGUUUUGGACAUUAAGGCCCAAUGGGCUUUGAACGUCAAGCCCAUUGACUUAAGUUGUAUGACAACUUAAUGAAUAAUGAUUCACAAAGGCCUAAUUAGCCCAAAAAUACCCUAGGGCCGGCCAUGAUGCUAAGGGUAGUGAACUUGGACUUAUUUACAAGUUUGCCACUCAAAUGAAUAAAGGUAUAAAUAUGACUUUAUAGCCUAAAAUUCAUUAGGGUUUGUUUUGGAGAAAAUUGGAGAGAACAUGUCUCUCCAUUUCUCUCUAAAGAGGCCGGCCACCUUGGGGGGUGCAUCUUGCAAUUCCACUACUCCAAGGUCACUCAUUUCUUCUCCAAUCUCUCCUUGGUGAAGAGACUUAGAGGUUCUCAAUUUUGGGAACUUGGAGAAACCUAUUCUUCCAUCCAAAUCCAUAGAUUUUAGAUGCAAGGAAUGAAGGCCCUCUCUUUGGGUGAUUAGCCUUUGCUUAUGCAAAGAGGAUUCUACAAAGGUAUAAAUUUCAACUCACUUUGUUUUGAGUUGAGUUUUGGUUCACCAAUCUACUAGGCUUUGAAUUUCAUGUAUAAUGUUUUGUUUUUAAGUGCAUGCAAGCAUGAUUCCGCCUUUAAUUGUUAAUUGCAUGCUUAUUGAUGUUGCUUAAAUGAACUAGUUUUCACAAAAUCAUCCUUCAUCAUGUGACAUGAGUAUGAGAACUCUUCGUUGAUUGUGUUCAGUGGACUCAUUCGCUAUUGAGCACCUACAUGCUUGUCUUGGUGUCAAUCACACCAAUGACUCGAGACCAGUCACUCUUCAUGAGAGAAGACACAGCACGUACUAAUCUUAACGGACUGUCAAUGCCCAAUUGGCAAUCCUAUGAUCUGGAACGUUUAGGAUAUGUAUACGAAAGAGAAUGGUCUCAUAAAUCUAACUUGUUUAAAUUACAUUCUCCUAAUUACAUAUUCCUUGGACUUAUCGUUUAAGCAUAUAACAUUUAUAUGAGACGGCUUAAAACAAUAAUCUUUGCCCUUGAUAUUAAACUAGAUUAGUUUAACAUGUGAAAUGUCCGUAAAGUAUCAUCACAUGAUUGGUUUUAGGGCACAUUUCCAACAAUCUCCCACUUGCACUAGAGCCAAUCAGCUUGGUCAUCAGUGAUGAUACCUCUUCUGUAGUCAUUUCAAAAAUGGCUGAGUAGUAGGCCUAGACAAUGGAUAUCUAUAUGUUAUCCAUAGAAGCAACCUUGAGAAUAACGACGUCACCAUUAUACAUGAUUCUCAAUCAUGUGGUUCAGUCUCUCAUUUGAGUUCAGAUCGUGAUGAGACCUUGAUUCCCUGGCUUGAGCUAUCGCCCCAUUAGUGUCGUAGUGUCGGUACACUAGAGACACUUUUUGGUUGGAACCGAAUAGAGAGUUCAUAAAUGAACUUUCUCAUCCAAACAACAUUGUUGUAAGCUUCUAUAUGGCAAUAUAUUUUGCAUUCACAAUGGAACACACUAAAGUCAUUACUUUUAAUGUUUCCAUCCAAAUAUCUCUUUUAGUCAUAAUAAAGAGAUAUAUGAUUAUCUUUUCAUUCAUAAUGAAGAAACAUCCAAUGAUGGAUUAGAUUCAUAAUCUAAUACAUUUACGCUUCCAUUUCGUUACUCUAAUUCUUCCUCAUUCUUUGAGGAAUCUAUCCUUUAGUAUUUCUUAAAUACUUAAGGACUCACUUGACAGUUGCCAUGGUUCUGAUCCUGGGCUUGCAUUGAUAUUGUCUUGUACCGAUCUAGGUACAAUUCAUAUCAAUGUUUUUCAUACAAUAUGAAAUACAUAAAUCACCUUUCUACGUAUGCAUAAAGGAUUCUAUUUACGCAUUAUUUCUUUGGGAGUCAAAGGGUACGUUCCCUUUGAGAAGGGCAACUUGCUAGUCUCACUAGAGUUGUCCUUCUAAUUGAAGUUUAUCAUCAUAUGAGAAACUUCCUAGCAUCUUUUGUCUAUUAUUAGGGAUUGAUAUAAUCCAAUUAUAUCUUGAAAUAUAUCAUUAUAGAUUUCCAUCCCAUGUAUAUAGACUAUGUCUCCCAUAUCCAUUCUAUCGUUAUAGAAUGUUUAAAGUCAUAACUUUAACGAAGAAGUAUUCUUUUCAUUUCCAAAAUUAAUAUAUCAUAUAUGUGUGUGUGUAUAUAUAUAUAUAUAUAUUUAAAUUUAGGAACAUGAUUAACUCCCACUAAUCUUUUGUAAACCUAGUAAACAAAAGAUUCAUUUACAUCUUUAUGAGAAAUCAAACAAUUUGAUCUUUCUCUCAUAAGACGUUUAUAGCUCCCACUAGCUUGCUAAGAUCCAUGAUGGAUGGAUCUCUACAACUUACAUGUCUUGUGAUUCAUAGUUUUAGACAUAUAUAUUAUCAAGACUAUCUUAAUAAUGGUUUCGGAAACCCAUAUAAUGUCCAAACAUUGAAUCACCAUUUAGUUGUAGCUAGCGAUCUUCGAAUUAAUUGAAACCAAGACUACGUCAAAGAUGGUUUCUUCCAAAGUCAACCAAUCUCUUUGAAUUGUAGUCACCUUAAGCUACCAAUUAGCUAUGGAGGUUUCAUUAUUUCGGGUCAAAUGGUACUUUACCAUUUCCUUGAGUAUAUAUCGUAUAUACACUCAAUGUAGUCAUAAGGAUUUUCAUUCUUAUUUCUUUCGAAUUAAGAGGUGUAACUCUAUGACAUAGUCAUAAAGUUCAAACCAUUCAACUGAGACGGUUUAUAAAUCCUUCUCGACUACCUUGGAGCUUAUGGUGUAGGAACUAGGUUGUUAUAUUUGUUGAUCACUAUCUUGUUUCUCAAAGAACCCAUUCUUUGAGUUCUAUCCCUCGUUCAUUUGCUCUAUCUUAGGCAAAUCCUAGUGUAGGAUUACAAUGAACUACCCAACAAAACACAUUUGUUAGUUGGUUUAUAGAAGUGAUAUCCAAAGGUUAAUUUAAGGAUAUCCACAAGAUAAUUCUCAAACAAAUAUUGCUUAUUAGCACACAACCCCAAAUCUUAACAUGAUUAAGAUUUGUCUUUCUUUCCAACUACAUCUUAUGGAGUCAUGAAAAUUUUGGAAGAUCUUCUAAUUGACAAUCAUAUUGUCUUAGAAGCAUAUAUCCUAUAUAUGGGUAAUUGAUAACAUCCAACGAACUAAAUCUUAUUCAAGUUCGUUCUUCUCCUAAUGGAGAAAUCCAUUAUCUUUUUAUGCUUCUUUCCUUGAUAUUUUUCAAGGAAACUGUUCUAAAGUGUUAUCUUUCCUUGGAUCAAAUCUAAGGAGGCAAAUACUUUAGACGUCUUACUCAUCAACUUACAUUUCUUGAAUUCUUUGAAACCUUUUGCAAAGUAUUCGGACUUGUGUUUAUUCAAAAUAAACUAUAGUCCAACCGAGAGUGAUCUUCGGUGAAUGUCAUACAACAUGAGUAGUAUUAUGUUGUGGACAAGUGCCACUAACAUCUAAGUGAAUUAACCUCAACAACUUUGUGAUUCUUUCUUCUUUCCAAAAGAAUAAAGAUUCGAACAUUUCGCCUCUAUACAAUUUUAACAAGAAGGUAUUGGAUCCGGAUCUAACGAUCCAAAGCAUCCAUCUAUGACCAACUCGUAAUUUUAUGUUUUUGAGGUAUCACAACUCAGUUGGGAUUAGUCACUACCUUGCAACCUUUUGGGUUUUUAAGCAUCGUUAUAUUCUAAACAGUUAACACUACCAUAUCAUCUCUACUAUAGAGAUAAUCAAUUAGAUUACAAUAAUCUAAUCAUUCAUUAAUAAAGAACAAUGUUUUGUCAAACAAAACAUUCAUCCAUCCCUUAUAGUGAUGGAAUUAAGUUCCUUAAAAUUUGGAAUGUAAAGACAAUCUUUGGUUUUUCCAAUUUCUUUGGUAGUUCAUAUGAGGAAGUAAGUACCAUCUGCUUUCGCAGAGAUCUACAUUUGAUUCACGUUCCGAAUGUGAAGUACUUUCUCUUCUCUCAUUAAUCUUCUACUUCUUAUUAGCCACACUUUUACAACGAUUGUAAAACAUAGUUACUAAUACGGAAUCAAGCAUUCAAGUAGAAGAACCAACUGUUUUGAACUUUUCAAGAACAAUUUACAACACCUUCGAAAGGUGUGUUCUUGACACUUGCAAGACAUUUCUUGCAAAUACCCCUUCCAAUGUCCAUCCUUUCAUAAAGAAAGUUUGUUCCCUUGGAGUUUAUUUCGCUUUUUUCAUUUGACUUCUCCUUUGACUACAAUAGUCAUGGUCCCUAAACUCCCACUAUCUCUCUUGAAACUUAUUUCAAUUGUGUUAUACACAUCAAACGAUUUGGAGAGUGUGUGGUUAUUGUUCACUAUAUAGUUUACAAUAAACUUAGUGAACCAUUUGGAUAGGGACACAAAGGUGAAGUCCUUGCCUAGUUUCCUUUUCUAAAAGUGGUUUAACACUUCAACACUCAAUGAUUCAAAAUCAUCAUAAGUCCAUGUUGAUGGACUAUUUUUGUCAACCAACCAUUAUGUUCUAAACAUAAUUACAAACUUUCAAGAGUUGUUCAAGGCAACUCUCAUUUCUUCAUACAACAAUUUGUAAGUGAAGAAUCAUGGCACAUAAAGUGUCCAUGCCCUUGUGCUUUCUUCUCAAGUUCUUUGUUCAUUUAACAAAGAAACAAGCACUAGUGUUUGCAUUAGCUAAGGGUUGUUCAAAGCAACUCUUAUUUCUUCAUACAACGAUUUGUAAGUUGAAGAACUUAUGACAUUAAAAGUGUUGUCCUCUUUAUGAUAGACUUAUCUAACAUGUUCUUCCAAUGAUACAUUAUCAAUAGGAAGAUUGUGAGGAUUAGACUACUUAGGUACAUAUACAAUCCAUUUAAGACAAUCUUUGGGAUUGUGGUACCAAGUCCGGAAACUAAAGCAUUCGGCUUUUUCUUUGUCAAGUUUUGGAUAGCGUUUGCAAAAUAUAUUGGUAAACAAAUACAUAACGAAUAUAAAUUGAUUGAUUUGAAGCCAUUUGAUUCGGGUCUUUAAAUCAAAUAGCACCACCCACUAUUUUUGGCAAAUUCCAUAUCCCUCAUCGGAAUUCGAGAGUUUUGGAGGAAACUCUUAGUAGGGUAUGGGAGACUCAUCAUUACCAAGCCCACCUCAGAAUUAUAUCAUGUUGGCUAGCAACAAUAAUAAUGAGAGAGUAACGCUUACUCAUUUGCAACUUUUGCAAUUACCCAUCUUGUUUUUUGGCCUCUAGAGAAUGAUUGCCUCACAAUGAUAUCAUUUUUUGGCACCAUUGCACUUAGUUAAGUCAUUCCCACCAUGCUAGUUCGAUGUAGGGGUUCAAGCACAACCUCAGAAUUAUAUCAUGUUGGUCAUACUCGUUGCCUACACUUCACUUCAUCAUAUAUGUUAUAGGAACUCCUCCUGAGUGUAAGCACAUACUUUGUAACUUCCCCAUUAUAGGGUGAAGCCGGUGUAUGAGUCACAAACGAUUGGAGCCCACCACGGUGGAAGGCCACGAAAGAGUGUUCAAAGCACUCUCACGCUUAUCAACUUAAUAUUGGUUUGGUUGAGGGUUUUAGGUCUCAUCACAUAUAAGCAUGCAUUUUAAUCUUAUUAAAACAAUUUGGUCCUAUUACAACUAUUGGUCCAUGUGAUUGAUUUAGUUGUACAUGAUACUCCCACUAUGCUUAUAAAACGGUUUUUAAAGCAAGAGUAUAUGGUACUACUAACAUAAGGUUUGCAUUCAUUGAUGGACUAUAUAGUUGCCUUAAGGGCCUUAGGAUGAACUAUGAACCUUUGAUUUAGAUCCAACACGAGCCUAGUGUUGAAUCUCGGUCUAGGGAUGGUGAUUGAUUUUAGUUACGCGUUUAAUCACAUUAAGGCGUGUUGUCUUAUUGGGCAUUGGACCCGCUACUCCAUUUUUCAUGCAUAUCAAAUAAAACAAGAAAUUAAUACUUCAAAGUAAAGAAGAGCUUAUGCUCUUUUACAACAUUUGAUCAAAACAAAUUACUUUAAAGUAAAGAAGAGCUUAUGCUCUUUUACAACAUUUGAUCAUAUCAAAUUACAACCAAAAUCUAAUCUACACAUUCCCAUGGUUCAAACAAAUUUGAAACGGCCUUUCACAUAGCUCAAUUAUCGUAGGCUUAGGUUCAUAAUCACCCUUUAAUUAAUUAACGCUUUAACUAAUUAAACUUUGAAUGCAACAUUGUCAUUUGGUUUUUGUAUCCAUAAAAUUGAUUUAAAUGGAGCUAAAUGAAAUGAAAAUCCAAUUCUCAUUUAAAGAGACAAAACAAUUUUGUUCUCAACCUAAUUUGGGCCAAAAUGCAAUUACCACAACUUUUUGGGCUAUAUUGCAAAAACAUAAACUUUUGGGGUCACUUUGUAAAAACACAAAAGUCCACUACUUCAUGUAAUUACAACUAGAACCCAAAAAUUUCAACAAAUACAAAAACUUCAUUAAAGGAGCAAAACAAUUUGUCCUUUAGCGUUUUUGGACCUAAAAGUAAAAACGUAAACUUUUGGGCCAAAGUGCAAAUACACAAAAGUAUCAAAACUUUAUGUAAUUGCAUAAAAGCCCCAAAAGUACCCUAUUUUAAUAGGGUGGCCGGUUUUAGAUAUUAAAGGGAGUGAUGUGUGUGUUGAUUUGUAGUUUUGACAUAAAGUCAUGUAAGAGGUGCAUGACACAAAAGUAAUGCAAGUGGUGUGUGUGAAAGGGAAUUAAUCCUUACACACCCAUCAAUAUUUCUAUCACCUUUCUAAAUAAAUAUCUAACACAUUUAAACAUUUGAAAAGCACAAAACAAAAACUUUAUGAAAUAAAUCAAAACUUUGAAUCAAAACACCAAACCUUUUUGUUCUUGGCUAAAAUAUCAAGAACAAUAAAGAACAUUCAUGAAAAACUCAAAAAAUCUCCAUGAACAUUUUUCACCCAAAGACAUCCCAAAACCACUCAAACUUAAGGGAAAUAAUAUAUAACCAAACUAGGGUACAUAGGGGUUCCAAAAGUUACUUGAAAACACUUUUAACAAGUCAAACAUGAACCCAAAAAUCCACCCUUUGGAUUUGGCCGAAUUUUCCCAAAAACAUGGCACCAAAUUUUAGCUCCAAUAUUCAUGCUCAUAUGAACUACAUCUACAACAUUUGAGAUGGCAAAUUUUCCAACAAAAUUUACAUUCAAAGAAACAAGAAUAAAGCUUGUAACAUAUUACAACAUUUAAAUCAAAGACUAUGAACUACAAAACCCAAAAGGAUUCACCAACUACUAGACCUAGGCUCUGAUACCACUUGAAGGAAAUUUUGUGAAAAACAUGUUCAUUUGAGCAACAUCUAUAGCAUGCAAUUAACAAACUAAAGGCGGAAUCAUGCUUGCAUGCACUCAAAACAAAACAUUACCCAUUAAAUUCAAAGCCUAGUAGUUAGGUGAACCAAGACUCAACUCAAAACAAAGUGAGUUGAGAAAUUAUACCUUUGUUGAUUCCUCUUUGCAUAAGCAAAGGAUAAUCACCCAAGAGAUAGAGCCUUCAUUCCUUGCUUCUUAGAUCCAUGGAUUUGGAUGGAAGAAUAGGUUUCUCCAAGUUCUCAAAAUUGAGAACCUCUAAGUCUCCAUACCAAGGUAAGAUCUUUGGAAGAAAUGAGUGACCUAGAGGAAGUAAGAUUACUAGCUAUUUUCCUCUAGGGUGGCCAGCCUCUUUAGAGAGAAAAAGAGUUUAUGUUCUCAUCUUUUCUCCAAAAAAAACCCUAAAUGAAUUUUGGCUAUAAAGUCAUAUUUAUACCUACAUUCAUUGGAGUGGCAAACUUGUAAUUAAGUCCAAAACCCACUCCUUUAUCAAUAUGGCCGGCCAUAGGGUUUCAUUGGGCUUUUUAGGCCUUUGUGAAUUAUUUGUCAUUAAGUUGUCAUACAACUUAAGUCAAUGGGCUUGACGUUCGAAGCCCAUUGGGCCUUGAGCCCCAAAACUAACCCGUGGUCUUUUAACGAACUUUAUUCGUUUGAUUAAUUAACAUAUUAAUUAAUCCUUGCCAUAAAUAAAUAAUUAAACCAUUUAAUUAUCCUUACUCAUCUCCGUUGUUUCUUCAAUCUCUACCUUACACAGUGUACGAUCCAUUAGGUUCCUUUUAGCGAGGCAGUGGGUGAUUAGAACUCUUUCAAAUCGAUUGUGAAUUGAAACUUACUUUCAAUUCUCCCUUUAGUGAUUAUACACGUUUAGGGCUUCCACAAACCAUGAGUGACACCUAGCAGUAUGUCAUGGUUACCCAAGCUAAUCAGAAGAGGUGGAUAACCUAUUCAGUUUAGGAUUACAAUGCAAUACGGUCUUUCUCUAAUACAAUACUCUUGAUCACAUUGUUUGGAUUGAUAGUUUAUUCAUGUCUACUAUCCAAUGUGAUUCAUUUACUUAUAUGAUUACCUUGAAUGUGAUUUGGAAUGACUUCCUAAAUCUCAUUCAUACUCUAGCCAAAAUUCUUAAUCAUAUCAUAGAGUAUUCUCCCUCAAACGGUUUGAAGGUUAGAGAUCCCUUGUUGCGCAUUCACUUGCCUCCAUGGCUAAGUGGCUUAACCCCAACUAUGCUGUGGACACCCGCGAAUGGAGUGACUUUGACAUAAUCAAAGAUCAAGUACCUAACCACAAGACAACUAUGAUGCCUCAUGUCAAAUGACUACUUUGCAUUAUCCCAACCAUGAGUUCUCAUGUGACAUGAGUAUGAGAACUCUUCGUUGAUCGUGUUCAAUGGACUCAUUCGCUAUUGAGCACCUACAUGCUUGUCUUGGUGUCAAUCACACCAAUGACUCGAGACCAGUCACUCUCCAUGAGAGAAGACACAGCACGUACUGAUCUUAACGGACUGUCAAUGCCCAAUUGGCAAUCCUAUGAUCAAGAAUGUUUAGGAUAUGUAUACGAAAGAGAAUGGUCUCAUAAAUCUAACUUGUUUAAAUUACAUUCUCCUAAUUACAUAUUCCUUGGACUUAUCGUUUAAGCAUAUAACAUUUAUAUGAGACGGCUUAAAACAAUAAUCUUUGCCCUUGAUAUUAAACUAGAUUAGUUUAACAUGUGAAAUGUCCGUAAAGUAUCAUCACAUGAUUGGUUUUAGGGCACAUUUCCAACACACGUGAAGACUAGGCCCUGUCCUCUGGCGAAGCACUAACACCGGGGUGCAGGAUAACAAGUUCGAAAUAUAUCUCAGCACUAUUAUACUCACUACCAUCACUACCAUCAACAUACUCACCUGAAGUUUACCUGAGCAUCCGCAGCAUCGAGCAACAAAAUAUAUAUAGCUAUACUAAUGCACAAUUAAACAUAGAGAGCAUUUGACAUGUAUAUAUAUAUACUGAAAACCAAAAGCCCACUCAUUGAUAUAAAGAAGGGUCAUAACCCCUGAGCCUUGCUGAAAACCAAAAGCCCACUCACUAAUAUGUAGAAGAGUCGUAACCCCCGAGCCUUGCUUGACUGCGCUUUUUCUCUGGAUAGGUCUCACCUAUAUGCGAAACAACUAUUUAAAUGUUAUUUUAAAUCACAUAAACAAAACUAGGUAAUAACUUCUCAUACGAUGCUCAAUUUGGGUAUUCGAAUAUACCAACGCGAUCUACUCAACCUCAUGAACAUCCCCAUAUUUUUAGAAAACUUUUCCGAUCACCCACGCGCCCUCAUGUGCUGGCCAAGGCACGGCCAGACGCGCCGCCCACGUGCAGGCAGUGGCGAAGCUACAGAGGAGCAAGGAGGGGCGGUCGCCCCUCCCCUCGCCAGAAAUCAAGCCUAGGAGCGGUGGUUCCGCCCCUCUGGUCCCGUCGGAAAUUAUGGUUGCUCAGCCCAAUCUCUGGUUUUCUGGGUUUCUGCUGCUGCGCAGCAAGAGUGUUAUAAUUUUUUUUUUUUAAAAUCCUUUAGCAAAAACGACGCCGUCUCGUUUGGUGAUUUUAAAAAAAGUAAAUGGGACGACGUCGUUUGAGCUUUUAGCCCGUUACCUCUUCACCUCGUUUUCCUAUUUCCAGAACAAAUUAGAGCACAUAACAGCGCCCUAUACGCCUCCCCUCCUCCCAACCCAAACACUCAAAGGUUCGUUCUUUUCCAAUUCAAUUCGUUUUUUAGCAAAUGGGUUUUUUGGGUAUUUGAAUUUUGUGUUUCAUGUACGAUUUCGGGUUGAAAGAUUUGAUUUUUUUUUUGUUCACUUGGGGAUUCCCAAUUGCCUGAUUGAUCGGUUAAUAUUGAAACCCUAGGCGUUUGAUGAUUUGCUUUCGAACAAUGGAACUAGGAGUGGGCCAUUGGCAGAGUUUGAUUGUCUUCCUCCACCUAUCUCUAGGUGUUUGAUAGUCUUCCUCCAUCUGCCUCUCGUAUUGCUUUUUGCUUGUCUUUAUACACUCCAUGUGUUUGUUUUAAUGCCUCAAAGAAUUAUCUGACGAAUUAGUCCCCAGGGGCAAUGUGAAUGAAAAUGAGAAUGAUAUGGCGGUAAUUCUGAGUAUACCAUUGUUGAUGUUGAGGUGGCGAACGAGGAAAGUGAGGGUAAUAGAGAUGAAGGGGAGGUAGCAAAAUGUUCAGUACAAAGGUAUUAAACUUGGUCUAAGGGAUUUCGUUUUCUACGGUGUUCUUGUGCGCAGAGCUGCAAUGCAUGACAUUAUGACUAUGUAUGCCUAUUAUCUUGCCAUUAUUUUGGGACUCAUAGUGCACUCUUAUUUUGUGGUCAGUGUACCAUCGAGCUUUGCCAAUAUCUAUCAUCUUGGGUGUCAUUUUUUACUUCUUUACUCGGUUAUUACUGGAGCCUUAUGUUAUUGGGACAUCUACAACUUGUUGAUAUUUUGAUAGUCCAUUUGUUUUUGGUAAGAGAGAGGUUAUAUUUAAGAGGAAGCUGAUGUCCUAGCUAUUUUUUGUUGCUACUGAAUUCUCUAUCAAAUGGGUUUCCAAAUUAGAAGUUCAUCGAUAAUGUCUAUUGGUUUGUAAAUAGUAUAUAAAAAGGAUUUGGUUGUCUAAAUUUGUAUUGAACAAAAUUAAUAUUGUUCAUUCUUUAUAAGGAUUUGGUUGUCUAAAUUUUUUGGGAUCUUUUAUCCUUUUAAAUUUCGCCCCUCCCCUCGAUAAUUCCUGGCUUCGCCACUACGUGCAGGCAUGUGCCUGGCACACUGACGGAUUCCCUAAUGGCGUUAGGGAAUAUUCCGUUAAAUAUAAGCAUAUGCCGUUAUAUUUACCUGACAGCGUUGAGAAUAUUCCGCCAAAAUUGACAAAAUAUGCUCCUUCUCCUUGCUUGGUUCGCCGAAGUCCCGCGUCUACCACUGUUGCGACCGCCGGAAACUGGAAAAACUUCAAACCUUAAUAUCUCAUCCAAUUGUCAACCAAACUUCAUGAAAUUUGUCUCAAAAUGAAGCUCUAAACAAGUAGAACACAUUCUUAUCUUUCAAAGAUCCUAAAAACCACAAUAAGUGGUUGGAAAUUCCUUCUCUAUUCCUGCUAAACCUGCAACUUCCCAAACCCGUGUAAUUCGACGUUCAAAACUUUCCAAAAUUGCUCCCAGAGCUUCAUAAAGUAGUUAUAAGACUUCUUCAAGCCUCAAAAUGCCGUGAAAAAUACACAAUCGCCACUGAGCAACAAAGCCCUCGUCAGAGGUUAUGGGUUCUCGUGUUUUUCGAAGUCCUCACGUCCAACCAAAGGUACGAUUGUGAUCCUGAGCUUGCAAGGAACCCAAAAAUCACGUCCACAACCUCGAUCCGUGACUUAAGGGUUGGUUUGGAAGUUGUUCGUACAAUUGUACGGAAAUGGAAAUAAGUCCGAGAGGGAAUGAAAGAGAGAGUCAACAGGAGAGUGUGAGUGUGUGGUCCAGGUUGCAACCCAACAAAACAAACAAAACAAUCUAACUUCCAAUUGGGUCCAACAACUUAGGAAGAAAAUGAAUUGGUCCACAACCUAAGUUCAUUUCACACAAUCACAACCCAACGCUCAAGGGCAAUAUAGUAAUUUCCACGCUCUCGAGGAUAAAAUAAUACAUAUCUUUGGAACGGGCUAUCACAAGUACGGUUUUGAGUGAAACCAAAUCAAAACUGAAUUUUUUUUGUGAAUUGGAUCAGUGCGGUUUUGGAGCUAAACUCGAAAUGGAACCAAACCAUUUGUUGCAAUUCAGUUUCAAAUGGUUUUAGUUUAAUUCGGUUUCAAACGAUUUUAGUUUCGGUUUCAAACCAUUUGUAAACUAAAUGCUCUAUGACAUUAAUAACAACUCAAAUUAAAAAAAAAAAAAAAUCCUUGACCACCAUACUAAAAAUCAAUUUGAUAUAAAGUUCGACAUCAAAACACCUUAUAACAUUAUUUUAGUAUUAAGUGUAGGGUCAGGAAAAUAUAACAUAAUGCUAACUUGAGAUGCAGAUGUUCGAGCCAGAUUAAAACCUACGUAAGUAUACCAAAUACAUGACAGAAGAACUUGAAUCAUAACAUACAACGAACCUUGCCAAUACUACGACUAAUAGUAAUAUGGAUUCAACCAAAUAACUAAUUAGAACCCAACAUCUAAUUUUAGUAUUAAAUUAAUAGUUAUUUAAUUUUUGCAAUCUGGUUCGAUUUUAGUGCGGUUUCAUAUGCUCAAAGCUGAAACCAAACUGUUUGUCUAGACUGCGGUUCAAUUUUAAAACCGCAAAAACCAAACCGUUUGGUGUGGUUCAAUUUAUUUUGUGUUUUGAUUUCGGUUUUCAGUUUCUAAGUGCCCACCCCUAAUUAGGUGAGGUGUAAUUGAAUAUUUAACUAGUGGAGUCUUUGCCUUGCUUUGCAUAUCAGUAGGAAAAUGAUUUACAUAGAACAAGUUUAUAGUCGCGUAGUGUCCUGUACUCAAUAAGGCAUUGUCAAGUACAAAUUUUUCUCUACGUGAUAAUGUAUUAUUUUAUUGAAACGCCACAUAAAGUGAACCCAUUAUAUAUAAAUUGUUCUUCAUCAGUAAACAUAUCAAGCAAGCGAGGCUACGUAGUCAUGCUCAUAUUGUAAUCCACACUCAACCAACAUCUAGGGUAGAUAAAUGAAGUUAGAAAACUAUAAGUAUUUCAAAUUUUUAAGGAAAGAUCUAAAGAGAUUAAUUGGGUGUCACAUCUGGCAUACAAGUUGAAAUCAAUUUUAUAUAAUUAUUCAUAUGUCUCUCUCAGUCGUGAUGUACAACACAUGAUUAUAUAUUAUUCUGUGACAACAGAUCAAAGGUAAACACAAUUAUGUACAAUCAAACCAUGCAUCCAUACAAGGAAAAGAAAAUUCUAAUGAAACCCUAGAAACAUUAAUGGCGUGUUUACAUAUGGGGAAAGGAUAUGACGGAAUAGGAGUCAUUCUCCAAUUCUGGUUAUUCUUCCGUUUACCAACUUAAACGGAAUGCACAGUUUUGCAGGCCCCCUUGUAAAAUCAGUAUUUCAAUUCCUGAUAUUGCCGAAAUUGACUUAAGUAGACAAAGGUGGUAUUUUGAUUCCAGAGAGAAGGCUCCAUCCUGUAUCAAAUUUUCCUUCCCAAAAUGCCCCUCACAUUCAAUACUCCUUUCCAUCUUCUCGUUGUCCUCCGCCAUCCUCUCCAGCAGCUCUCUGCCAAUGACAACUUCUUGGCCACUCCACGAAACUACGGUCACCUUCAUCGUCGACAGCAAGUGAGAGCGACCCACUUCAGCAAAUCGAUCAAGCAACAAACCCUUUUAAUUAUUUCAAAAAAAAUCACGCAAUUUCCAUUUGAAUUGCAUAGAGUGCGAAUCAAUCCGAAAAGAAAGAGAAAUGAGGGUGAGAGUGAGAUCCGGAAAUGGGCUCUUUCUACUGGGGUGGUGAUUAUGGGGUAGGGUGAGUGGGAAAGAUGAAAGCGAGGGGGAAAGGGGGAGGGAGGAGUUUUUAUCUUAUGCUGGUGAAGAUACAGAAGAUAGAUGAAGGUUUACAUAAUGAUAUUUUGUGAAAAUGUAAUAUGGGCAAGAAAUAAAACAAAAAUAAUAAGGGCAUUUUAGUAAUCAUAUUGAUUUUCAUUCCGAUUCAUAUGAAUAAGUAAACAACUUAUAUGAAUUUCGUUUCAUUUUUACUCUGAUUCCAGAACAUUUAAGUAAACAACUUCAACAAAAAUUUGAUUCUGACUCCUCAAUUCAAUUUCUCCUCAAUCUAAUUCCUCUAUUUUAAUUACGGUUAAGUAAACGCGUCCUAAAAGUGCAUUUUCCUCAACACCCUUAAGUGGUGGUAGGGUUCACAUCCUAUUCUAAUGUGCGGCUUGUGGACAUGCCUCCUAUUUGUUCAGGGAGGGCAGCAUGGCCUAUGAUGCUAAGAUGUUCAGUUGACCCCUUGACCUUGACAGGCAGAUGGCAUUUUUGAACGCUUUUAAAUUUUAAAAUUUAUGUUUAUUUAUUACAUAAAUUUUAAAAUUUAAAUUCUCUUAACGUAAAAUAAAAAAAUAAAAUAAAAUAAAAAAUAAAAUAAAAAUAAAAAUAAAAAUAAACCCUAUCUACUCAUAGUGGCUUUCACGUAGGCUAUGGGACAGCGCGAGCAGCAUUCUGACAAGGGUUUGGCGACAUGUCACUUUCCCCUAUAAUUUACUUUUAUCUUUUAGUGGGAUGCAUAUAUAUUUUAUUCAGAAAACCAGCAACGCUAGUCAAGCCAGUUGGAUCACAAGACAAGAUCCCAAUUUAUCAUAAUAUCGGGGAUAUAUUCAAAUUGGUUUCUUUUUCUUUAGUGGUCAGCUGUCAGUGACAGCAGCCAAGUAGGUCUUCUUUUACAACAGUGCUAUCAAUGACCUUUUAAAACUUUUAUUUCUUUUGCUUUUUUUUUAAAUUAAUCUUAUUAAUUCAUUAAUUAGUUGAAUAAUUAAUGACUCAUCUCACAUCACAUGCCCAGGAAGACUACUUAAAAGAACAAUAAUAAUGUUAUGCCAAAAGGAACACCAAAAUAUGUAUUAGGUUUUAUUGUGCAUUGUGCAGGAGAGAGGUGCUAACGUAAACCCGAAGGAGAAAUUUCAUCAUCCACAACAGGCCACUUUAUUUUAUUAUUUUUGGAGGGGGGUCAGUUCUGCUAAGUUAUACAAUGGACAAUCUAAUUUAGUAUCGAAUUCGCUAUCUACAAAAUUCGAACCUAAGACCUCUAACUUACAAGUGAAGAUAAUAUCAUCAUACUGUAAUACUAAGGGACUAAGAGCAACUCCACCCUUAGAGCCCUCCCCCAGGCAAUCCACUAUUCAAACCACCCUGUAAACAGUAACUGCCAUAAUGAACAGUAACUGCCUUUUGCAUCUCCACCCUUGCACUUGAAUAGCCCUGACAAUCGGCAAUAAAAUAUUUAUUAAUUUUUUUUUUUACAAAAUAAUACUAAAUAAUUUUUUUGUAAUUUCGGAUAAGAUAUUUUAAAUCGUUCUCGUUGCGCCACGUGUCAUUUACCCAAAACGACUAUUAUUGUUCAUAGAUUUCGAUAAGAUUUUUAUCCAAUGUCAUCGUGCCACGUGUCGUUAUCUUUUCAGAAUCUUUGAGGAUAGAUUUCGAUUAGAUUUUAAAUUGUUCUUGUUGCAUUAUGUGUCAUUAUUCGAAAAUAUAAUUAUUGGUGAUGGAUUUCGAUAAGAUUUUUAUCCAAUGUCAUUGUGCCACGUGUCGUUAUCUUUUCAGAAUCUUUUAGAAUAGAUUUCGAUCAGAUUUUUAACGAAUGACGGCAUGCCACGUGACACUAUCUACAACCUAAUCAUUUCAGAAUCCUCCAUAUAAUCCAUCAUCCAUGCUUUUAAAUCUCACACCAAUUUUCUCAAUAUCUCUAUCAUUAUUCAUAGUUUUUGCUUCCUUCUUCACCAAAUCAAAAUUUGUUUCAUUAUUCACAGUUUCUACUUACAAUGUCAUCUUCUUCAAGCAUGAUGUGGGAAAUUGAUCAAGAAGAGGAAAAUUGUUUAACCAAUCUGAAGGAAUGUUCAAUCUCCAUAUAGCCCAAAAUGAGAAGGAAGAGGAUGAGAAGCGGAGAAGGAGAGAUGACGAAGCAAGAAUGGCCAGAGACUCACAUUCUUGUUGAGUCGUCCAAGCUGUGGCUCAGAUAUGCAGGCCCACCAGUUUUGGAAACCUUGAUAGAAGCAGGCAACAACGAGGUGAUGAGCUGUUGGACGAUUAUUUUGUCUAUAAUAGUGCAUUUCAUAAUGAGUACUUCAGACGUCGUUUUAGAAUGGAACAACAUUUGUUCAACAAAAUCAUGAUUUCUGUUUGCAACCAUGAUUCUUACUUUGUGCAAAAGAAGGAUGCUUGUGGUGCUAUGGGUCUCCUUCCCGAGCAAAACAUUACUGGUGCGUUGCGGAUGCUUGCGUAUGGAGCAGCUGUAGACCAAGUGGAUGAGAUAGCGAGGAUGGGGAAAUCAACCAUUCUUGAGUCCUUUAUGAGGUUUUGGGGAGCAAUCGAAUCUAUCUACACUGCAGAGUACCUCCAGAAACCUACUCACAUGGACUUGGAAAGACUUCUGAAGAAGGCCGAGAUGCGAGGUUUUCCUGGGAUCACAUGGACUUGGAAAAACUGUCCAAGUGCAUGACAAGGCGCUUAUGGAGACAGAAAAUGAGCAAAAAGUAUAAUUUUGGAGGCGGUGGCAUCUUUUGAUACAUGGAUUUGGCACGCCUUUUUCAGGGUUCUGGGACCUUAAAAUGACCUCAACGUCCUUGCCCAAUCCCCAGUGUUCAAUGAUGUCCUGCAAGGAAAGGCACCAAAAGUCACGUAUGAGGUCAACGGACGUAUGUAUGACAGGCCAUACUACCUAGCUGACGGCAAUUAUCCAAGGUGGUCAACAUUUGUCAAAACAGUGCCAUGUCCGCGAAGUGCAAAGGAAAAAUACUUUGCAAGAUGUCAAGAGGGGUGCAGGAAGGAUGUGGAGCGUUGUUUCAGUAUCCUCCAAGCUCGCUGAGCGAUCGUCAAGGGUGCUACCAGAUUGUUUGAUGUAGAGUCGCUUCAAUCCAUCAUGAUGACGUGCAUCAUUCUUCACAACAUGAUUGUGGAAGAUGAGUACGAUUAUGAAGUCGUUGAUGAAUAUGAGCCAGACACAAUGAACAAUUCAAGAACACGUAUAUAUUGUACUCAUGACGCCAUCGAUGAGGCCGUGCAACAUGAGCCAUUAGAAAGGGAUGGACGUUACAAUGAAAGGGUCAUUCAACGAUAUACUGCAUUUCAAAGGUCAGACAUGCACAAUGCCCGGCAAAAUGACUUGAUAGAGCACCAGUGGGCAUUGAAACAAGCUGAAGAUAAUUAAGUUCAUUUAGUGUGUUUUUUAUUAUUUGGUAUGUUUAUGUAAUUUUAUUUGGUGUGUUUUAUUUUAGUUCAUUUAGUGAGGUUUUUAUUAUUUGGUGUGAGGUUUUUAUUAUUUGGUGUGUUUAUGUAAUUUUAUUUGGUGUGUUUAUGUCAUUUGAAUAAAGAUUCUCUUAUAGUAUAAGAUAUUACCAUAUUACAUAAAUUUAUUCUCACUUUAAAUAAAGUACUAAAUUCAAUAAAUUCAAAACAACAUAAAAUACUCAAUUCAAUAAAAAAUAAAUUACAACCCAUGGUGAUUGGAAAACUAUGGGCUCCGAUUACAAAAAGUACUCUAAUCAUCAUCACUUAACCAAUUUGUGGUGCUAGGAUGAUCUUCUCUUGUCGUGCUAGGACCAUCUCCUCUUGCUCUCGCUUCUCUUGCACGCCUCCUACACACCACAUCAUCUUUCUCUGACUUUCAAAAAUAUUUAGAAUUUGGAGACUUCCCUUCUAAAGGUGUGUUCAUAAUCUCACGAUCUCGUUGAGCCAUUCUUUCUUCUCUAACCAAUUCCCUUUCUUGCCUAAGUAGCUCUAUUUCUCUUUGAUUAGCUUGAAAUUCUCUCUCAACAACUGUAGCUUUUGCCUCCUCUCUAGCCUUAUCAGCCUCAAAUUUUGCCAUUUCCCGCGCCAAAGUCAAUUCACUAUGGCGAGUAAGUUCUUCCAUGUACUUUGCAUAAUCAUGCUUGGAAGCACUUCAUUUUCUUUUUGAAGCCUUCUUACCUUGAGGCCUAAUUGGAUAACGGGUCGAACCCGACGCUUGUUCAGGGAUGGGCGUUUCGGGCACUUCUUCUGCAUCAUCUUCAUGCGAGCCAUUAUCAGGUGUAGAGCAUAGCGAGGUGCUGUUUAUGACAACUUCUGGACCAACAGGCACAACUCUAAAUUUAGGACAAUCUUUGACAAUAUUCCAACAUUCCCACCGGUUGAAUGAUUUAUUUUUUGUUUUGGUUUUGGCACCAUACCAAGCUUGUGCUUGAAUUAGCUACACAAUGGAGGAGAAGAAAUAAUUAUAAUCAAAGUAGAUAACAAAUAAAUAAUACAAACAAAUAAUUAUAAUUAAAGUAGUUAACAAAUUAUUGGUAACAAAUAAAUAAUACAAACAAAUAAUUAUAAUUAAAGUAGGUACCAAAUAAAUAAUACAAACAAAUAAUUACAAUGUAAAUUUGGGUAUAGUACAAACAAAUAAAUAAUAUAUUGUUACCUGCUCCGUGUAAUUUUCCCCACUUCAAAGAUUAUAAUUUUCCCCACUUCGAAGAUUACUACUAGCUUGUGCCAAGGCGUCUCUCCAAAUAGUAAACGAUUGGCUAAGUAAUUUCCAACGACUAGACAUCAAUUCUUUGGUUCUACUCCCACCCAUUUUCUCAAGAUAAUUGGUAUGAAUAAGACUCCACAUUUCUCGCAACUGCAUCUCAUUAUCCGUACGUGAACUAUGAGUAACUUCAACCCCGCUAGUACACAAUGCAACAUCUUCAAGAGAUGUCCAAUUCGUACCUGCAUCAGUAGUCAUUUUGUUGAAAAAAAUUGGAUUGAAACUUUGAGAGAAAGAUAGGAAUGUGAUUGAAAGUAGUUGAGAACAUAUGAAAUUGUGGUGUAAGUUAGAUGAUAAUUGACACACCCCGUCCCGAAGGAGGGCAUGCUGGCCGUCACGUGAGAGUGACGUAACCAUUUACACAGUUCGGAAGCUUUAAAAAUACAAUUACUAAGAUGAAACACUCGAGGGUGAGUCCUACUUUUGUGAAUUCUGUCAGAACACCGUUGGAUUCCUCGUGGCCACCAAAGCUCUGCUAUCUAGAACCUGGAGGGGCGCAAACAAAGUUGAGUGGGUCAGUAAAACAAAGUUUUUCGAAAACAUUUCAUUUAAAACAUUUCUAACCCCUCGUUGUAAAACCUGUAUACUUUCCCAGAAAAUAUCAUAAUAGCAUAUACCUUCAAAUAUCUCAAAUCAUCAAUCUUUAUCAAAACCAGAAAGUAUGCCAUGCUAUAAUGUCAAAAACAGAAUAUGGAUGCAUCAAUAUAACAGGUGAAAUAAGGAAUCAACCGGAGACCCUGCAGUUGGUCCUGUACGGUUAAUUCUAUAGCUCAAUAUCCAAUCCAACUAGAGUCACCACGGUGACCUGUACGGCGCUACUCUGCACAUAAGUCGGAACUACCUGAAGUAAUUUGUACGACAAGAAUGGUGUAAUAAUACGCUCUAGUGCUUCUCUCAUCAAUCAUCUGUGCACAAAAUCUAAGGUCACCUACCAGUCGGAACCACCUCUAGUGGUCUGUACGACUAGCAUGUCAGAACCCUCUCAUGGUCUGUACGACAUGCACCUACUUAGAUCCAAGGUGAGUGUGCGGUGCGGUGAAUAAUAUAAGCACUAAUACCAGAGGUGCAGGUCAUGAGCUCUCAACACAAUUCACAUCAUCGAUGAUUCACAUGGAUAACAUAAAACUCACAUGAUACUCACAUGUGCAUCCCCAGCACCAAUUCACAUAUAUAUAUAUAUAUAUGCAUCAAUUAUCAAUUCAUAUAUCUCAUAAUAUGCAUGCAUGGCAUUUUAAAAUGUACUUUCAUUUAAACUCAAUUUCUAGGAAAAAUAUCAAUAGUAUAUAGGUAUAAACAGAAAUACUGCCCACUCACCUGGAGUUCACCCAACAACUCCCUAGCACAACACAUCAAGGCGUCAUGACGAUCGACGCCUAGAACAAUAAUCAAAUCCAUCCUCAGAAUUCAUAUCGAUAGAAUAUAUAACUUAUAUAAAACACGUCACUACGUAGUUCGAUCCAGACGAUCUGCAACUCAGAUUUCAAAUCCAUAACUUCCAAAGGUCCACAAUAUACCUCUAGGACAACAUCCUAAAAUUUCAUUACCAUCCAACGGUCGGAUCUCCGUAAAUUUCCAAAACCAAGUGACGGUUAACAUUAUAUUUUAUGAACUUACAACUCCAAUUCCGAAAGAUCCAUAAAUUGAAUUCUCGAUCCGUAAGUUCCUAUAAUCCUCAAAUAUUACGUAUUACAACGUAUCAAAGUUUGGUGACGAUCCAACGGUUGGAUCGUCGAUUCACCUUUUGGCCUAACCACGAAUCGUAACGAACUUAGGUUCAAUUACUCAAUUUACGUCCAUCAAUUAUCAAAAUUGAACCUAGAACCUUAAAAAAUGCUAAGAAUGACAUUGGCGGGCCAUUGGCCACGCGCCGCCACACGGGCCGCCGCGGGUGGUGGUUGGCCGCCCCGGCUCACCGGAAAAUCCAACUAUUUCCAAAAAUUCUCAAAAAAUACAGAAAUGAAGAUCUCAAAUAGUAGAGCAAACUUUAUACCUGAGGCCAAAGCCAAUUUGGCUUGGAAACACUUCAAUUUCACCAAAAUCAGUACGAAACCCUAGAAAUGGGUGAGUUCCAAUUCGUCUUCAAUUCAACUCCGUCGUCGCAACCAAUGCUUGGGAUUUGUUCUAGGCCUCAAGAGAAGUGUAUGGGUGGUGGCAAUUGAAAGAAAUUGCUUCGGGAUUGGGUGAAUUUGAACAAGAAAGUCGCGACACCUGUGUGGGUGUUUCUUCGCGAAAUCACCACGAAAUUCAUUGAUUUUUGGGUCAAUUAGGAUGCUAGGAUAUCUUGCAGGUGUUUGGGGUUGAUGGGAGGUUGAAGAAGACCAGAAAUUUGGACGGAAAACCGUCGGAAAAUGGCCUUGCGGGAGCGGGUCGCCGCGCGGGUCCAAUAGACCCGACCAAUCAUCUGUUUUCCUUCUUCCUCCUUUCCCUCCUUUCCUUCUUCUGGUUGGCCAAGCAGGUUCCUCUCUCCUCUCCCCAUUCGGCCUCUCCUUCUUCUUCUUCGAUUGGGCAGCUUUGCCCAAUCUCUAUUUUUCUCUUCUUCUUCCCCGGUGCCUUCCUCUCACGCACACACACCCACAAAACUUUCUUCAUCUUUUAUUUUUAUUUCCUUUCCCUUAUAUCCAAGCCAUCCAUUUCAAAUUUCUUUUAAUCUAGGCCAUCCAAAUUUUAAUAAUAAAAUUCAUAAAAUGUCCAAACUUCAAACUUUAAAAUCUUUUUCGUUAUAACUCCAAAUAGCGAACCGUAUGCGCCCACGCGUCCGUAGCGACGAGUACUACAAGGAUAUGUCAAGAAAACAAAUCUUAGAUGGCAUGACACAACGAUUAACCUCGAAUAAUGCGCGUGCCUCAAAGGGCAUUUUUGUAAAAUCCUUUAUUAAAACUUUAAAAACUCUUAAAAUUAGGGACGGGCUGUCACAAUAAUGAGAAGGUAUUUAUAGAAAAGUAGAAACAUUUUGUUUUUUAAAUUCAGAUAUUUUUUCGGAUUUGUUUUACAAUUUUUAAAAUUUUUUUAUUCAAAUAAUUAAUCUCUGCUGUUGGAUUUAAAAAAAAAAAUUGAAUUCCAACACUCUAGAUUGUGCCACGUGUCACAAUGGUAACUUUUCUUAAUUUUAAAACUAUUUUUUCGUUUUAUUUAUUUAUUUAUAAAGCAUAUUAAUAUCGACAGUUGAUCUUAGAUCGAACAAUUGAUAUUAAGUAAGAUUUUUUUUAUUUUUUUUACCGUUGAGAUCGAACUGUCCAAGUUAAAUAACCGUUGAGAUCGAACCGACCGUGGGAAGCAAUGUGGCUUCCCAAUGGUAACAUUGAAGUCUGAAAAGGUUUCUGUUUUUUUUUUUUUGAAAAGUUGUCGGGUGACAUGCCCCCAUGCUCGAGUGGGGUGCACGCGCUUGACAGAAAAAAAAUUAAAAAAAGGCCCGAAGCUUGGGCUCGCGGGCUGUCAACUCUUCACAGGCCCGGAGCUCUGGCCUCCACCUCGCUCGGGCUCCUUCAUGCUAGAGCAAAUCCAUAGGGCCUCGGGCCCUUUUCUCUCACCUAUCCCCCGAGCAAUCCACAAGGGUGGAGUUGCUCUAAGCUAUACAAUAAAUAAUCUAAUUUGAAGUUGAAUUCGCCUCUCACUUGCAAGUGAACAUGUCACGUUAUUAAGCAUGACAUUCUUUCCCUCUUUUUCCAUAUAAAAAAAAAAAACUAAUGAAAAUGGCUUAAAAACUUUGCGUUUUAACGAAAAUGAAAAAAAUAAAAGGGAAUAGUACUAUGGUUGACUUUUUAGUGUAAAAAUGUGGUUUUUCAUUAAAGUAAAUAUUACUGGGAGCUUUUCGUUAAAGUUCUUUAUUAAAAAUGUUAAAAGAAACCACAUUAUUGUACAACACUUUGUUAGAGAGAUAAUAGGACCCACUUGUACUGGGAGGCUUAGCUAUUUCUAAUAGAAAUGUGAUACAUUGUAACAGUGCAGAAAUUUUUAAUUGUGACGAGAACACAAGUAGUACACCACGUGUUUAAAUAAAAGUGGUGGGAAAUUUUAUUUUUUAAGUUAUUAACUUUUUAGUACACAUAUCCCACCAUUUGUAUAAUAACACAUGGUGUACCAUCCCAUGUACCGGUCAUAUUGAAAAAUCUCUCGUAACAGUGGUUGUAUUGGAGGCGUGCAAAAAGUGUCUCAGCAUAAGGAUGAGGAUACUUUCUAGAUUCUUUUAGUGAUCCUCAUCUCCAGAUUCUUUUUGUGAGGAUUCUCACAUCCUAUUUGUGACAGCCCGUUCCGAAAUAAAAUUUUUGAAUGGUGUGAAUUGUCUAAAAUACCUUAGAUGUUGAGAUGUGUUGUGUGAUAUGUUUUGAUUGUGGUCCAAUUCCUAUUUUCCUAGACUUUUGGAACUAUUUAGGAUUUAGGUUUUAAUUACUUUUGUUUUUGGUUGGCUGCAAACUGGACCACACACACACACACCCAUACCCAAUCCCGUUAACCUUCUCUUUUUCCUCCCUCUCGGUUUCUUUCCAUUUUUCGUACAAUAUGUACGGACAAACCUUAAACCAAGUAAUUUCUUCACGGAUUAAGGUUUUUGAAGUCAUCUUCGUGUGCCUUGUGAGCUCAGGAACACAUCUAUACCGUUUUUAAAAAGUGAUGACCUCAUUUUCCCGAGAACUCGAGAACCCAGUUUUGGGUUACUGUUCAUGCACUCAUGAUUUUAAAGUUUUUAGGAGAUUUUAAGUUGCUAGGGAGCCUUAAAACAUCUUCACGAAGCUCGGGGAGUAAUUUUGAAGUGAAUUGGACGUCGGGAAGCCCAAGUUUAGUGAGUUGCAGGUUUGGCUGGAAUAUCGAAGGUUUUUCAAGCAACUUUCUGUUGGUUUUAGGUCCCCAAAGUGGUAUGAAUAUGUUCUUCUCAUCUUAAGCUUCAUUGUACAAAAUUCGUGAAUUUUGGUUUAGAAUCGAAGGAGAUAUGAAGAUUUUAAAUUUUUUGAGAAACCGACAAGUGUAGUGGUGACCGGCACCGGACUCCGGCGAACCAAGGAAGAAGGAGAUUAUUCCGUCAAACUUAACGGAAUAUUCUAACGCCGUUAGGUAUAAUUAACGGUAUAUUCUAGUUUUUAACGGAAUAUUCCCUAACAACAUUGACUAUUCCGUCCCCUGUGCCAGGCAUGUGCCUGCGUGUGGGCCGUGUGUCUGGUCAUGCCUUGGUCGGCUCGUAAGGGCGCGUAGGGUCAUGAAAAGUUUUUCUAAAAAUUUGGGGAUGUUCCUGAGGUUGAGUAGAUCAUGGUGGUAUAUUCAAAUACCCCAUUUGAGCAAUGUAUGAGAAGUUAUUUCCUAGUUUUGUGUAUGUGCCUUAAAUAACGUUUAUUUAGUUAUUUCGCAUAUAGGUGAGACCUAUCCUGAGGACGAGCGCCAUCAAUAGAGGCUCGGGGGCUAUGACCCUUCGACAUAUCAGUGAGUGGGCUUUUGGUUUUUCGUAUAUACUUAUAUACUUGAUUUUUCCCAGAAAAUGAAUUUGAAUGAAAUUAUGUUUUGAAAUGCCAUGCAAAGUAUUUGUCUAUUUUAUUAUGCAUUAGUAGUUGCAUAUAUUUACGAUUGGUGUUGCGGAUGCACAGGUAAGUACUAGGUAAGUUUAUAAAUUAAAGGUAUGAAAUUGUUUCAGUUAUGCAAUGCUUAAUGUGAUGUAUUAAGAGCUCAUAAACCUACACCCCGGUGUUGGUGCUCCCGCCUAGAGUUAGGGCACAGUCCUUCACGUGAUGUUCACCUCCCGCACCAUAUGCUCACAUUGGAUCCAAGUUUGGUGCACAUGCUUGUCGUACAUACCACUUUAUGUGGUUCCGACUUGUAGAUGACCUGCGAUUAUUCGCAUAGUCUUCACGUUAUCGUAGCACUAGAGCAUAUUUAUUUUACACCUAGUCUUGUCGUAUAAACCACUUUAGAUGGUUCCGACUCGUGUGCAAGAUUUGAUUUGAUAUGAUUGAGAUUGGUUAUGAGCUAUAGACUCAGCUGUGCAGGUCACAUAGGUAGAUUCGGCUGAUAUGAUAUCUAGCAUUGAUGCAUUUUAACUGGAUUACUUAUGGCAUUUCAUUGAGAUACUUUGACAUGAUAUAUUUCUAUGGAUUUUCAUCUUGAGCAUGAAUUCUGAUAUAGCAUAUAUUAUAUUUUUCUGGGAAAUUAUACAAGUUUUACGGCGAGGGGUUAGAACUUUUGAGAAAUGAAGUGGUUUGAAAAGCUUUGUUUUUGCCUACUCACACUUUUUGUUUUGCGCCCCUCCAAGUUUUAGGUAGAAGUGCUUUGGUGGAUCACGAGGAUUUCGACGGGGGUUCUAACAAAACAUCAUAAAUGUAGGAUUCCCGUGGGUGUGUAUAAUUAGUACUUGUCCUGCUUGACUGCAUCUAGAGUAUUUAUGCUCUGGUUGUGUAUUUCACAUUUAAUCUCACACUAGCACUCUAUCUUAGAUAAUUCUGCUAGUAGUUUGAUUUUUAUUCCUUCGCUUUUCCCUUAUAUCUUUAUUGCUUCCGCACUGUGCACACGGUUACGUCACUCCCACGUGACAGCCAACAUGCCUCGAUCUAGGUUGGGGUGUGUCACUAUCUAUUUAUCGUAAAUCGUGUGAUAAAAAAUUAUUAGGUACUGUUUGUGUUUAAAUUUAAAUAAAAAAUUCACAAUGAUUUCUAGGCACAUGAUUUUCAAUGAAUGGAUGAGGUGUGAAGAUCCAUAAAAUUCUCACAAAGAAGAUCCGAAUGAGAUCCAAAUCCUCAGCAUGGGCCCCUAAUUUCUGAGAAGCCCCUGAAAUCUUCAUCCUCCUACAUUAUUUUCUAAUAAAUUUAAUAAAAUUAAAAUUUUCAGUUUAUAUAUGACAAUUGAAUUUUUUUUCGGUCAAUACAUUUCACAAUUAGUUAAGUGGAGCCUAUAAUUUUUAUAAUAAUUUUUCGCUUUUUUCUAACAAUAAAAUAUUAAGUUGUAUAUUCCUCUCUCUCAUAGAAACAAGUGUAUUUUCGUAUUUCUCCCUUUCAGUCAUGAGCACGCUUUUUGUUUUACAAGGAUGAAGCCAAAAUCUUAAUUUGAUGGCCGUUGGAAGAAAGAAAAAUCUCAAAUUAGAAAGACUAUUCAAUAGUUGGAGUGAGAUGUUGAAUUUCAUUAAGUUGGAAUUUUGCACAAAUACAUUGUUCGAAAUAAAUUUUUGCAUAGGCUCUCAGUACUACGAUUUGGUAGUAUUUUUUUUCACUUAAAAGUGAAAUAUCUUAGGUUCGAAUCUUGUAGAUAGCGAAUUCAAUACCAAAUUAGGUUGCCUAUUGUGUGACUUAGCCGAACUUCCCCUCCCUUUAGUGUAAAAAUAUUGAUGUACUAAUUUUGUUUUUUUGCACAAGUACCCUCAUACCAUUACUAAAAGUAAUCUUUGAAAAAAGAAAAAUAUAUGACACUUUUUUUAUGUAAAAUGAAAAUAAAUUAAGAACCAUCAAAAACACACAUAAGGUAAACAUGCCAAAUGUAGCCAAUUAAAGAUGUUACACACCCCAAAAGAAACACAAAAGCUUUAUAGUUACAAACUCAUUAAGAAUACAAUAGAACACAAUUUCCUAUGCACAUAGAACCCACAUCUAACUAACAUGAAAGAUAACUCUUAUGAAGAGUAAACAUUAAAAGACGUAGAACUACACCAAAGGAAUCGUGCGAAAAAAUACUACACUGCUCUAUGAUCACCUUGCAAUCAUAACUAAAAGAAGUAAUGUUAUGAGCAAUCUCCUCAUAAUCCUUUUCUAUGCACACAAACCGCAUGAAACACAAAAACCUCCAUCUCAACUCUUAACAAGUCAUCCAUUUAGAAAUAUGAGUUUGAGAUGAAAAUCAUAGACACUACAAAAACUCUCAUCGAUAAAGCGACCAAUGACCACAACUAUGAAAACUCUUCUCACUAAAACGAAAGAGAACCACAACCAGAGGAGAUGGUUUAAGUAUAUAGGUGUAACGAGAGGAAAAAUAGAAGAGAGUGAGACAAAUUGCCCCCGACCUUUAAACCAAAGAUAGGGGUGGAAAAUUUCUCACACAAAUUUAUUUGGAAAACCCAAAAAAGCCAUUAUUCAUUAAUUAUUCAAAUAAAAGCCCAAAUGGGAUUACCCAGCCAAAUAGAAAUAGCCAUCCCCAUCGAUCCACAAUUCCCGAUUAUAAUUGAUACCUUUCUUCCAAAGUAGGACCGCAUAGAGCUUACGUUCAAAUUACGUUCAAACAAAUUAAUAGAUAGAUUUAUAUGAUUUAGGAACACUACUGUAGUAAUGUUUCGUACCAAUAAAAUGAAAAUAUGUGUAAAUUUGCAUUCAUAUAUCAUCAUUUUAUUAGUAUGAAACGUUAUGUGGUGUUGUACUUUGUCUUGUCAAUUGUUUUUGAAAUGUGAGGUCCAUUUUGAAACCUAGAAAAAGAAAGAGGUCCACUAAGAUUGUGAAACCCACUUUCUAGCAAAGGCUUAUCACUAUAGUAUUUUUUUAAGGAGAAUGUAAUGAGGUGUCAUCUUUUUAGAUCAUAUUUUAUAAAUCAUAUGAUGUGGUUGUUGAAAGUUGAUAAUUAAAUUUUAUUUUUAAUAAUAUAGAGAAAAUAUUAAAUCGUCAACUAUCAUAUUAUAUAAUAUAUUUUAAAAAAAUGAUCUCUCUAACGUCACCAAUAAUUUGUCACUUAAUAUUAUUCUUGCUAAAGACGAAUUUGAAUCACAUUAUUACUAGUUCAGUGUGAAACUUAACCCACCAUCUAACUCCUUUAAAGGAAAUAAUAUUGUUUGUUUAUAAUAAUAAUAAUAAAUAAAAUAUAAAUAAAAUAAAUAAAAAAACCCACACGUAACUUGGCCCACUCUAUCACUGAUUUGGUUUAAAGCAAUUUCAAGCCACAUACUACUCCUCGAGGCAAUGAGCAUUUUCCCCCUAAUUAUAAAAACCAUCUUUAUUUCACGAGCUUAUAAAACUAAUGAAUUAUCGUGAUAUAUUGACCACAAUACAGUUUUAUUUUAUUCUGGCUUUUUAAAUUUGGUGCUUUUUUGGUAAAAUUAAAUUUGGUGCCUUUGAAUUGAUAGUGAAAUUAGGGCUGGGUAUGGGUCGGGUCGGACCCAAUUUUGAAGGGAUCAAACAGGACCUGGAUUUAAAUGAGACGGGUUGGACCAAGGCGGGGAUAACAUUUUUUAAUAUGGGAACCGGACCUUACCCGGCCUAGUGAAAACGGGCCGGUUAGGUCGGGUCCACGGGGCCUUUUGUUUUUUUUUUUGUGGAAAAAAAAAUAAAUUAAACGGAAUACGUUCGGAUAUUCAGUUAUGCCUUGUAAACGAAAUACGUUCAGAUAAAAUUUGAAUUGAAAGGGUGUGUGAACUCUAAAUUUCUCCAAAAAAAAAGGGAAAGAACCUCUCACAGAAGGAGAGAAGCUCUCUCAUGAAAGGAGAGAAUUUUUGCUUUUAUUCUUAGUAUGUAUUUUGGUACCACGUAAUGUGUCUAGUGGAACUCGUAGCCUUUUGUUUUUCUUUUUUGACAAGCCUACCACAAUUCAGCAUUUUUUUUCUUUAAAAAAGAGAUCAUCUGGUGGCUUAGCCACAACAGUUCACAUUAAUGUGUCUAGUGAAACUCGUAGCCUUUUGUUUUUCUUUUUUAACAAGCCUACCACAAUUCAAUAUUUUUUUCUUUAAAAAAGAGAUCAUCUGGUGGCUUAACCAUGACAAUUCACAUUUUUAGGGGCCAGGAAAGACUCACAGAAGUUGAAACCUGAGCCACCAUUGUGCGAUUCACCAGCAUCAGGAAUCAAACCCAAGAUAUGCCACUAGUGAAGGAAAAAUUUUGUCCUAGCUAAGAACAUGUGAGAAUAUUUGAAUACAUAUGCAAACUAUUAACACAUUAAAGUAGGCAUGCAUUCAAAAAUAAUUCGUAAAACCCAUGACUUUCAAAGCCUAGUAUAUGGUGAACCAACAAACUCUUUAACAACAUUAAAGAGAAUAAAGGAUUUAGAGUUUCUUUACCCUUGAAGCUCAUCCUUGAUUACACAAGGGAUUCACCCAAGUGGAGGGCCUUCAAGUCACCUCCUUGCUCCUUGGAUCUUCCUUGUGAUUUUCCUCCUUUUAGUGCUCCUUUGCUUCUUUGAGGAUUUGAGGAUUUGUUCUCCAAAACAUCAAAUGCUUGAUGUCUCUAAGUCUCUUCACCAAGGAUGUGAUGUGAAGAUGAAAUGGAUGACUUAGGGAAGAAAAGAUUGCUAGCUAUUCCUUCCCUAGGUGGCCGACCUCUUUUGAGAAAAUGAGAGAAAAUGUUUCACCUCAUUUCACCAAGAAAAACCCUAAAUGAAAAUAAAGCUAUAAAGUUGAAUUUAUACUUCAUCACAUGUGAGUGGCAAACUUGUAAUUAAUCCAAGUUUGACACUUCUCACCCUAAUGGCCGGCCAUAUCAAAUUGAUUGGGCUAAUUGCCCAUUUUGUUUUAGUUGUCAUACAACUUAAAUAUAAUGGGCCUUGUGGACCAAACGCUUUUGGGCCCCGAAACCCAAAACCAACAUAUAAGCCCAAUACGAACAUUUCGUAUAAUUAAAUAACUAAUUAAUUAACCUUGACCAUUCUUCAAUUAAACCAUUUAAUUGCUUAUCCAUUUCAUUUAAUUUCUUCACCAACAUCCUUACUCGGUGUACGAUCCAUUAGGUUCCAUUUAGCGAGGUAGUGGGCGAUUGUUACUCUUAACGAUCGAUUGUGAAUUGAAACCACAUUUCAAUUCUCCCUUAAAAUUAGUGUUUGCUAAUCUUUAGGGCUUCCACAAACCAUGAGUGACACCUAGCAGCAUAUCAUGGUUACCCAAGCUAAGUAGAAGUGGUUGGAGAACCUAUCCAGUUACAAUUACAAUGCAAUACGGUCAUUCUCUAAUACAAUACUCUUAAUCACAUUGUUUAAGUGAUAGUUUGUUUCAUGUCUACUAUCCAAUGUGAUACUUAUCUAUAUGAUUCAAUUGAAUAUGAUAUGGAACAAACUUCCUUAGUCAUAUUCAUAUGCUUUGGCCAAAGACUCUCGAAUCAUAUCUUAGAGUAUUCUCCUUCCACCAUGGAAGGUUAGAGAUUCCUUGUUGUGCAUUCAUAUGCCUACAUGACUAGGUAGCUUGACCACAACAAUGCCAUGGACACUCCAAUGGAAUGCCUUUGACAUGAUCAAAGAUCAAAGACCUAACCAUUAGACAUCUAUGAUGCCUCAGGUCAAAGGACUACUUUGCAUAUUGCAACUAUUGAGUUCUUACAUGACAUGUAUGUUCGAACUCUCUUUUGAUCGUUGUUCAGUGUACUCAAUCACUCUUUCGAGCACCUAUGUGUUUGCCUUAGUGUCCAACACUAAAUGACUUGAGACUAGUCAUACUCGCGCUUGAGUCAACAUAACACAUACUAACCUUAGCGGAUUGUCAAUGCCCAAUUGGCAAUCCUAUGGCUAGGAACUUUUUAGGAAUGAACAUAAGAGAAAGGUCUCGAUAAUCUAACUUACUUAAAUCACUUAUCUCUUAGAUCAAAUACAUUCCUUGGAUUCCCUUAUUGCUUAAACACAUGAUACAAUAAAUAGUGAUUAACAAUAAGCUUUGCCCUUCAUUAAACAUAUAAAAGUUUAAUACAAUAAGUAUUCCAAAAGCUAUUACAUCAAAUGAGUGGCUUUGUGGGCAUACUUCAAACAACCAGUGCCAAGAAUCGAACCCAAGACAUGCCUUGUGGAAUACGAGCCUGAAAUUUAUCCCCAACCACUAGAUCACCCCAUGGUAGUUACCACAAUUCAACAUUAAACUCAUUAUAAGUGUAUUGUUUUUUAUUUGUACACAAUAAAUAUAAAAUUUGCUCCAAUCAAGUAGAGACAACUACCAAAAUCAAAUGACUAUGUUCAGCAAUUGUAGAAGUCACAUCUCAUGAGCAACAAUCGUUGGAUAAAUAGAAAAAGCUAAAUUGGAUUAAUGAUCCCCGUGAUAAUAGAAUAAUCAGAAGCUAACACUCGUGGUAAAAAAAUUCAGAUUUAAACUCUCGUGAUGAAAUCCGGUAGGAUUCAAGCCCAAAUUAAUAUUUCCAUUUAGUCUCCAUUAACAUUUCCGUUAAGUCUUUUUCCCAGAUUGCUUACAUGCUUAUGGGCCUGCCUCAUUGUUUCUCCUAACAUUCCCACCCUAGCCCCCCACGCUUCCAAACAAUCGUCUCUAAAUACAUUGGACCUGCAUCCUCCUCCUCUCUCUCUCUCUCUCCCUCUCUCUAGUUCUUCAGAUUCCCUUCGUUGUCUGUGCCAUUGUUGAUGAACAAAUCCUCAUAAACAAACCAUUGAGGUCUGCAUGCUACUCCUCUUUUCAUCUUUCUUGGUUUUAGUUCCUACAAAAGUAACAAACAAGCAAUUCAACUAAAGUUCCCGUAUAAGAAAGGAAAGUAUAACUAAGAUUUUCAAUGUUACUUGGGUUGGCUAGUGCUGCAAUAAAUAAAUAAAAUCUAGUCCUUUUGAUUAACAAAAAAGCUUUGAACGAAGUCGGAAUCGAAGCAUGAAACAAAGAAUUCAUAGCCUUGAAUAAAUCUUAUUUUUUUUCUUCCUUUUUUUUGUGAAGGUUGAAUGGGUUAACGGAGGAAUAACGAAAAUGUUAAUUUUGGGCAUGAAUCCUAACAGAUUUCACCAUGAGGGUUUAAAUCUGAAAUUUUUUUACCACGAGGGUUAUCUUCCGAUUACCCUAUCACCACAUAGACCAUUAAUCCAAUUUAGCCAAUAGAAAAAGAAAUCUAACAAAAGAGUCUAGUGAUAUUUUUCCUUGUAAGUGUCUAAUUGAAAUGACAGAGGUUUGAUUUCUAUCAAUAAUCAGUUCAAUCUCAACUUAUUGUGUAGCUUAACUCAACCCAUACUCUUAGGCCAUCUCCAAUCGAAGGAGGGACAGAGGGCUCUCUUUGGCCCUAUAGCCCUCCAAGAAAUUAAUAUUUUAAUGAACAGUGUCAUGCUAUUUUUCUUACAAUCUCCAACCGAGGGGCCAGAGGGCCAUAGGCCAAACAUAGCCAUGUGACAAAAAACCAUCUCCAAUCGAAAGAGCCCAAGGGCCAUAGGGCCAAAUAUAAUUUAUUAUUUUAAUUAAAUUACUAUGGUAACUUAAAUUAAAUUACCUCAAUAAUUUUUACGUUAUGGAUUGUCAAUAAUUUAUCGAGAUGGAAUCUCAAUGAUUUUACAUCUCGGAUUUCAAGUGCCAUGUGUCAAUAUGUGAGUAACUUUACAGAUUUUUGUUGCUAAGAAAUCUUAAUAAUUUUACGUCUCGGAUUUCGAGUGCCAUGUGUCGAUAUGUGAGUAACUUUGCAGAUUUCUUGUUGAUAAGGAAUCUCAAUAAUUUUAGGUCUCGGAUUUCGAGUGUCACAUGUCGAUCCAUGAGUAAUUCUCCAGAUUUCUUAUCGAUAUGUAAUCUCAAUAAUUUUUUGAAUAUGAUUUGAGUGACACAUGUCGAGAUGUAAUUGGUUGUGGAAAUUUUUGAUAGGAUUUUUAUCUGCGUGACACUUUUUAUCUUCAACUUCCAAUGUCCAUAAAUAGGGUGGAUAUUGGCCUAUAAUUCACACACCUUCAACUUUGCCCUUUCCAAUAUCUUUUUCAAUUCAAGUUUGCAAUGAAUUCCAACUUUGGAUCCUCUUUUGGUUCCAACUGGGGGUCCUCUUCCAAUUCUGAAUUGGAAGAUAAAUACGCACAAAUGAGGUGAGAAGAUAAGGAGUCUGAUGAAGAAGAUGAAUCAUGGCACAAUACAUCAUAUAUAGCAGCCAUGGCUUGUCAGGCAACUGAAAAACAACCUCAAUAGGGUGGCUCUAUUGCUGGUCGCGGUUACAAGCCAUAAAAUAGAGAGAUGGCGCAUCAUAAUCUGAUGAACAACUACUUCAACCCCAACUCGGUGUACAACGACGAGGAUUUCAAACGUCGCUUCCGGAUGAGGCAUCAUGUCUUCGAGCGUGUACUUCAUGAUGUCCAACAUGUCAAUCCAUACUUUCAACAGAAACUAGACAGAGCAGGCAGCCCUGGUUUCUCACCUCAUUAGAAGGUUACCAUUGCACUCUGAAUGCUGGCCUAUGCCUCCCUAUGGAUGACACAUAUGGUAUGUCUGAGUCUACAUGCCUUGAUACUCUUGUUGAAUUCUAUCAAACAUUUGUUCAGCUUUACAAAGAGGAGUACCUCCGUUAACCAAAUCAAGCAUAUCUAGAGCGGCUCAUUCGCAAAGCUGAAGAUUGUGACUUUCCGGGCAUGAUAGGGUCACUAGAUUGCAUGCAUUGGCAGUGGAAGAAUUGUCUCACUAGAUGGCAAUGAGGCUGUAACAGAAGAUCGAGAAAACUAACAAUUGUGUUAGAAGUGGUUGUGCCAUUUGACACAUGGAUUUGGCAUGCUUUAUUUGGAGUCCCAGGAUCACAAAAUGAUAUUACAAUUCUUGGCUGUUCAUCCCUUUUCAAUAACCGGACGAAGGGUAAAUCACCUCAACUUGACUACUACGUUAAUUGGUGUCAAUACAAUAUGGGGUAUUACUUGGCAUAUGACAUCUACCCAAAGUGGGCGACACUUGUCCUAGCAAUUGCAAACCCUGCGAAUGAUGCCGAAAAGUGGUUUACCUUACACCAAGAGGCAUACCGAAAAGAUGUUGAAAGAGCUUUCAGUAUUCUACAAGCACGAUGGAAGAUCAUUAAGGAACCAAUAGGAGGUGGAGUUAAGAAAAUUUGGAAUCCAUCAUGAUGUCUUGCAUCAUAUUACAUAGCAUGAUUGUGGAGGAUGAGCGAAAGGGUAUAUUAAUGGAGAGUCUGGUGACGACCAAGAUGAUCCAAAUAGGUCAAGAAGGCUUUGUGCAAAAAUAUAUGAUGGGCCUAAUUUGCAUUUGAAUCCAAGAACUGGUAAUAUCUCUUUAAAUGAGUACAUGAGGGGCCAUAGGAUGAUACGUUCCCGUGCCACAAACAAGUACCUACAACAGAAUCUUGUUGCACAUAUUUGGGCCAAAAGAAGCAUGGAGUAGGUGUUUAAGUAUUAUGUUGUUAAAUGUUUUUAAAAAUGUUGUUUAAGUUUCAUGUUGUUAAAUGUUUUUUUUAUGUUGUUUAAUGUUACUUAAUGUUAUUUAAUGUUGCUUAAUAUUGUUUACUAUUGUUUCAUGUUACUUAAUGUUAUUUAAUGGCUUAGGAAGUUAUAGGGAAAAAAAUUUUGAAAAAAAAAAUGUAAAAAAAAAAACAAUCAAAUAUAACAGCUAGCUGACAUCAGCAACUAGCCGUUGGUUUCAAACAUUUGGCCCACCCUGGGGCUGGCUAGGUUGGGCCAGCCGGUUGGCCAUUAUCUCUGUUUUUGGCCUGGUGGGACCCACGUGCCAUUCUGCCUAGCCCUUGCUUGGAGUGGUUUUUGUGACAUUUCGAGUUAUUUUCAAUCCUAUGACCCUUUGACCAGAUCGAUUGGAGAUGACCUUAAUUUCGUGAGUGCAUUUUUGCUCACCACCAUUUAUGUGGUGUAUGCUUACCAUCCUAUUUAUCACCGUUAGAUGAAUUUGAAUUUUGAGAUUUGUGCUUAUCCACGACAUGAAUCUCGAAAUUCAAACUCAUUUAACGGUGAUAAAUAGGGUGGUGAACAUACACCACACUAAAUGGUGAUGAGCAAAAAUGCUCCCUAAUUUCGUGGUAGGGAAGGAGUCUUUGAGGGUGGAUUUCUAGGCUAGCUAGAAAAAGUGGGCCUGCAUGUUAUAACUUAGGAACAAGGUAACCCAUCAAUGCUUGAUUUUAUUUAAAUAAUAAUUACAAAGUUAGUUCACCGCCUUAUAAUAAGUCAAAGGGAUGUGAUAUCCACACACAAUUUUUUACUUCUCUCACACCUUUUUAGUUUUUCGGCUGUCCGAUUGGAUGAAUUGAAAAAAAAUCAAUGGACAUAAAUUAACAAGGGGUGUGUGAGAAGUAAAAAAAGGUGUGUGGAUAGCACACCCCUAAGCAAAAUCUUUCUUAAUCGAAAUCGAAGGGUAAUUUAGAGCAAUCCAGCUUUUGUUGUUGGGAAAUGACAACCAAACAAUUUUCUUUAUCCUCCUAUACAUCCUUUUUAAUGUUGUUCAUGUUUUUCGUUUGAUUUUAUUUAAAGAGAGGGAAGAAAAAAUUAGCGUGUAGUUAUCAAAUUUUUUUAUAUAACUAAUUAUUAUGAGGCCAGUAUUAACUCAGCCCCAACACUAUAUUGGUCUAAAAUUUAACCACCAAAGUUGAAUAUUAAGUUGUGUAAUUAGUCCAACUUAAGUUCAAUGCUAUUAGUAAUGAACUAUCUGCUUUUAUAUUCUACAUUGUGAUAUUUUUUUUAUGACAUUCAUGAUAUAUAUCAAGCCACACAACCACAACAUUAUUGAUACCCUUCCAUCUCAAAACACGCAUUCCCCGUAAUCAAACCUCUACAUUUAUUGUAAUUACAAUACGCUCAUUUGGGAAUAAUUUUAUUGGGCAUGGGAUGGGUGGCUAGAGCAUUGUUCAAAUGGUUCAACCUCAACAAGAUAUUCAGUAAGAUUGCUUGAUUACAAAGGGCCCACCAUUUCACAAGUUUUUGUCAUGCACUCAGAAGGUUAACUGAUUUUUUUUAUAUAAAUGAUAAAAUAAUUACACUAAAUUCAUAAAAUAUGAGAAAAAAAUAUUCGAACUUGGUUGUAAAGGGUGGAGCACAUUGCUCUUUUAUUUUAUUCACGUGGUGCAAAUUUUGUGUCCACCUCAACACAAACAUGGGCAUACGCAUGCGAAGUAAGCAAAAAGUAACUGGCGAAAGCAAUACUUUAUACUAAUCCACACCAAAUGGAGGGGAAAAAGUUUGAACUCAAGACAUAGUAGAUUAAAAAAGAACACCCUAACCACUAGAGAGAUCCACCACUUGAGCUACCUUAAUUGGAGAGGUCCCGAAAUUCAAACUCCUGGUUCUCAAUGAGUAGACAGUGUUAUACAAGAAUGCAAGAAGUCUGGAUGUGUAAAAACUUCUGAACAGGGGCUUCCACUUCUUCAACCCAGUGUUGUUAUUUGUCACAUUUUUUUAUAGGACUAGUUGUUCAAGUAGGCCCAGUAUAUUCUCCAUCAAGGGUUUUUGCUGGGCUACAUAAAGCUUGGGCUCAUACAGUGGGUAAAUGUCCCCACUGUCAAUUCUCUCUCUUUCUCUUCCACUUCUUCAACCCAGUGUUGUUAUUUGUCACAUUUUUUUAUAGGACUAGUUGUUCAAGUAGGCCCAGUAUAUUCUCCAUCAAGGGUUUUUGCUGGGCUACAUAAAGCUUGGGCUCAUACAGUGGGUAAAUGUCCCCACUGUCAAUUCUCUCUCUCUCUCUCUCUCUCUCUCUCUCUUUUGGUUCAAACACUGUGAAUUUUCUCUAGUGCACAUCAAAAUAGUACAUUUAAGUUGCACAUCUGAACAAAUUGUUAGAUCCUGUUAGGUUAAAAUGGUAUAAUGACUCUUAUUUAAAUAUGUGACUUGAAUGUGCAUGUAGACAUGUAAAUUUCGUUGCAUACAAAUGAUGCAUCACAAAGCUUCAUGUGGCAUAUGACUCAUCACAAAUGGACAAAUCAUCAAUGACAUAUGGCAUAAAUCAAGCAAGGGAAGUAUAAAACAUUCCCAAAAUUUGGCAAAAGGUUCUAAAGUGAUCCUAAAACUAGAAAGAAAGCUAAGGCAUCUUCACAAAACAAGCAAGAAUUGAAGAUUGUUCACAAAAUAGGCAAUAAAGCCUCUAAAUUUCGGCCAAGGGGAGUAAAGGUGGCUGAAAUUAAGACACAAAAUAUGCCUAAAUUAAAUCAUGGACGAAUCAAGACACAAAUCAAAGCUAAAUCCAUCCAAAGGCAAGCUUUGAGAAGUCUAUAAAUACAAGGUCCUCCCAUAAGCAUAGGGUCGAAAAUUACACAUUGAGGAGAACCUCUGCCAAAUCUUUGAAGACUAAUACGCUGCCAAAGCUCUUUUCGAAGAACUCAUAACCAAAGUUAAAGCUUUUUUUCGACCAAAAGCCGAAGCACUCUCUUGAAGAAUCAACAAGCACUUGUGCCGAUUCUUUCAAGACUUUGUUACAAUCUCAAAACUUGUAAUAACGUUCGAUUCAAGAUCAAGUCGUCAAGGCCCUUGAAUCAACGAAAUCUCAUAUCUACACCAUCUUUGCUACAGCUUUGCGGUGAAGACUAACGAAGCAUUGUUUCAAGCUCAAAACUUAAAGCAAUUGUUCAAUCGUUCAUCCGAGAUCAAGUCAUUGCGACCCUUGGAUCAACAACCUACGCAUCUACAUCAAAUUUGAAGACUGAAUUGGAGGAAAAUUGUAAACAAAGAUUGUAACCUACAAAUUCAAAUUAAUACAAAUCUACUUUGUACACGUGGUUCUCAUUUCAUUCAUUACAGAAUUUUCGUGUUUACAAUGUACUUUUGAUGUGCACUAGAAAAUGACAUCCGCACUAACUUAAGUGCCUACCGCCUUAUUUAUUAUUGUUUAAAAAUUUAAAUUAGUAGAGAAUUGCUACUAGUCAAAGGGAUCCACACCCGCUCUGGCUCUAUUGUAGAACACAAGAACGCGGGACUUAGGCCAUCUCCAACCGACCCACCCAAAGAGUCAUAGGGCUAGCAAUAGCUCAAAAUGACACAAAAAUCGUCUCUAACUGAGGGCUAGGCCAAAGGGCUUGUGGGACCCACUGGGCCAAAACCACCAAAUCAGGCCAACGAGCUUGGCAUUUCUAGCUAACCAGCCAGCUCGAUGAGCCCAGCCAACUUUUUUCUUUUUUGGACAAUUUUUUUUUAAAUUUCUAAUUUUUUUCAUACACCAUUUCUCACAUACUUUUCACCAUUCCAUACUAUCUCACUUCAUUUUAUUUCAAUUCUUCACAUUCUAUUCUCUUCCAAUAAUAUUUCCUUUAAUUUUUUCAACAAUUUUCAAAUGGCCACCUCUUUCAAUAAUUUUCCAAUAUGUCCGAAAAUCUUAUUUUAAUAUGGUAGUUAAUUUAAUUAACUAUAUUAAUUCAAUAAAAAUAGUAAAUUAUGUUUGGCCUAUGGCCCCUCGGUUGGAGAUGGUUUUUUGUUAAAGGGCUAUGUCACAGCUCGUCCCGGAUAUGUUUAUUAUUUUACCCUUGACGGCGUGAAAUUACUUAAAUGCAUUGGACGUUUUGAGUUGUGUGGUGUGGUUUAGACUUGCGUGGUGGACCAAUAUGCUAAGUUCUAAUUAUUUUAGACCAAUCCUUUUUAUUCCUAAGUAUUUGGAACUAAAGGAAUUUGUUUGUGUUGUUUGGUAGCCAAUUAGGACCACAUACAUCCAUACACACACAAAAACACAACCCGUUGACCCUCCCUCUCCCUCUCUCCUCCCUCUCUCGGAUUUCUACCAUCGUCCGUACCAUUGUACGGACAAUCUUUGACCCAACAUGUUUCUUCACGGAUCGACGUUAAAAAGGUAAUAUUCUUGUUCCCUACAAGCUCUUGAGUUCAUUCGUACCAUCUUUAGGACUUGAAAACUUCGAAAACCCGAGAAAUUGAGAUCCUAGUUUUGAGGUACUAUUCAUGUAGUCGUAAUUAUGGAUGUUUCAGGAAAAUUUAAGCUUGUAGGAAGCUUUAGAAUGUCCUUAAGAAGCUCGGAGAAGAAAAACCAAGUAUUUUGGACGUCGGGAAGUCGAGUUUGACGAGUUGUAAGUUUUGUUCAGAUUAUCGAGUUUUCUUCAUCGAGAUUCCGUGGAUUUCAAGGUUUGAAAUUGGUAAGGUUUUGUUCUUCUAGUUGCAAGCUUCAUUUUGGGACAAAUUUGAGGUAAUUCAGUUAAGAAAUGACUAAAAUAUCAAGGUUUUUCGAAUUUCCAGUUUUCCAGCGACGGCAACGGUCAUCGGAGUCGAAGGAAGAAGACGAGCGAAUAUUCCAUCAACUUUGACGGAAUAUUCUAACAGCGUCAGGUUAGUUUUAACGGUAUAUGUUAUUAUUUAAUGGAAUAUUCCCUAACACCGUUAGGAUUACCGUCAGUGUGCCUGGCACAUGCUCGUGCGUGGGCAGCGUCUGGACGUACCUUGGCCAGCGAGUGACGGCGCGUGGGUGGUCAUAAAUUUUUCUAAAAAUAUUGGGAUGUUUGUGAGGUUGUGUGAUGCGUGAAUUACUUGACACACAAAUUAAACCCUCUUUUUGACAAUUGUAGUAUAGAUGUAAGUAGGGUAUCGUUCUAGGCCGGGGAUUAGGAGGGAUUGCUAAUCUAUUAAAUUAACUUAAAAAUAUUAAAUAAGACUCAAGGACACAAAACUAGGCUAAAAACUCUAAUAACUCGAAACACACUUAAAAUGACUCAAAAUAAUGAAAACAAUUAAAUUAAACACUAGGAACUGAAAUGGACGGAAAUUAAAUUAAAAGACUAACAAUAAAGAAAACUAAAUAAAUAAUAUAAUUUAAUAAUGGAUGGGUGUUUGGUUUUGAUGAAAAGUAAAUUAAACUUAAUUAAAUUACAGAAUUGACAAAAACAUAAAAUUAAGGUAAAAUGAUAAAUGACGGACUAGCUAGAGGGUUUUUCUCCACACAUGACACAUAUGCAACCUAAAUUGAUUUUCAAUUGUUCUUUCAAUAAGUUGUGAAUUUCAACACUUCAGAUUAACCGUGAAUAGCACUUUUUUAAUCUUCAAGUUUUCCUUAAGUUAUUGAAUUGGACGGGAAAACGCAUACAACAAUUCAAAACAUUCUUCAAAAGUCCCCUACGUGAAAAGCACAAUAGAGAUACAAUCAAAGAUCAUUAAACUUUGUGAAAACUAUAAGCAUUGACGAGGCAUUCGUAACUAUGAAAAGCAUGAUACUCUUGCCAAGAAUUUACUUAACGUGAUUGUGACUAGCAACCUUUACUACUUGUGAAAAUAAGUUCAUAACGAUUAGGUGAAAUUCACUUAUAUUCUAGCAUCAAAUUCAUGCAUGUAAAUUAAGCGUGCACUCUCAACCAACAUACACAAAUCAGUUUUUAUACGAACGGAUAAGUAAAUUGAAAUCACAACUUAUGAAAUCACAACCGAAGGUAAUCAAUUCAUAUUACAAAUAUAUUCAUGGCUUUGAAUUAACCUCUAGCCAAAAUAAAUUUAAUUACACAUUAUUAAAACAAAAAUAAAAUAGAAGUUUGAAAAGAUUAAACCGAAAGAAGGUGAUCUGUUGCUUUCGUGCCCACGCUGCCAAGGGUAGCUUUCUGUGCCGUUGGUUUCUCGUUCCUGCGCCUGCCGUUCUCUCCCCUCGCGCUGAUUUCUUCUCGCUGACCCCGUGCUGCCCAAGGCAGCCUCCUUAUUUCUCUCUUUCCUGCGUCUCUGCGAGCUGCCCAAAGGGCAGCCCCUUUCUCCCGCUCCCCAGACCCCCCUGUCUUCUGACCUCUUUCCCUCCUUUUAUUAUUUUCCUCCCUCCACCAAAAAUGAAGCUCGAGCUGCCUACCUCGACAACCAAGCAGGUACUUCUUGAUUUUAUUCUUGCAUCAAUUCUGACCGUCCCUUUUCUCCACGUCAGCCCCCACCUGCUUUCACGUUUCUGCCUUGCUAUCUUUCUUUCCUUUAUUUUAUUUGUUUCUCUUUUUCUUUCCUGUUUUCACUUCAUAUUUUUAUUUCCAUCCCAUCUGCUGACCAGCUGCAAAGCAGCUUUUCACGCCUAGCUUUGGACCUGCCACUUAUUCCCUUUGCAGUCUGUCCGUCCCACGUUUUUCUAUUUAAUUUCUCAGUGCUUUCCACUUUCUUCUCCUACAAACACAAUAAAUCAAAAUAAACCAAAAUAAAACCCAAUCCAAAAAUAAAACCAAUAUUCUUUCUGUUUAUUAUUUAAAACUCAUUUGUGCUAUUUUUAUUUUCUUUGCAUAACAAAUCCUAAAAACAUAAAAAUAACGUAAAUAGAUUAAAAAUAUAAGGAACUAACUAAGAAAAGAUGAGUGAAUUCGAAGUAAAAAUAUAUAUAAAUAUCAUCCGAUCAAAUACCCCCACACUUAACUUUUGCUAGUCCUCGAGCAAAACAAAGAAAACAAGAACAAGAAGUAACAAGAAAAACAUUAGUUUCUCCCUAUCUGACCCUCAUAGAAUUUCAUUUAAGAAAACAAAUCAUCAAGAACCAUAGCUAGCAUCAAGGAACUAAUCCAAGUUCAUCUUCCUUAUUCAAAUAUUAGCAGUAGUCUUCAAAUCAUCCUUGAAGUGUAGUGUGUGAGAUAGCCAUGCUAAUGCAAUUUCAAGUUUUUAUUUUUAAAAUCAUCAUAUGCAAACUAGUGACCUUCUCAUGGGAUAUGCACUCAAUCACACAUGUGUUUAGUUUUAAUGUGUUUCGCUCAAAGAAACAAAUGUGAAAUUUCUACCAUAAGCUUGCAUAAAGAUCACUUCUCCUCAGUCAUAAUUGCAAAACUUAAAUCAAGAGGACUUUUAUUGGAUGUAAUGAGGCUUGGGGAUAGGGUUAUUGAAAUGAAAGAAUAGGAAAACACAAGUUCCAAGCUAUAUUGCAAGCAAUUCUUUUGUUUAGAUUUAUAAGAACUCAAUUUUUCCAGCGAUUCUUCUAGCACCUCCAACCAUACCCUUAAACUGAAACUUUUAAAAAAAACUUUUUUUUUCUUUUUUUUUCUUCUUUUUUUUUUUUUUUUUUUUUUUUUUUUUUUUUUUAAUACAAACAUGAAAUACCCCUACACUUAAUCUUUUGCUAAACAUCUUCACAGUACUUCACAAACGUUUCUCAUAAAACAAUCUCACAUUGCUCACUAGCUUGCUUGGAAAGGGUAAGGAAAAAUGUUUCAGGUAUAAGGGUAGACAUAUCUGGUGAUAAGAAAUAAAAGGCUCAACAUACAUGGCUCAAAUUGGCAAUCUAAUGAUAUCAUUUUUCUUUGGGAAACAUGGUUAUUUGGGCCAUAGUGGUAAACCUAAUGCCUCUAUCAUUUCCAAGUUUAUGCAAUCAAUGACAAACAUUUCGAAAGAUCGUUACGCAAGUUCUAGAGAUGUAUCUCACAUAAGUUCAUCACACAUGAAAAAAUAGGAGUGUAUGAAAAAUGCACACACUUUCAAUAGGCUCAAAAACUCACAUAGGAUGUAUAUGGUCACUAAAUUCACAUAUGAAGCUUUAAGUCAUACUUUAGUUUCACAUUAACAAGGCUAUGUGCAUUUGGUUUUUCAAAGAUGGUCAAACAUGUACAAAACUAACAAGAGAAUAAGGAAUUUCACAAAACACAUGUUAACUAAGUUCUUGAUGAUCAUGGUUCGAAUUUGAUCCAAUUAUAUCAUUGGGUCGGGAAACUAACAAAAAACUAAUUCAAAACAAUAAGGGAAACAAGACAAUAUUUUUGGAUUUUUUAAAUUUUCCGAUUUUUUUAUUUUUUUUUAUUUAUUUUUUUUUAUUUUUUAUUUUUUAAGAAAACAAAAACUAACAACACAUAAACAAAUGAAAUUCUAGAGAUUUCUACCCCCACACUUAAACUUGACAUUGUCCCCAAUGUCAGAAAACACUAUAAUGCAAAUAAAAAAAAUAAAAUAAAAUAAAUAAAUAAUAAGAAACAAAAUAACGCAAUUGGACUGAAAACUUCCCUAAUUUGCAGUAAAAUCAAGCGAUGACCCCCAAGCUAAAAUUCUGCAAUCAACUUCAAGGGUGGAAAUAACCAAAAGUUCCUGCAAAGAAAAGAAAUAAUUCAGUUAAGUACGCAAGAAAAUUAAUUAAAAAAAAAAAUUGCAAACGAAAAAUUGAAAAUUACGAUAAAAGAUAAUGAAUAAAACUAAUAAGUAAUCAUUGGUCGUGCUUGUUGACUUUCCACAGCUUUCCUCUUGAACAGGGUGACACUUAGCUUUUCACUUGCAAGUGAUGAUUUUAUGAUAUUGUACGGCGAAGCUUUGCUCUUUGGUUAUGUUGCAGUUCCUUAUUUGUUCUCCAAGCAGAUGUGGCAGCUUCUCUAGUUCCUCAGUUCGGACUCCUUCCGCUGGGAUGAUUGUGCAAGCUGCAUUCUUCUCUGCUUGUUUCUUCUGCACAACGGGCAGGCACGAGGGAAAGGUGUUGGUCCUUAUUUCUUUCUUCAAUCUUUCCAAGUGCCCACCUCUUGCUUUCUUUCUCCUUGUCCCUAGCUGAAUUGUCUCCACAUGCUUCGAGGUAUCAUUUUCACUUCCCUUACUGUCCCCCAGGCAGAUGUGGUAGACGAAGAGAAAGCAUAAAAAUGAUGAAGAUGAGUACUCGAGAGCAAGGCUAGGUAAGCAAUCAGGAAAGGGUUCCAGGCAGUUGGCUCCAGAUUGGAAGAUUGAUACCAAAUGCUGGCUGAUUGCUCUCUUUCUCCUUGUCGGAAAACAAAGACAAGGAGAAGGACAUGGAGAAAGCAUGAUAUGAGAUACUCUUGCUUUCAACCUUUAUGAUAUGAAAUACUUUUGCUUUGAAUGGGUUGUUCGCAGGAGUAUCCCAAGGAAUGAGGAACACAGAGUGACUCGAGAGGAUUAUUUGGGAAUGCAUUUUCGGAGAUGAAGAGGUGUUGAGAGGGUGUGCUGAGAGAGUGUGCUUUUGCUGUGGAAGGCGAAGGUAGAAACUUAUAGGACUUGCCUUCACAACCGGAACUGUUCUCUCACUCAUUGUCGGCAGCCGGUGGAUGGAUGAAUAGUACAAAUUACGCGCUUUUUGACAAAGCUGCCCGUAAUUUCCGCAAAGCAGAUUCCUCAUUGAUAUCUGGAAUCGGCGCUUCGAGCUCUGAGCAUCGUCGAUUGUAGAGGUAGCAUGUGACACGUGCGGAUAAAUCUGGAAAAGAAGAUUUGCCCGUGGGUUGAAGCCCAGCUUUUGAGAAAGCUAGCGUGUCUUUAACUGUUGAAUUUCCCUCUUCGAUUUCUGAAUUGGUGCUUCGACAAACUGCCCGAGAUUUCCGCAAAGCAAUUCGCGUGUGACAAGUGACGACACGUCUGGACAAUUGAUCCUUUGAAAUCCGGGGUUCGGCUCGUGGUUUCUGAGCAAGCCCAGCCUUUAAGAAAUGAAACCUCUUUUGAGAAAAGAAUCCGGCUUUUGAGAACGGAAACUCCUCUUUUGAGAAAAGAAUCCGGCUUUUGAGAAAUGAGCCCCGACUCUUCGAUUUGCGAGAGGACGCUUCUCUGAGGAGCGCCUCUUUGAUUUCUUCUUUUUAUAGAGGCGUUAAUUUUGUUCCACAACACACUUGAGUACCCUCCUGUAAACACUCCCUUCUUGCACUUGUUUAAUCUUGAUCAUUCCGACUCUCUUCUUUCUUUACCACCUCUGAAAAAUGUCUGGCCCUUCUGAUCGUCGUUUUGACUUGAACAUUGGUGAAGAGGCAGCUCCGCCUUCACCAGACAACAUAUGGCGGCCAUCCUUCAUAUCCCCUACCGGUCCCCUUACCGUGGGGGAUUCGGUGAUAAAAAAUGAUAUAUGACAGCUGCGCGGUGGUGGCCCGAAACCUUGUCACUCCCAGAGAUAACAGACUGCUCGCAAGGCGGUCUGAUGAAUUGGCGGUCAAGGAGUCUCUGGCUCUCAGUGUGCAGUGUGCGGGUUCCGUAUCCAACAUGGCCCAACGCCUAUAUGCCCGAACCCGUCACGUUGAAUCCUUGGUGGCUGAAAUACAGUGUCUCAAGCAAGAGAUUAAAGGGCUUAAGCAUGAGAAUAAGGAAUUGCACAAGCUCGCACACAGCUAUGCCACCAGCAUGAAGAGGAAGAUUGACCAGAUGCAGGACACCGAUGGUCAAAUUUUACUUGAUCAUCGGAGGUUUGUGGGUUUGUUCCAACAACAUCUGCCUUCGUCUUCUGGAGCGGCACCGCGUAGUGAAGCUCCAACUGAUCAACCUCUGCUGCCUCCUCCUUCUGUGGCCCCGCCGACUGCUGAAGCCCCGCCCACUACUGAAGCACCACCCGACCAAUGAAUACUAUUAGUUUACAUUAUUGUAAAAUAUUGCAUUUUUUUUUUUUAUGUAUUUUUUUUUUUAAUAAUUUUUUAUUUAUUUAUUUAUUUAUUUUUUUUUAUGUUUAUUUUUUUUUUCAUUAAUUUUAAAUUUUAUCUUUUUUUUUUCUUUUUAAAUGUAAAUUAAUGUAAAGAGACUUUGGUUAACCUUCCCCCACACUUAAACUAAAUAACACAAACACAAACUCACAGAAAUCAACCAAAUAACACAACUAACUAAACAAAACAAAAUGAAAGCAGUAAAGAUAAGGGUGGAAGAAUGCAAAGCUGAUUGGGUUAGUGAUUCCAAAGUCUCCCUUCGUUGAAUGCUUGGGUUGCCUCCCAAGAAGCGCUUGAUUUAACGUCUUUAGCCGGACGCAUCUUUCCUUUAAAUUUCCCUCAGCUCCAUUUGUGCCUAAAAUCAAAGAAAGAAAAAUAAAUCAAAUAUCAAAAGUAAAAUACACAAACACCAAUAUAAACAUAAACAAAAACAAAAAUAAAAGGAUUAGCAAAGUUACUAAUCCCCGGCAACGGCGCCAAAAUUUGAUGCGUGAAUUACUUGACACACAAAUUAAACCCUCUUUUUGACAAUUGUAGUAUAGAUGUAAGUAGGGUAUCGUUCUAGGCCGGGGAUUAGGAGGGAUUGCUAAUCUAUUAAAUUAACUUAAAAAUAUUAAAUAAGACUCAAGGACACAAAACUAGGCUAAAAACUAAUAACUCGAAACACACUUAAAAUGACUCAAAAUAAUGAAAACAAUUAAAUUAAACACUAGGAACUGAAAUGGACGGAAAUUAAAUUAAAAGACUAACAAUAAAGAAAACUAAAUAAAUAAUAUAAUUUAAUAAUGGAUGGGUGUUUGGUUUUGAUGAAAAGUAAAUUAAACUUAAUUAAAUUACAGAAUUGACAAAAAAUAAAAUUAAGGUAAAAUGAUAAAUGACGGACUAGCUAGAGGGUUUUUCUCCACACAUGACACAUAUGCAACCUAAAUUGAUUUUCAAUUGUUCUUUCAAUAAGUUGUGAAUUUCAACACUUCAGAUUAACCGUGAAUAGCACUUUUUUAAUCUUCAAGUUUUCCUUAAGUUAUUGAAUUGGACGGGAAAACGCAUACAACAAUUCAAAACAUUCUUCAAAAGUCCCCUACGUGAAAAGCACAAUAGAGAUACAAUCAAAGAUCAUUAAACUUUGUGAAAACUAUAAGCAUUGACGAGGCAUUCGUAACUAUGAAAAGCAUGAUACUCUUGCCAAGAAUUUACUUAACGUGAUUGUGACUAGCAACCUUUACUACUUGUGAAAAUAAGUUCAUAACGAUUAGGUGAAAUUCACUUAUAUUCUAGCAUCAAAUUCAUGCAUGUAAAUUAAGCGUGCACUCUCAACCAACAUACACAAAUCAGUUUUUAUACGAACGGAUAAGUAAAUUGAAAUCACAACUUAUGAAAUCACAACCGAAGGUAAUCAAUUCAUAUUACAAAUAUAUUCAUGGCUUUGAAUUAACCUCUAGCCAAAAUAAAUUUAAUUACACAUUAUUAAAACAAAAAUAAAAUAGAAGUUUGAAAAGAUUAAACCGAAAGAAGGUGAUCUGUUGCUUUCGUGCCCACGCUGCCAAGGGUAGCUUUCUGUGCCGUUGGUUUCUCGUUCCUGCGCCUGCCGUUCUCUCCCUCGCGCUGAUUUCUUCUCGCUGACCCCGUGCUGCCCAAGGCAGCCUCCUUAUUUCUCUCUUUCCUGCGUCUCUGCGAGCUGCCCAAAGGGCAGCCCCUUUCUCCCGCUCCCCAGACCCCCCUGUCUUCUGACCUCUUUCCCUCCUUUUAUUAUUUUCCUCCCUCCACCAAAAAUGAAGCUCGAGCUGCCUACCUCGACAACCAAGCAGGUACUUCUUGAUUUUAUUCUUGCAUCAAUUCUGACCGUCCCUUUUCUCCACGUCAGCCCCCACCUGCUUUCACGUUUCUGCCUUGCUAUCUUUCUUUCCUUUAUUUUAUUUGUUUCUCUUUUUCUUUCCUGUUUUCACUUCAUAUUUUUAUUCCAUCCCAUCUGCUGACCAGCUGCAAAGCAGCUUUCACGCCUAGCUUUGGACCUGCCACUUAUUCCCUUUGCAGUCUGUCCGUCCCACGUUUUUCUAUUUAAUUUCUCAGUGCUUUCCACUUUCUUCUCCUACAAACACAAUAAAUCAAAAUAAACCAAAAUAAAACCCAAUCCAAAAUAAAACCAAUAUUCUUUCUGUUUAUUAUUUAAAACUCAUUUGUGCUAUUUUUAUUUUCUUUGCAUAACAAAUCCUAAAAACAUAAAAAUAACGUAAAUAGAUUAAAAAUAUAAGGAACUAACUAAGAAAAGAUGAGUGAAUUUGAAGUAAAAAUAUAUAUAAAUAUCAUCCGAUCAUUGUGUAGAUCACGUUGGUAUAUUCAAACAUCCCAUUGGAGCAAUGUCUGAGAAGUUAUUAACUAGUUUUGUCUAUGUGCUUUAAUUAAUGUAUUUAUAGUUAUUUCACAUAUAGGGGAGACCUAUCCCGAGGACGAGGGCAGUCAAGGGCAGCUUAGGGGCUACGACCCUUCGACUUACCAAUGAGUGGACUUUUGGUUUUCAGUAUAUAUGUAUAUGCUUGAUAUCUUUCCCAGAAAAUGCAUGUAAAUGAGUUAUGAUUUAAAUUGCCCUGCCAAAUGUUUUACAUUUAGAAUAUGCAUAUGAUGUUUGCAUAUAUAUAUAAUUGUGGUGCUAUGGACGCUCAGGUAAGUCCUAGGUGAGUUUAUGAAUUGCAAAUGUGAAUAACGGUUGUGAGUAAUUGAAAGACAUUGAGCUCAUAAACCUAGACCCCAAUGUUAGUGAUUUAGCUAGAGAUAUGGCAAGCCUGUAUAUGAUGUCACCUCUUGCACCAUAUGCUCACAUUGGAUCCAAUUUAGGUGCACAGUCUUGUCGUACCGACCACUAUAGGUGGUUCUGACUCGUUGGUGAUUAGCGAUUUAUCGCAUAACUAUCAUGAGAGUGUAGCAUUGAGCAUAACUAUAUUACACCCAGUUUUUUCGUACAGACCAUUACAGGUGGUUUUGACUCGUGUGCAGAUGUAGUGCCAUACAGGUCACCUUCUGUGACUCCGGCUAGAUUUGAUCAAUGAGCUUAUUUUCACCUGAGUUACUCAUUCUGUUAUAUAUUUGUCAAGGCAUACUUAUGAACAUGGAUACGUGAAGCAUAAAUUGAUAUACAUAUAUAUAUUCAUUUAUAUUCCAUCUGAGGGAAAAUUAUACAUGUUUUACGGCGAGAGGUUAGAGCAUUUGAUAAAUGAAAUGGUUUUGAAAAGCUUUGGUUUUGCCCACUCACACUUUCUGUUUUGCACCCCUCUAGGUUUUAGAUAAGCUUGCAAAGUUGGUGGCUCAUAAGGAUUGAUUGGAGGUUCUGAUAGACUAUCACAAAUGUAGGGCAUCUUUGGGUGUCAUUUAAUUAGUACUUGUUUUCUGAACUGAACUUAGGCUACUUAUGCUCUUGUUGUAUAUUCACACAUAUUCUAGCACUUGUCUUAACUAGUACUCUUAUGAGUUGGUUUUCAUUUAUUCGUAUUCUCUAUUAUCAUUAUUGCUUCUGCACUGUGUAUAUGGCUACGUCACCCUCAUGUGACGGCCAGCAUGCCCUGAUUCUGGUCGGGGUGUGUCAGUUUGGUAUCAGAGCCUAGGUUUAGUAGUCAUGUAUAGAUCGUGAAUAUUUUAAUCAUUAUGAUGUCUUCUAUCAGAACUAUGCCACCUCGUAGAGAGCGACAUCACUCAGUUGAACCUAGUUUCCCUGAUAUUGCUCAGUUAGGGGAAGCUAUAGCUAAUGCCAUUCAGUCUUCGCUAUGUCCUCCUCAAAGGAUACCUCUUGAAACCGUGUAUAAUCUGAAGCUAAUCAUUUUAUGGGGAAUGAAGGACAUGAAGGAGAGGAGAAAUGGAUCAAUCAUAUUGAGAAGACUUUUCGUGUACUGUAGAGUCAGGGGAAUCUUUCGCCUGAUAGGUGGGUUGAGACGACUACCUAGUUUUUGGGUUCGGAGCCUACAUCUUGGUGGAGACAAGAGUCCUAUCAGCUGACCCCAGAGGAAAUUGCGGACUAGGAAGUGUUUAACCAAUUGUUUCAGAAAAUUUUUAUUCCCCCUAAGUAUAUUGAUCACAAAAAACAAGAAUUUAGGCAUCUGAAACAAGGAAAGAUGACAACGAAUGAAUAUUAUAGGAGAUUCACUAACUUGUCUUGCUAUCAUCUGGAGGUUGUUGCUAAUCCAGUUGAGAUGCUCCGUCGUUUCAAGUUGGGUACUAAGAGGAAAUGGCGUUCUAUAGCGACCUCGACUCAUUGUGCCACUUACCAGAAGUUUUAUGAGAUUUUGUUAAGGAUUGAGGACUCAGAGAACAUGCCUAGUGAAAGUGAAGAAGAAGAAGAAAAGAACGGGAACCAGAGGCAAGAUGAUAAAGGUAAAGGUCAGUCUUCUCAAGGACCUCAUAAGACCUAGAGUUUUAAGAGGAGUGGAACUAGUUCCAACUCUUCUAGCGGAGGUUUUAGUGCCACUAGUCAGAUGAGACGUGGUAGAUUUUCAGGAGGUCCUAGAUUUCAGAGGCAGGGAGAUGUUGGAAGAGGAAGUGCUCAUUUAUGCCAUAAAUGUAAUAAUAGAUAUUUUGGGGAGUGUAGGAGAGGCAGCAGUGGAUGCUAUACUUGUGGACAGAUGGGGCAUAGGGUUGUACAUUGCCCUUAAAAUCAGCAGAGGCCUCAACAGCCUUCCUUACCACCACCUGCGCCGACCCAUCAAGUUUCAGGACCUAGUGGUUAUGCCCAGACUGGUCGUGGUGGUGCUUAUCAUUAUCAGGGCGACGCCACUCCUUAUGUUACAGGGCAAUAUCAGUAUCUGCAGGACCCUCAUUAUCAGGGUGGUUACCCACAGUAUCUUGGAGGUUCUAUGGCAUAUCAGCCACAUUCAGCAGAUGGAUUCUAGUGGUACCAGGGGGGACAGCCCCUGCAGAUAGACAUUGUUGCUAGCAGUGCAAGAUCUUCGAGACAAUUGGGUCAGCCAAGACAAAGACAAGGUAUUCAUGCUAACAGAAAUUGUGGUGGACGACAGCAAAAUCAAGGACGUAUCCACAAAAUGACACUACAGGAUGCUCAGAACAAUCUUGAUUUAAUCAUGGGUACGUUAAAUAUUCUUGGUCAUUUUGUUAGAGUAUUAAUGAAUUAUGGUGUUAUGCAUUAUGUUGUUUCUCUUACAUUUGCUCAAGUGAUGCAACCUCAUCCUACACUUCUAGGAUAUGAUUUAGAGUUUUCUAUGCCUAGAUGGGAAAGAUGUUAUGUUGAUCGGGUGUAUCCAGGAUGUCCAAUGAUGGUGGAGGAUGUUGUUAUGCCAGCUAACCUUAUUCUGUUAGACAUUGUUGAUUUUGAUGUGAUUUUAGGCACUGAUUGGUUACACUACAAUAGUGCCAAGAUAGAUUGCUACGGGAAAACGGUUACUUUCCAUCGUCUAGGAUUAUCUGAAGUUACUUUUGUGGGAGAUCGUAAUGGGGUGAGGCAUGGCGUUAUUUCUACUGUAAGAGCAAAAAGAUUGUUGUCGAAGGUUUGUCAGGGAUAUUUGGCUCAUGUGGUGUUGAAUAAUAAUGCUCCUAGUAGUGUAGAUGAUGUACGAGUAGUUAGACAUUUUCCGGAUGUGUUCCCUGAUGAUCUUCAUGGAUUGCCGCCAAACCGAAAUGUGGAGUUCACUAUUGAUUUACUCCCACGUACGGAUCCUAUAUCCUUAACUCCGUAUAGAAUGGCUCCUGUUGAAUUGAAGGAAUUCAAAGUCCAGUUGCAGGAAUUAGUCGAUAAAGGUUUUAUUCAGCCUAGUACUUCACCCUGGGGAGCUCCAAUUUUGUUUGUAAAGAAGAAAGAUAGGACUUUGAGGCUAUGUAUUGAUUAUAGGCAAUUGAAUCGGGUAACGAUUAAAAACCGUUAUCCAUUGCCGCGUAUAGAUGAUUUGUUUGAUCAACUUCGAGGUGCCUGUGUGUUUUCUAAGAUUGAUUUGAGGUCUGGUUAUUACCAAUUGAAGAUCAGCAAUGAGGAUGUCCCUAAGACUGCUUUCAGGACUUGAUAUGGUCAUUAUGAGUUUCUAGUAAUUCCAUUCGAAUUAACGAAUGCACUAGCAACUUUCAUGGAUUUGAUGAAUCGAGUAUUCCAGCCAUUUAUAGACAGAUUUGUCAUUGUUUUUAUUGGCGACAUUUUGGUAUACUCUAAGACUAAAGCAGAGCAUGUUCAACAUCUUACUUUGGUGUUGAAGAAAUUAAGGGAACAUCAAUUGUAUGCUAAGUUUAGCAAAUGUUAAUUCUGGUUGAAUCAAGUGGCAUUUUUGGGACAUGUCAUUUCUGCUCGAGGUAUUCAAGUGGAUUAUUAAAAAGCGGCAGCUGUGGAGAAUUAGGAGCAACCUCGAAUCGUCAUUGAGGUACAAAGUUUUCUUGGCCUAACAAGCUAUUAUAGACGGUUUGUUAAGGAUUUUUCAGUCAUUGCUUUGCCAUUGACGAGAUUGACUAGGAAAGAUGUUAAGUUUGAAUGGGAUGAUAAUUGUGAGUAAAGUUUUCAGCAGUUGAAGUAUUAUCUCACUCAUGCACCUGUUUUAGCACUCCCAGAUGAUAGUGGUAAUUUUGAGGUCUACAGUGAUGCUUCUUUGAAUGGCCAGGGUUGUGUAUUGAUGCAACAUGGUAAGGUAAUUGCUUAUCCUUCAAGACAGUUGAAAUCUCAUGAGAAGAAUUACCCUACUUGUGAUCUGGAGUUAGCGGCUAUCAUCUUUGCUUUGAAAAUUUAGAGACAUUAUCUUUAUGGUGAGAAAUGUAAGAUCUUCAGGAAUCAUAAGAUUCUUUAGUAUGUUUUUACUUAGAGGUAUCUUAAUCUUCGGCAGCGAAGGUGGAUGGAGUUGCUUAGUGAUUAUGAUUGCACGAUUGAGUAUCACCUUGGUUGUGUAAAUGCAGUGGCGGAUGCACUGAGUAGGAAGACUCUAGUUAGACUUAAUGCCAUCUAUGAUUGUCAUGUUCCUCUUCUUGAGAAUUUAAGGUCCACUGGAAUGGAGUUAGGAGUGGAAGAUCGAGAGGAAGCCUUACUUGCAAAUUUUCAAGUUAUGCCAAUUGUAAUUGAUCGUGUGCUCGAAGCCCAGAAGAAUGAUGAAGAGACCUAGGAAAUAAUUCAAGCAAGGAAUGAGGGGAAGAAGAAAGAUUUCAGAAUUUGAGAAACUGAUGGUAUGCUUAUGCAGGAGAGUAGAAUGUAUGUGCCAAAUAAUAUGGAAUUAAAGAAGGCAAUUCUUGAUGAAGCACAUAUUUCAGCUUAUGCAAUGCAUCCAGGAGGUACAAAGAUGUAUCAUACCAUUCGACCAUUUUAUUAUUGGCCUGGUAUGAAAAAAGAAAUUGCUGAAUAUAUGAGUAGGUGUGUCAUUUGCCAGCAGGUUAAAGCUGAAAAGAAUAAGCCGUUUGGGUUGAUGUAGCCACUUCCUAUUCCACAGUGGAAAUGGGAAAAUAUUACUAUAGAUUUUGUGUACAUGCUUUCUCGUACACAGAAUGGUUAUGAUGGCAUCUGGGUGAUAGUUGAUCGGCUUACUAAGACAACACAUUUUAUUUCUGUGAGGGAGAAGUAUUCUGUCAGCGGAUUAGUUGAAUUAUUUGUAUCGAAGAUCGUGAAGUACCAUGGAGUUCCAAUUAGUAUUAUCUCGGAUCGUGAUCCUAGAUUUACUUCCAAGUUUUGGAUAGCAUUUCAAGAAGUUCUUGGUUCGAGAUUAUUUUAUAGUACAACAUAUCAUCCUUAAACAGAUGGACAAUCAGAGAUGACCAUUCAGACAUUGGAGGAUAUGCUGAGAACUUCGAUGUUGCAGUUUGAUGACGCUUGGCAUAAAUGGUUGGAUUUAAUGGAAUUUGCCUACAACAAUAGCUUUCAUUCCAGUAUUGGUAUGUCACCUUUCGAGGCUCUUUAUGGUAGAUCUUGUUGCACACCCUUAUGUUGGUCAAAGAUGGGUGAAAGGGUUUUAGUGCGUCUUGAGAUAGUGGAAGAGACUACUCAGAAUAUUCAGGUGAUUAAGUCUAACCUGAAAGUGGCCCAGGAUCGACAAAAGAGUCUAGCAGACAGACAUGCCACUGACCAGAUGUAUAAUGUAGGUGAUUGGGUAUUUCUGAAGCUAUCACCAUGGAAAGGUGUUAUGUGGUUUGGAAAGAAAGGCAAGCUGAGUCCUAGAUACGUUGGACCAUAUAUGAUCAUCGAGCGAGUCGGUGAAGUUGCUUAUAGACUUGAGUUGCCUCCAGAGUUGUUCAAAGUGCACGAUGUUUUUCAUGUCUCUAUGCUUCGUCAUUAUGUUGCAGAUCCUUCACAUGUGAUUCCUCCUCAACCAUUGGAAAUUAAUUUGGAUUUGAUUUACGACGAGGAACUAGUGACUAUUUUGGAAUGGAAAGAUAAAGUUUUGAGAAAUAAAACCGUGCCCUUGGUGAAAGUUUUGUGGAGAAAUCACUCAGUGGAAGAGGCUACCUGGGAGACAGAGGACCGAAUGAGAGAGAUGUAUCCAUGAUUGUUUUAUGGUUAUUAGUGGAUGUAUUGUUGUGUAUGAAUUUGGAGGACGAAAUUUUUUAAGGUGGGUAGAUUGUCACAACCCGUCCCGGAUAUGUUUAUUAUUUUACCCUCGACGACAUGAAAUUACUUAAAUGCCUUGGACAUUUUGAGUUGUGUGGUGUGGUUUAGACUUGCGUGGUGGACCAAUAUGCUAAGUUCUAAUUAUUUUGGACCAAUCCUUUUUAUUCCUAAGUAUUUGGAACUAAAGGAAUUUGUUUGUGUUAUUUGGUAGGCAAUUAGGACCACACACAUAAAAACACAACCCGUUGAGACUCCCUCUCUCCUCCCUCUCCCGGAUUUUUGCCAUCGUCUGUACCAUUGUACGGACCAUCUUCGAACCAACCUGUUUCUUCACGGAUCAACGUUAAAAAGGUAAUAUUCUUGUUCCCUACAAGCUCCUGAGUCCAUUCGUACCAUUUUUAGGACUUGAAAAUUUCGAAAACCAGAGAAACCGAUAUCCCAGUUUUGAGGUAUUGUUCAUGUGGUCGUAAUUAUGGAUGUUUCAGGAAAUUUUAAGCUUGUCGGAAGCGUUAGAACGUCCUUACGAAGGUCGGAGAAGAAAAACUAAGUAAUUUGGACGUCGGGAAGUUGAGUUUAACGAGUUGUAAGUUUUGGCCGGAUUAUCGAGUUUUCUCCAUCGAGAUUCCGUGGAUUUCAAGCCUUGAAAUUGGUAAGGUUUUGUUCUUCUAGUUACAAGCUUCAUUUUGGGACAAAUUUGAGGUAAUUCGGUUAAGAAAUUAUUGAAAUAUCAAGGUUUUUCGAAUUUCCAGUUUUUCGAAGAUGGCAACGGUCAUCGGAGUCGAAGGAAGAAGACGAGCGAAUAUUCCAUCAACUUUGACAGAAUAUUCUAACGGUGUCAGGUUAGUUUUAACGGUAUAUGCUAUUAUUUAACGGAAUAUUCCCUAACGCCGUUAGGGUUACCGUCAAUGUACCUAGCAUGUCUGGUGUGCCUUGGCCGGCGUGUGACGACACGUGGGUGGUCGGAAAAUUUUUCUAAAAAUAUGGGGAUGUUCGUGAGGUUGUGUAGAUCACUUUGGUAUAUUCAAACAUCCCAUUUGAGCAAUGUAUGAGAAGUUAUUAACUAGUUUUGUCUAUGUGCUUUAAUUAACGUAUUUAUAGUUGUUUCGCAUAUAGGGGAGACCUAUUCUGAGGACGAGCGUAGUCAAGGGCGACUCUGGGGCAACGACCCUUCGAUAUACCAGUGAAUGGGCUUUUGGGUUUAAGUCUAUAUGUAUAUGCUUGAUACCUUUCCUAGAAAAUGCAUUUAAAUGAGUUAUGAUUUAAACUGCCAUGGCAAAUGUUUUACAUUUAGAAUAUGCAUAUGAUGUUUGCAUAUAUCUAUAAUUGUGGUGUUGUGGACGCUCAGGUAAGUCCCAUGUGAGUUUAUGAAUUUCGAAUGUGAAUAAUAGUUGUGAUUAAUUGAAAAACAUUGAGCUCAUAAACCUGCACCCCGGUGUUAGUGAUUUAGCUAGAGAUAUGAUAGGACUGUAUAUGAUGUCAUCUCUCGCACCAUAUGCUCACAUUGGAUCCAAUUUAGGUGCACAAUCUUGUCGUACAGACCACUAAGGGUGGUUCCGACUCGUAGGUAAUUAGCGAUUUAUCGCACAGCUAUCAUGAGAGUGUAGCAUUGAGCAUAACUAUAUUACACCCAGUCUUGUCGUACAGACCACUACAGGUGGUUCCGACUUGUGUGUAGAUGUAGUGCCGUACAGGUCACCUUCGAUGACUCCGGCUAGAUUUGAUCAAUGAGCUUAUUUUCAUCUGAGUUACUCAUUCUGUUAUAUAUUUGUCAUGGUAUACUUAUGAACAUGGAUACGUGAAGCAUAAAUUGAUAUACAUAUAUAUAUAUAUAUAUAUUCAUUUAUAUUCCAUUUCUUGGAAAAUUAUACAUGUUUUACGGCGAAGGGUUAGAGCAUUUGAUAAAUGAAAUGGUUUUGAAAAGCUUUGUUUUUUCCCACUCACACUUUCUGUUUUGCGCCCCUCCAGGUUUUUGAUAAGCUCGCUCGUUGGUGGCUCACGAGCAUUGAUUGGAGGUUCUGACAGACUAUCAAAAAAUGUAAGGCAUCUUUGGGUGUCGUUUAAUUAGUACUUGUUUUCUGGACUAAACUUGGGCUACUUAUGCUCUGAUUGUGUAUUCACACAUAUUCUAGCACUUGUCUUAACUAGUACUCUUAUGAGUUGGUUUUCAUUUAUUCGUAUUCUCUAUUAUCAUUAUUGAUUCUGCACUGUGCAUAUGGCUACGUCACCCUCACGUGACGGCCAGCAUGCCCUGAUUCGGGUUGGGGUGUGUCAGGCUAUAUUUGGCCUAUGGUUCUUUGGCCCCUCGGUUGGAGAUGGUAUAAAAUAUGGCAUGGCACUGUUCAUUAAAAUAUAAUUUCUCGUAGAGCUAUAAGGCUAAAUAUAGCCCUUUGACCCUUCAUCGGUUGGAGAUGUCCUUAGGCAGCCUUAAUCAACGUCCGUCUUUGGUGGUGUUGCAUGACCUUUGUGAGGGAAAAAUUUUGUCCUAGCCAAGAACAAGUAAGAACAUUUGAAUACACAUGCAAACUAUUAACACAUUAAAGUAGGCAUGCAUUCAAAAAACAAUUCAUAAAACCCAUGACUUUCAAAGCCUAGUAUAUGGUGAACCAAAAGACUCUUUAACAACAUUAAAGAGAAUGAAGAAUUUAGAGAUUCUUUACCCUUGAAGCUCAUCCUUGUUUACACAAGGGAUUCACCCAAGUGGAGGGCCUUCAAGUCACCUCCAAGCUCCUUGGAUCUUGCUUGUGAUUUCCUUCUCCUUUUGUGCUACUUUGGUCCUUGAGGAUGUGAGGAAAGGAUCUCCAAAACACCAAAGGUUUGGUGUCUCUAAGUCUCCACACCAAGGGUGAGGUGUGAAGAUGAAAAUGGAUGACUUAGAGAAGAAAAGAUUGCUAGAUUAAUCUCCUCUAAGUGGCCAGCCUCUUUGUAGAGAGAAAGAGAGAAAAUGUUUCACCUCUUUGCCUCAAAGAAAAACCCUAAUGAAAAUAAAGCUAUAAAGUUGCUUUUAUACUUCAUUACAAGUGAGUGGCAAACUUGUAAUUAAUCCAAGUUUGCAACAUUCACCCUAAUGGACGGCCUUCCCUUUGUUAUUGGGCUAAUUGCCCAUUUUGUUUUGGUUGUCAUACAACUUAAACAUAAUGGGCCUUGUGGACCAAAACGCUUUUGGGCCCCGAAGCCCAAAACUAACUUAAAAGCCCAAUACGAACAUUUCGUAUAAUUAAUUAACUAUUUAAUUAACCUUGACCAUUUUUCAAUCAAACCAUUUAAUUGCAUAUCCAUUUCAUUGAUUUCAUCACUUUCAUCCUUACUCGGUGUACGAUCCAUUAGGUUCCAUUUAGCGAGGUAGUGGGCGAUUGUUACUCUUAAUGAUUGAUUGUGAAUUGAAACCACAUUUCAAUUCUCCCUUAAAAUUAGUGUUUGCUAAUCUUUAGGGCUUCCACAAACCAUGAGUGACACCUAGCAGCAUGUCAUGGUUACCCAAGCUAAUUAGAAGUGGUUGGAGAACCUAUCCAGUUACAACUACAAUGCAAUACGGUCAUUCUCUAAUACAAUACUCUUAAUCACAUUGUUUGAAUGAUAGUUUGUUUCAUGUCUACUAUCCAAUGUGAUACUUCUCUAUAUGAUUCAAUUAAAUAUGAUUUGGAACAAACUUCCUAAGUCAUAUUCAUAUGCUUUGGCCAAAGACUCUCGAAUCAUAUCUUAGAGUAUUCUCCUUCCACCAUGGAAGGUUAGAGAUCCCUUGUUGUGCAUUCAUAUGCCUACAUGACUAGAUAGCUUGACCCCAACAAUGCCGUGGACACUCCAAUGGAAUGCCUUUGACAUGAUCAAAGGUCAAGGACCUAACCAUUAGACAUCUAUGAUGCCUCAGGUCAAAGGACUACUUUGCAUAUUGCAACUAUCGAGUUCUUACGUGACAUGUAUGUUCGAACUCUCUUUUGAUCGUUGUUCAGUGUACUCGAUUACUCUUUCGAGCACCUAUGUGUUUGUCUUAGUGUCCAACACUAAAUGACUUGAGACUAGUCAUACUCACGCUUGAGUCGAUAUAACACAUACUAACCUUAGCGGAUUGUCAAUGCCCAAUUGGCAAUCCUAUGGCUAGGAACGUUUUAGGAAUGAACAUAAGAGAAAGGUCUCGUUAAUCUAACUUACUUAAAUCACUUAUCUCUUAGAUCAAAUACAUUCCUUGGAUUCCCUUAUUGCUUAAACACAUGAUACAAUAAAUAGUGAUUAACAAUAAGCUUUGCCCUUCAUUAAACAUAUAAAAGUUUAAUACAUUAAGUAUUCCAAAAGCUAUUUACAUCAAAUGAGUGGCUUUGUGGGCAUACUUCCAACACUUUGCAUUUCCGGAAACUUGUACUAAUGGGAUACGACUAGCUUCUACUUCUUUCUUCACAACUUGGCUUAAGCCAAGGGCUUACAAUUCUUAGACUUGUGUACUUUGUAAGUUUAUACAUGGAGUAAUUAGGUUCACAUCCUUCUUUUUGUUACUUCAUUGAUUAAAAUCCUAUUCAUUUUUAAUUUUUGAUCAAGGUCCUUGUGACACACCCCAAUCCUAGAAUCAAGGCAUGCUGGCUGUCACGUGAGCGUGACGUAACCAUAAGUGCGGUGCGGAAGCAAAAUAAGAGAAUUACGAAAGAAUAAAAACCAACUACUAGCAAGAAUAACCAAAAGCAUGCUAGAGAGAGAGAGAGUUAAAGUGUGCAACACACAAUUUCAGAGCAUAAGCAACUAGGUGCAGUCAAGUAGGACUAUAAUUAAGUUACAACACCCGCAGGUGAGUCCUACAUUAGGAGAGUCUGUCAGAACACCGAAGAAAGCCUCGUGAGCCACCAACUGCUAACUAGAACCUGGAGGGGCACAAAACAAAAUUGAGUGGGUCAGUAAAACAAAACUUUGCGAAAACCUUUCAUUUAAAACAUUUCUAACCCCUCGCUGUAAAACCUGUAUACUUUCCCAGAAAAUAGCAUACUAGCAUAAUACUUUUCAUUUAUCUCAAAUCGUCAAUCUUUCUUAAAAACCAGAAAGUAUGCCAUGUUAAAAACUUUCAAAAACAGAAUGAAUGAUGCAUCAAUGUAACAGGUGAAAUAAUGAAUUAACUGGAGACCCUACAGUUGAUCCUGUACGGUUAAUUCUAUAGCUCAACAUCAAAUCCAUCCGGAGUCACCUCGGUGACCUGUACGGCACUACACUGCAUAUACAUCGAAACUACCUGAAGUAGUCUGUACGAUAAGGAUGGUGUAAUAAUAAUACGCUCUAGUGCUUCUCUCAUCAAACAUCUGUGUACACAAUCUAAGGUCACCUAUCAGUUGGAACCCUCUCAUGGUCUGUACGACAUGUCGGAACCUUCUCAUGGUCUGUACGACAUGCACCUACUUGGAUCCAAGGUGAGCGUGCGGUGCGAGGUGAAUAAUAUAAGCACUAACACCAUGAUUGCAGGUUAUGAGCUAUCAACAUAAUACAUAUCAACAAUGCACAUGAAUAACAUAAACUCACCUGAUACUCACCUGUGCGUCCACAACACCAAUUCACAUAUAUAUGCAUCAAUUAUCAAUUCAUAUAACUUAUAUCAUGCAUGCAUGGCAUUUGAAAACGUAUUUUCCUUCAAACUCAAUUUCUGGGAAACAUAUCAAUAGUAUAUAGGUAUAAACAGAAAUACUGCCCACUCACUGAUAAGUCGAAGGGUCGUAACCCCCGUGACGUCCCUGGAUGCGCUCGUCCUCGGGAUAGGUGUCACCUAUAUGCGAAAUAACUAUAAAAACGUUAUUUUAAAGCAUAUAAUCAACAAUUCGUAAUAACUUCUCAUACGGUGCUCAAAUUGGGUAUAUGAAUAUACCACAGUGACCUACUUGACGUCACGGACGUCGACAUAUUUUUAAAAUAAUUUUUGGGCUUGUCACGGGCCCCCACGCGCCGUGGGUGGCACGGACCUACGCGCCUCCACGUGCAUCUUCUUCCUCGAUGCUUGCCGGACUGAGUUUUCCGGUGGCUGGAAAACUGGGCAAUUUUCAAUUGCCUUGUUCUCCCUCGUUUCUCAACCAUUUUCUUCGAAUUUUAUAUCAAUUUGAAGCCCUAAACAUGUAGUUUCACGAUAGACUAGUUUAAAGCUCUAAAAACUACGAAAUCUCAUCGUAGAAAUUCCAAGAAAACCGGCCAAAGUCGAACCCAGUGAUCCCGACGUCCAAAACCUUCAAACGAAGCACUCCGAGCUUCCUUGGGACCUCACUAAGCUCACUACAAGCUUAGAAUUCCUUGAAAAUCGACAUAUUAUGAUUGCAUGAAUAGUGACAUAAAAUGGGGGUUCGGGUUUCACGUGAUUUCGAUGGUUUCACUUUCUAAAACCAAUAUCAAUCGACUCAGGAGGUUGAAAGGAUGAAGAUUCAUACGUUUUUGGCGUCGAUCCGUGGAAGUUCGAGGGUUUUGGGCUUCGUCCGUACGUUCGAGGGUGAGAGAGUGAGAGAUUGAGAGAGUCGUGAGGGAGGAGAGAGAGAGAAGGCACGGGGGAAGGGGAGAGGUCCUGUGUGUGUAUGUGGUCCAACCAAAACCAUACAUACCAAUUUUAAUCCCUAACCACACAAAAAAAUACCAUCCAAAAUUAAUCCAACUUAAAUUAUUUCUCCAAAAGCUUAGGGAAUAGGAAAUAUUCAAAACAUGUCACAACACUUACCUUAGUAACGUCAAGGGUACUUUCGUCCUUUCACGUCCUUAAUAAGAAAAUCUCGGGACGGGCUGUGACACCUUGGGUAUUAAUAACAUCAUUAAUUAUUUGAAUAAUAAAAUAUUUUUAUUUUUCAAUAUAUUCCUUUAGUGUUAAAAAUGUUACAAUUAGUAUAUUUAUAUUUAUGGCUAAAUUUUUUAUCAUAUAUUUUUAUUUUUAGUUUGUACCUAUUUUUAAUUUGCAAAUAUUUUUUAAUUUGUACAAUUUUCUUUUAAUUUUUAAUUUGUACCCAUAUAUGUUAGUUUCUUUUUGUGCCCAUAUUUUUUAAAGUUUUAUUUGUGUUUGUACCCAUGUGUUUAUCGUCACGUGACAUUGUAUAUUUAAUCAAUGAUAGAAAAAUUACAUAUGGUAUAUUUAUGUUUUAUGCCUAAACUUUGUAUCACAUAUUUAUAUUUUUAGUUUGUACCCACUUUUCAUUUACAAUAUUUUUUAAAAAUUUGCAGUAUUUUCUUUUUAGUUUUAUUUUGUACCCAUGUAUUAACUUCUUUUAGGGCCUAUAUUUUUUAAACAUUCAUUUGUACUCAUAAUUUUUUAAACUUUUACAUGUACCCUAAUUUAUUUAUAAUGUACCCAUUCUUUUUUAUUAAUGUACAUAUGUGAAAUGUACCAAUUUUUUUAACACUAUCAAUACAUUCUUUUGCCAUUUAUUAUUUCUUAUUUUUACAUAGUUUUUAUCCAUUUAUUCAAUCAAAAUGUUUGAAUUCUUUUAUUGUAACCAUUUCUAAUAGUAUUAUAAUUGUAAGACACCAUAUCGCCUAGGAGUGAGGAUCCUGUAAGCUUUAUAUGUAUAUUCCCAUCUCUACCUAGCACGACGCCUUUUGGGAACUCACUGGCUUCGGGUUCCAAUGGAACUCUGAAGUUAUGCGAGUUCAGGCGAGAGCAUUCCCAGGAUGCGUGAUCCACUGGGAAGUUCUCGUGUGAGUUCCCAGAAAUAAAACCGUGAAGGCGUGGUCGGGGCCUAAAGUGGACAAUAUCGUGCUACGGUGGAGUCGAGCCCGGGAUGUGGUGGGGGCCCGGGCCAAGAUGUGACAAAAUUGACACACCCCGACCUAGAUCGAGGCAUGAUCACGUAGUGACGUAAUCAUGUGAAGACAAAUACUAAAAAAAACACACCCAAGGGCGAUCAUACAUUUAUGAUGUUCUGUCAGAAUCACCGUUGAAAUCCGCGCGAGCCACCAAAGCACUUUUACUCAAAACCUGGAGGGGCGCAAAAUAGAAAGUGUGAGUGGGCAAAAACAAAGCUUUUCAAAAUCAUUUCAAUUCUCAAAAGUUCUAACCCCUCACCAUAAAACCUGUAUAAUUUCCCAGAAAAUAAUAAUAAUAACAAUAAGCUGAAUCAGAAAUCAUACUCAAUAUGAAAAUCCAUAGAAGUAUACCAUGCUAAAGUAUCUCAAUGCAAUGCUAUAAGUAAUCCAGGCAAAAUAUAUUAAUGUCAAAUAUCGCAUCAACAAAAUCCUUCUAACUCAAUCUGCACGGCUGAGUAUAUAGCUCAUAACCAAUUUCAAUCACAUCAAAUCAAAUCCUGCACACGAGUCAGAACCACCUAAAGUGGUUUGUACGACAAGACUAGGUGUGAAGUAAAUAGGCUCUAGUGCUAUGAUCUCGUGAAGGCUGUGCGAAUAAUCACGGGUCACCUACGAGUCGAAACCACCUAAAGUGGUAUGUACAACAAGCCUGUGCACCUAACUUGGAUCCAAGGUGAGCAUAUGGUGUGGGAGGUGAACAUCACGUGAAUGAUUGUACCCUAACUCUGGGCUGGAGCACUAACACUGGGGUGCAGGUUUAUGAGCUUUCAAUACAUCACAUCAUGUCUCGCAUAACUGAAGCAAUCUCAUAUCUUUAAUUUAUGAACUUACUUGGCACUUACCUGUGCAUCCGCAACACCAAUCAUAAAUAUAUGCAACUACUAAUGCAUACUAAAAUAGACAGAUACUUUGCAUAAAAAUUCAAAACGUAAUUUCAUUCAAAUUAAUUUUCUGGGAAAAAUCAAGUAUAUAGGUAUAUACGAAAAACCAAAAGCCCACUCACUAAUAUGUCGAAGGGUUGUAGCCCUCAAGCCUCGAUUGAUGGCGCUUGUCCUCAGGAUAAGUCUCACCUAUAUGCGAAAUAAUUGAAUAAACGUUAUUUAAAGCACAUACACAAAACUAGGAAAUACCUUCUCAUACAUUGCUCAAAUGGGGUAUUUGAAUAUACAAGCCAAAUUUUUAGAAAAAUUUUCCGACCACCGAAGUGCCGGCCAAGGCGCGAACUACUGUUAGGAAUAUUUCGUUGACGCCGUUAGAAUAUUCCGAUAGACUUGAUAGAAUAUUCCCCUUCGUCUUCCUUAGAUCGCCGGAGAUCGUCGCUGGUGCCAGUUUCUAGAAAAUAAUCAAACCUUCAUAUCUUCUUCAAUUUUCAACCAAAACUCACGAAAUCUAUAUCAAAUUAAAGCUUUGGAUGAGAGGAACAAAGACUUACGACUUUGGGGACCUAAGACUGAUCGAAUCAUAUUUAUAUAUAUUUUUACUUCGAAUUCACUCGUCUUUUCUUAGUUAGUUCCUUAUAUUUUUGAGCUAUUUACGUUAUUUUUGUGUUUAUAGGAUUUGUUAUGCAAAGAAAAUAAAAAUAGAAUAAGUGAAAUUUUAUUCGUGAAAAGCAAAUUUAAAUUACAAUAUUGCUAAACCAUUGUGACGCUAAAUGAUAAACCAAUAUUUAAACUUUAUAUUUCAUCAUUUUAUAUUUCUUUUCUUGUCUAAUUUAUUUGAAAGCUUUAAGUAUUUAUGAUACUUUUGAUAUAUUGUGUUUGUAGGAGUAACAUGAUCCAAAGAACUUAUUUUUCUGCUAUGUGGGGCUGCUAGAAACUAAAUGAAAAUAAAAGGAGAGCAUCGGGAGGAGAAUAUAGAGGAAAGCAAGCUGCCUUUGCAGCUGGAGGAAAGCAGGUCAGCGACAAAGGGAUCCAAGGAAGUCAGAAGAAUUAAGGGACAGCAACUGGCAAAGCAGAGAAAAUGGAGGAGUCCACACGGGGGACGGAAAAAGAAUCCAAAGAAGGGGAAAAAGACUGACAGCUCGCAGAAGAAAGGGGGCCUCGGUGAGAAAGAAAGAAGGGGAGUCAGAGGAGAGGAGAGAGGUCAGGGGAGGGCAGACUUGAUUUGAGGGCGGUCUUGGGGGGGAAUUAAGGAAAAGGGGGAGCUGCCCUUUGGGCAGCUCGAGAAGGGAGUCAGCGUGAGGGCAGAAGAACAGAGGCAGGGGAGAGACUGACGCGAGAGGACAGGGAAGACUAAGUGUGCGAAAAAAAAAAAUAAGAAAUAAGAAGAUAGAAGCAGAGAGACUGACGAGAGAGGCAGUGUGCAGAAAACAGAGAGGACAGACCGAGGGCAGAAGCAGCAAGCACUCUCCUCUCUCUCGGUUAAAUCUUUCUAAAUCUAUAUUUUAUUUCUGUUUUAAUAAUGUGUAAUUAAAUUUUAUUUUGGCUAGAGGUUAAUUCAAAAACAUGAAUAUAUUUGUAAUAUGAAUUGAUUACCUUCGGUUGUGAUUUCAUAAGUUGUGAUUUCAAUUUACUUAUCCGUUCGUAUAAAAACUGAUUUGUGUAUGUUGGUUGAGAGUGCACGCUUAAUUUACAUGCAUGAAUUUGAUGCUAGAAUAUAAGUGAAUUUCACCUAAUCGUUAUGAACUUAUUUUCACAAGUAGUAAAGGUUGCUAGUCACAAUCACGUUAAGUAAAUUCUUGGCAAGAGUAUCAUGCUUUUCAUAGUUACGAAUGCCUCGUCAAUGCUUAUAGUUUUCACAAAGUUUAAUGAUCUUUGAUUGUAUCUCUAUUGUGCUUUUCACGUAGGGGACUUUUGAAGAAUGUUUUGAAUUGUUGUAUGCGUUUUCCCGUCCAAUUCAAUAACUUAAGGAAAACUUGAAGAUUAAAAAAGUGCUGUUCACGGUUAAUCUGGAGUAUUGAAAUUCACAAUUUAUUAAAAGAACAACUGGAAAUCAUUUUGUAUGCAAGUAUAACAUGUGUGGAGAAGAACCCUUUAGCUAGUCCGUCAUUUAUCAUUUUACCUUAAUUUCAUGUUUUUGUCAAUUCUGUAAUUUAAUUAAGUUUAAUUUACUUUUCAUCAAAACCAAACACCCAUCCAUUAUUAAAUUAUAUUAUUUAUUUAGUUUUCUUUAUUGUUAGUCUUUUAAUUUAAUUUCCAUCCAUUGCAGUUCCUAGUGUCUAAUUUGAUUGUUUUCAUUAUUUUGAGUUAUCCUAAGUGUGUUUCGAGUUAUUAGAGUUUUUAGCCUAGUUUUGUGUCCUUGAGUCUUAUUUAAUAUUUUUAAAUUAAUUUAGAAUAGAUUAGCAAUCCCUCCUAAUCCCCGGCCUAGAACGAUACCCUACUUACAUCCAUACUACAAUUGUCAAAAAGAGGGUUUAAUUUGUGUGUCAAGUAAUUCUCACACCAAAUUUUGGCGCCGUUGCCGGGGAUUAGCAACUUUGCUAAUCCUUUUAUUUUUGUUUUUGUUUAUGUUUAUAUUGGUGUUUGUGUAUUUUACUUUUGAUAUUUGAUUUAUUUUUCUUUCUUUGAUUUUAGGUUCAAAUGGAGCCGAGGGAAAUUUAAAGGAAAGAUGCGUCCGGCUAAAGACGUUAAAUCAAGCGCUUCUUGGGAGGCAACCCAAGCAUUCAACGAAGGGAGACUUUGGAAUCGCUAACCCAAUCAGAUUUGCAUUUUUACACCCUUAUCUUUAAUGCUUUCAUUUUGUCUUGUUUAGUUAGUUGUGUUAUUUGUUUGAUUUCUGUGAGUUUGUGUUAUUUAGUUUAAGUGUGGGGGAAGGUUAACCAAAGUCUCUUUACAUUAAUUUACAUUUAUAAAAAAAAAAAAAAAAAAAAAAAAAAAAAAAAAAAAAAAAAAGAUAAAAUUUAAAAUUAAUGAUAAAAAAAAAAAAAAGUACAAAUAUUUUACAAUGAUGUAAACUAAUAGUAUUCAUUGGUCGGGUGGUGCUUCAGUAGUAGGCGGGGCUUCAGCAGUCGGCGGGGCCACAGAAGGAGGAGGCGGCAGAGGUUGAUCAGUUGGAGCUUCACUACGCGGUGCCGCUCCAGAAGACGAAGGCAGAUGUUGUUGGAACAAACCCACAAACCUCCGAUGAUCAAGUAAAAUUUGACCAUCGGUGUCCUGCAUCUGGUCAAUCUUCCUCUUCAUGCUGGUGGCAUAGCUGUGUGCGAGCUUGUGCAAUUCCUUAUUCUCAUGCUUGAGCCCUUUAAUCUCUUGCUUGAGACUCUGUAUUUCAGCCACCAAGGAUUCAACGUGACGGGUUCGGGCAUAUAGGCGUUGGGCCAUGUUGGAUACGGAACCCGCACACUGCACACUGAGAGCCAGAGACUCCUUGACCGCCAAUUCAUCAGACCGCCUUGCGAGUAGUCUGUUAUCUCUGGGAGUGACAAGGUUUCGGGCCACCACCGCAGCGGUCAUGUCAUUUUUCAUCAUCGAAUCCCCCACGGUAAGGGGACCGGUAGGGGAUAUAAAGGAUGACCGCCAUAUGUUGUCUGGUGAAGGCGGAGCUGCCUCUUCACCAAUGUUCAAGUCAAAACGACGAUCAGAAGGGCCAGACAUUUUUCAGAGGUGGUAAAGAAAGAAGAGAGUCGGAAUGAUCAAGAUUAAACAAGUGCAAGAAGGGAGUGUUUACAGGAGGGUACUCAAGUGUGUUGUGGAACAAAAUUAACGCCUCUAUAAAAAGAAGAAAUCAAAGAGGCGCUCCUCAGAGAGGCGUCCUCUCGCAAAUCGAAGAGUCGGGGCUCCUUUCUCAAAAGCCGGAGUUUUUUUCUCAAAAGAGGGGCUCCUUUCUCAAAAGUCGGAUUCUUUUUCUCAAAAAGAGGCGUUUCAUUUCUUAAAAAUUGGGCUUGCUCAGAAACCACGAGCCGAACCCCGGAUUUCGCAAGAUCAAUUCGUCCAGACGUGUUGUCACCCGUCACACGCAAACUCAGCUCUACGAAAAUCACGGGCAGUCUGUCGAAGUGCCGAUUCCAACCAUCUGUCUCUCUCAGCCUAGUCAGCACUUGUCACAUGCAACUAGCAGCUUUGCGGAAAUUACGGGCAGCUUUGUCAGAAAGCGCGUAAUUUGUAUUCUUCACCCAUCCACCGGCUGCCGACACUAAGUGAGAGAACAGUUCCGGUUGUGAAGACAAGUCCUAUAAGUUUCUACCUUCGCCUUCCACAGCAAAAGCACACUCUCUCAGCACACCCUCUCAACACCUCUUCAUCUCCGAAAAUGCAUUCCCAAAAAAUCCUCUCGAGUCACUCUGUGUUCCUCAUUCCUUGGGAUACUCCUGCGAACAACCCAUUCAAAGCAAAAGUAUUUCAUAUCAUAAAGGUUGAAAGCAAGAGUAUCUCAUAUCAUGCUUUCUCCAUGUCCUUCUCCUUGUCUUUGUUUUCCGACAAGGAGAAAGAGAGCAAUCAGCCAGCAUUUGGUAUCAAUCUUCCGAUCUAGAGCCAACUGCCUGGAACCCCUUCCUGAUUGCUUACUUAGCCUUGCUCUCGAGUACUCAUCUUCAUCAUUUUAUGCUUUCUCUUCGUCUACCACAUCUGCCUGGGGGACAGUAAGGGAAGUGAAAAUGAUACCUCGAAGCAUGUGGAGACAAUUCAGCUAGGGACAAGGAGAAAAGAAAGCAAGAGGUGGGCACUUGGAAAGAUUGAAGAAAGAAAUAAGGACCAACACCUUUCCCUCGUGCCUGCCCGUUGUGCAGAAGAAACAAGCAGAGAAGAAUGCAGCUUGCACAAUCAUCCCAGCGGAAGGAGUCCGAACUGAGGAACUAGAGAAGCUGCCACAUCUGCUUGGAGAACAAAUAAGGAACUGCAACAUAACCAAAGAGCAAAGCUUCGCCGUACAAUAUCAUAAAAUCAUCACUUGCAAGUGAAAAGCUAAGUGUCACCCUGUUCAAGAGGAAAGCUGUGGAAAGUCAACAAGCACGACCAAUGAUUACUUAUUAGUUUUAUUCAUUAUCUUUUAUCGUAAUUUUCAAUUUUUCGUUUGCAAUUUUUUUUAAUUAAUUUUCUUGCGUACUUAACUGAAUUUUUCCUUUUCUUUGCAGGAACUUUUGGUUAUUUCCACCCUUGAAGUUGAUUGCAGAAUUUUAGCUUGGGGGUCAUCGCUUGAUUUUACUGCAAAUUAGGGAAGUUUUCAGUCCAAUUGCGUUAUUUUGUUUCUUAUUAUUUAUUUAUUUUAUUUUAUUUUAUUUAUUUGCAUUAUAGUGUUUUCUGACAUUGGGGACAAUGUCAAGUUUAAGUGUGGGGGUAGACAUCUCUAGAAUUUCAUUUGUUUCUGUGUUGUUGCUUUUUGUUUUCUUUAAAUAAAAAAAAAAAAAAAAAAAAAAAAUCGGAAAAUUUAAAAAUCCAAAAAUAUUGUCUUGUUUCCCUUAUUGUUCUGAAUCAGAUUUUUAUUAGUUUCCCGACCCAAUGAUAUAAUUGAAUAAAAUUUGAACCAUGAUCAUCAAGAACUUAGUUAACAUGUGUUUUGUGAAAUUCCUAAUUCUUUUGUUAGUUUUGUACAUGUUUGAUCAUCUUUGAAAAACCAAAUGCACAUAGCUUUGUUGAUGUGAAACUAAAGCAUAACGUAAAGCUUCAUAUAUGAAUUUAGUGACCAUAUACAUCCUAUGUGAGUUUUUGAGCCUAUUGAAAGUGUGUGCAUUUUUCAUACACUCCUAUUCUUUCAUGUGUGAUGAACUUAUGUGAGAUACAUCUCUAGAACUUGCGUAACGAUCUUUCGAAAUGUUUGUCAUUGAUUGCAUGAACUUGGAAAUGAUAGAGGCAUUAGGUUUACCACCAUGGCCCAAAUAACCAUGUUUCCCAAAGAAAAAUGAUAUCAUUAGAUUGCCAAUUUGAGCCGUGUAUGUUGAGCCUUUUAUUUCUUAUCACCAGAUAUGUCUACCCUUAUACCUGAAACAUUUUUCCUUACCCUUUCCAAGUGAGCAAUGCGAAAUUGUCUUAUGAGAAACGUUUGUGAAGUACUGUGAAGAUGUUUGGCAAAAGAAUAAGUGUGGGGGUAUUUCAUGUUUGUGAUUAAAAAAAAAAAAAAAAAAAAAAAAAAAAAAAAAAAAAAAGAAAGAUUGUAUAAAAAGAAAAUAAAAAGUUUUUAAAGUUCAGUUUAAGAGUAUGGUUGGAGGUGCUAGAAGAAUUGCUGGAGAGCUUGAGUUCUUAUAAAUCUAAAGAAAAGAAUUGCAUGAAAUGUAGCUUGGAACUUGUGUUUUCCUAUUCUUUCGUUUCAAUAACCCUAUCCCUAAGCCUCAUUACAUCCAAUAAAAGUCCUCUUGAUUUAAGUUUUGCAAUUAUGACUGUGGAGAAGUGAUCUUUAUGCAAGCUUAUGGUAGAAAUUUCACAUUUGUUUCUUUGAGCGAAACACACUAAAACUAAACACAUAUGUGAUUGAGUGUAUAUCCCGUGAGAAGGUUACUAGUUUGCAUAUGAUGAUUUUAAAAAUAAAAACUUGAAAUUGCAUUAGCAUGGCUAUCUCACACACUACACUUCAAGGAUGAUUCAAAGAUUACUGCUAAUAUUUGAAUAAGGAAGAUGAACUUGGAUUAGUUCCUUGAUGCUAGCUAUGGUUCUUGAUGAUUUGUUUUCUUGAAUGAAAUUCUAUGAGGGUCACAUAGGGGGAAACUAAUGUUUUUCAUGUUAGUACUUUUUCUAGUUUUCUUGGUUUUGCUCGAGGACUAGCAAAAGUUAAGUGUGGGGGUAUUUGAUCGGAUCAUAUUUAUAUAUAUUUUUACUUCGAAUUCACUCGUCUUUUCUUAGUUAGUUCCUUAUAUUUUUGAGCUAUUUACGUUAUUUUUGUGUUUAUAGGAUUUGUUAUGCAAAGAAAAUAAAAAUAGAAUAAGUGAAAUUUUAUUCGUGAAAAGCAAAUUUAAAUUACAAUAUUGCUAAACCAUUGUGACGCUAAAUGAUAAACCAAUAUUUAAACUUUAUAUUUCAUCAUUUUAUAUUUCUUUUCUUGUCUAAUUUAUUUGAAAGCUUUAAGUAUUUAUGAUACUUUUGAUAUAUUGUGUUUGUAGGAGUAACAUGAUCCAAAGAACUUAUUUUUCUGCUAUGUGGGGCUGCUAGAAACUAAAUGAAAAUAAAAGGGAGAGCAUCGGGAGGAGAAUAUAGAGGAAAGCAAGCUGCCUUUGCAGCUGGAGGAAAGCAGGUCAGCGACAAAGGGAUCCAAGGAAGUCAGAAGAAUUAGGGGACAGCAACUGGCAAAGCAGAGAAAAUGGAGGAGUCCACACGGGGGACGGAAAAAGAAUCCAAAGAAGGGGAAAAAGACUGACAGCUCGCAGAAGAAAGGGGGCCUCGGUGAGAAAGAAAUAAGGGGAGUCAGAGGAGAGGAGAGAGGUCAGGGGAGGGCAGACUUGAUUUGAGGGCGGUCUUGGGGGGGAAUUAAGGAAAAGGGGGAGCUGCCCUUUGGGCAGCUCGAGAAGGGAGUCAGCGUGAGGGCAGAAGAACAGAGGCAGGGGAGAGACUGACGCGAGAGGACAGGGAAGACUAAGUGUGCGAAAAAAAAAAAUAAGAAAUAAGAAGAUAGAAGCAGAGAGACUGACGAGAGAGGCAGUGUGCAGAAAACAGAGAGGACGGACCGAGGGCAGAAGCAGCAAGCACUCUCCUCUCUCUCGGUUAAAUCUUUCUAAAUCUAUAUUUUAUUUCUGUUUUUAAUAAUGUGUAAUUAAAUUUUAUUUUGGCUAGAGGUUAAUUCAAAAAACAUGAAUAUAUUUGUAAUAUGAAUUGAUUACCUUCGGUUGUGAUUUCAUAAGUUGUGAUUUCAAUUUACUUAUCCGUUCGUAUAAAAACUGAUUUGUGUAUGUUGGUUGAGAGUGCACGCUUAAUUUACAUGCAUGAAUUUGAUGCUAGAAUAUAAGUGAAUUUCACCUAAUCGUUAUGAACUUAUUUUCACAAGUAGUAAAGGUUGCUAGUCACAAUCACGUUAAGUAAAUUCUUGGCAAGAGUAUCAUGCUUUUCAUAGUUACGAAUGCCUCGUCAAUGCUUAUAGUUUUCACAAAGUUUAAUGAUCUUUGAUUGUAUCUCUAUUGUGCUUUUCACGUAGGGGACUUUUGAAGAAUGUUUUGAAUUGUUGUAUGCGUUUUCCCGUCCAAUUCAAUAACUUAAGGAAAACUUGAAGAUUAAAAAAGUGCUGUUCACGGUUAAUCUGGAGUAUUGAAAUUCACAAUUUAUUAAAAGAACAACUGGAAAUCAUUUUGUAUGCAAGUAUAACAUGUGUGGAGAAGAACCCUUUAGCUAGUCCGUCAUUUAUCAUUUUACCUUAAUUUCAUGUUUUUGUCAAUUCUGUAAUUUAAUUAAGUUUAAUUUACUUUUCAUCAAAACCAAACACCCAUCCAUUAUUAAAUUAUAUUAUUUAUUUAGUUUUCUUUAUUGUUAGUCUUUUAAUUUAAUUUCCAUCCAUUGCAGUUCCUAGUGUCUAAUUUGAUUGUUUUCAUUAUUUUGAGUUAUCCUAAGUGUGUUUCGAGUUAUUAGAGUUUUUAGCCUAGUUUUGUGUCCUUGAGUCUUAUUUAAUAUUUUUAAAUUAAUUUAGAAUAGAUUAGCAAUCCCUCCUAAUCCCCGGCCUAGAACGAUACCCUACUUACAUCCAUACUACAAUUGUCAAAAAGAGGGUUUAAUUUGUGUGUCAAGUAAUUCUCACAUCAAAUUUUGGGGACCUAAGACCAAUAGAAUCUCGCUGGAGAAACUUCGAUAAUCCGGCUAAACUUGAAACUUAUCGAACUUAACUUCCUGACGUCCAAAACACUUCGUUUUUCUUCUCCGAGCUUCGCAAAGAUGUCCUAAAGCUCACUAGCAGCAUAAAAUCUCCUAAAAACUUUGAAAUCACGAGUGCAUGAACAGUAACCCAAAACUGGGUUCUCAGAUUCUUGAAAAAAUCAGGUUUUCACGCCUAAAUAAUAGUAUUAAUGGGUUCCUAGGGUCACAAGGAACUUGAAUAUGGUCUCUAUUGGUUCAAUCUGGGGACAGAAGUGAAGGUUCAAGGUUUGUCAUACAAUCGUACAGACAUGGAAAAAAAUGCGAGAGAGAGGAGAGAGAGUCAACGGGAUAGGGUGAGGGUAUGUGUGUGGUCCAGUUUGCAAUCAAUCAAUCAAAACUUUAGGCCUUUGUUCUAAUUAGGUCCAAAUAAUAAGGAAUAGAACCUAUUGGUCCAAAACCUUAGUUUAUACACACACACAACUCAAUAAUAAAAAGGGUUUAGUAGAAAUUUCCACGCUCUCGAGGAUAAAUAAUAUAUAUGUCUGGGACGGGCUGUCACAACCUACCGCCUUAAGAAAAUUUUGUCCUCGAAAUUUACACAAUAAAUGCAACCCACUAAUAAACAUAAAACAAGCACGAAUACAUCUCUUUCAUAUGCUCCUUAGUCUCUCAGGUGGCUUCCUACACCAGUGAUUUCCCUACAAAACCUUCACUAAGUGCAUUGUUUUAUUUCUCAGAACCUUAUCUUUCCAUUCCAAAAUAGUCACUGGCUCUUCAUCAUAAGUCAAAUCUAAAUUAAUUUCCAGGGGUUGAGGAGGUAUCACAUGAGAAGGAUCUGAGACAUAAUGACGAAGCAUAGAGACAUGAAAAACAUCGUGCAUUUUGGAUAACUCUGGAGGCAAGUCACUCCUGUAAGCAAUCUCACCGACUCGCUCGGUGAUCAUAUAUGGUCCCAUGUACGUAGACUCAGGUUGCCUUUCUUUCUAAACCGCACAACACCUUUCCAUGGUGAUAGCUUCAGAAAUACCCAAUCACCUACAUUAUACAUCCGGUUAGUGGCAUGUCGGUUUGCUAGACUUUUCUGUCGAUCCUGGGCUGUUUUCAGGUUAGACUUAAUCACCUGAAUAUUCUAUGUAGUCUCCUCCACUAUCUCAGGACCUACCAAAACUCUUUCACCAACUUCUGACCAACAUAAGGGUGUGCGACAAGAUUUACCAUAAAGAGCCUCGAAAGGUAACAUACCAAUACUGGAAUGGAAGUUGUUGUUGUAGGCAAAUUUCAUUAAAUCCAACCGCUUAUGCCAAGCGUCACCAAACUGCAACACUGAAGAUCUCAACAUAUCUUCCAAUGUCUGAAUGGUCCUCUCUAAUAGUCCAUCUGUUUGAAGAUGAUAUGUUGUACUAUAAAAUAUUCUCGAACCAAGAGCUUCUUGGAAUGCUAUCCAGAAUUUGGAAGUAAAUCUAGGAUCACGAUCUGAGAUAAUACUAAUUGGGACUCCAUGGUACUUCACAAUCUUCAAUACGAAUAAUUUAACUAAUCCGCUUAAAUGAUAUUUCUCCCUCAUAGAAAUAAAAUGUGCUGACUUAGUAAGCUGACCAACUAUCACCCAAAUACCAUCAUACCCAUUCUAUAUACGAGGAAGCGUGUACACAAAGUUCAUAGUAAUAUUUUCCCAUUUCCAGUGUGGAACGGGAAGUGGAUGCAUCAAUCCAAAAGGCUUCUUUCUUUCUGCUUUGACUUGCUGACAAAUGACACACCUACUUACAUAUUCAACAAUUUCUCUUUUCAUACCUGGCCAAUAAUAAAAUGGUCGAAUAGUAUGAUACAUUUUUGUACCUCCUGGAUGCAUUGCAUAAGCUGAAAUAUGUGCUUCAUCAAGAAUUGCUUUCUUUAACUCCAUAUUAUUUGGCACAUACAUUCUACUUUCAUGCAUAAGCAUACCAUCAGUUUCUCGAAUUCUGAAGUCUUUUUUCUUCCCUCGAUUCCUCGCUUGAAUUAUUUCAUGGGUCUCUUCAUCAUCCAUCUGGGCUUUGAGCACACGAUCAAUUAAAAUUGGCCUGACUUGAAAAUUAGCAAGUAAGGAUUCCUCUAGAUCUUCCACUCCUAACUUUACUCCAGUGGACCUCAAAUUCGCAAGAAGAGGAACAUGACAAUCAUAGAUGGCAUUAAGUCUAACUGGAGUCUUCCUACUAAGUGCAUCUGCCACUGCAUUUGCAUAACCAGGGUGAUACUCAAUUGUGCAAUCAUAAUCACUAAGCAACUCAAUCCACCUCUGCUGCCGAAGAUUAAGAUCCCUCUGAGUAAAAAGAUACUGAAAACUAUUAUGAUUUGUGAAGAUCUUACAUUUCUCACCAUAAAGAUAAUGUCUCAAAAUCUUCAAAGCAAAGAUGAUUGCUGCUAACUUCAGAUCAUGAGUAGGGUAAUUCUUCUCAUGAGGCUUCAAUUGUCAUGAAGCAUAAGCAAUCACCCUACCAUGUUGCAUCAACACACAACCCAGGCCAUUUAAUGAAGCAUCAAUGUAGACCUCAAAAUUACCACUAUCAUUUGGGAGUGCCAAAACAGGUGCAUGAGUGAGAUAAUACUUCAACUGCUGAAAACUUUGCUCGCAAUUAUCAUCCCACUCAAACUUAACUUCUUUUCUAGUCAACCUCGUUAAUGGCAAAGCAAUGACUGAAAAAUCCUUAACAAAACCGUCUAUAAUAGCUUGCUAGGCCAAGAAAACUCCGUACUUCAGUGACGGUUCGAGGUUGCUCCUAAUUCUCCACAGCUGUUGCUUUUUGAGAAUCCACUUGAAUACCUUAAGCAGAAAUGACAUGUCCCAAAAAUGCCAUUAGAUAUAACCAAAAUUGACAUUUGCUAAACUUAGCAUACAACUGAUGUUCCCUUAAUUUCUUCAACACCAAAGUAAGAUGUCGAACAUGCUCUGCUUUAGACUUAGAGUAUACCAAAAUCUCAUCAAUAAAAACAAUGACAAACCUGUCUAUAUUGUUGGAAAUAUGCCCUGAAAGUCAAUCUUUGGAAGAAACCUUUCAGGACAAAUGAAUGGAUGUAUAGAUGACUCUUAUACAUCAAAUGGCAAAGAUACUAAUUAGGACUAUCUCAAUGAACGAUAUAUGUCCUAAAUAGUGAAUCCAUGGACAAUGGAUCGGUUGAAGAAGUAAUCUAAUGAUGUUAGACUACAGAGACCUUCUUCACAUAACCAUCAUGUCCAAAAGGUUCCUGGUCAUAGGAUUGUCGGAAGGAAACUGACAAUGCAUAGACCGAUACAUACUAUGUCCGCUUCAAUUGGAAGGAUGGAAAGUCUCAUCCCAUUCGUGUAGUGACACUAAGACAAGUAUGUAGGUGCUCAUUAAGGGAAUGAGUUCACUGAACACAAUCGAACGAGAGUACUUGCAUGGAGGUCUACUCACAUGUCAAGCAAGUAACUCUUAUGGUUGGAAUAAUGUAAGUAGUCAUUUGACCUGAGGCAUCGUCGUUGUCUUGUGGUUAAGUACUUGAUCUUUGAUUAUGUCAAAGUCACCCCAUUCGCGGGUGUCCACGGCAUAGUUGGGGUUAAGCCACUUAGUCAUGAAGGCAAGUGAAUGCGCAACAAGGAAUCUCUAAUCUUCGUUAAGAGAGGAAGAAUACUCUAAGAUAUGAUUCGGGAAUCUUCGGCCGAAGUAUCGAGCGUAAUAAAGGAAAGCGUUCCUAUACGACUCAAUUGAAUCAUAUAAGAAGGAAUAAUCACAUUAGGGGUUUGACAUAAUAUAUCCAUACCCUAAUGAUGUGAUUGAGAGUAUUGUUUUAGAGAAGGAUCGAAUUACAUUGUAAUUCCAACUGAAUAGGUUCUCCGAACAAAUUCUACAUUAGCUUGGGUAGCCAUGAUAUAUGGUUAGAUGUCACUCAUGGCUUGUGAGUUCUUCUAGAUGAUUAAAUGUAGUAGUCAAAGAAGAAGGUGAAUUAAAAGGAAGUUUUAAUUCACUAAGUGAUUGGAUUAAAUAUAAUCAAUUGGAUUGGUGCCAAUCACCUCACUGCCUUGCUAAUUAGAACCUAAAGUGAUUGUACACCGAUACACUCUUGUAGUGAUACCACUAAUGGAUGAUGGGAAUAAUUAAUUGGAUUAAUUAAGUGUUGUGAUUAAUUAGAAAGUCUAAUGAAAUCAUAAAAGCGAUAUAAGAUCGUUUUGGGCUUAAAGAAACGUUCGGGUUUAAUUGGGCCCAUUGGGCCUAGACCCAUUGGGCUUUUAUUCAAGCAUAGGAUGACUUGAAAUAAUAAAAGCCCAAAGCCCAAACCAAACACUAAAGGCCGGCCACUUAAAGGGAAAGGGAGAGAGUGGAAGUCAAGUUGUUGACUAGGUUUCUUUUUAUCUAUAUAAGGAACUUUAUAGAGAUAAUUUUCAAUAGGGUUUUUGUGAGUUAAAAUAACAAAAGAGAAAAAGAAAAUAUCUCUCUAAAACACCCAAAGGCCGGCCACCAUUAGGGAGUGUGAGCUAAUCAUCUUAUCUCGCUUUUGGUCAUUCCUCCAUCCAUCUCACUACACUAGUGGGUGUGGAUCUUUAGAGGUCUUCUACUUUGGAGACUAAAGGAGAACCAAAGGAGCACUCAUACUAACAAAGUGGAGGAGGCAAGGAGGGAGACUAGGCUCAAGGAGUUCAAGGAACAAAGGGUUUGAAGGUAGUCCAUCCUUGGUCUAAAAUCUAGAUCAAGAGGUAUAGAUCUAUUCCUACACUUUGUUCAUAACUUAAAUGUUUUGAUGCAUCAUAUAUAAACCUAUGAACCUUGAAGGGGAUUUGCAUGACUAUAGCUUUGAUAUUUUGUGAUAAUUGCUUCCGUUGCUUUCGUAUAUAAAUUUUGAAUUGUAUAUGCAUGCUAGUCAUUAGAAAUCCCACAUGAAUCUCAUAGAUUUCCCUUCAUAUAUAUGGUUGGAAUACUCGAUUCAUCAAAUCCAUGAAAGUUGUUUGUGCAUUCGUUAAUCUGAAUGGCAUCACUAGAAACUUAUAAUGACCAUAACGAGUCAUGAAAGCAGUCUUAGGGACAUCCUCACUGCUGAUCUUCAAUUGGUAAUAACUAGACCUUAAAUCGAUCUUAGAAAAUACACAGGCACCUCGAAGCUGAUCAAACAAAUCGUCUAUACGCAACAACAGAUAACAGUUUUUAAUCGUUACUCGAUUCAAUUGCCUAUAAUCAAUACAUAGCCUUAAAGUCCCGUUUUUCUUCCUUACAAACAAAACUAGAGUUCCAUAGGGUGAAGUACUAGGUUGAAUAAAACCUUUAUCAACUAAUUCUUGCAACUAGACUUUCAAUUCCCUCAAUUCAGCAUGAGCCAUUCUAUACGGAGUCAAAGAUAUAGGAUCCGUACCUAGAAGCAAAUCAAUAGUGAACUCCACAUCUCGGUCUGGCGGUAAUCCAGGUAAAUCAUCAGGGAAUACAUUAGGAAAAUGUCUGACUACUCGAACAUUCUCCACACUACUUGAAGCAACAUCAUUCAGCACUACAUGAGCUAAAUAUCAUUGACAACCUUUUGAUAACAACCUUUUUGCUCUUACAGCCGAAAUAACACCAUGCCUCACCCCACUACGAUCACCCACAAAAGUAAUUUCACGUAAUCCAGGACAAUGGAAAGUAACUAUUUUCCCAUAGCAAUCUAUGUUGACACGAUUAUAAUGCAACCAAUAUGUGCCUAAAAUCACAUCAAAAUCAACAAAAUCUAACGGGAUAAGAUUAGCUGGCAUGACUACCUCCUCCACCAUCACUGGCCAUCCUGGGUAUACAUAAUCAACAUAACAUCUCUCCCCUCUAGGCAUAGCAAACUCUAAAUCAUACCCUAGAGGCAUAGGAUGAGGUUGCGUCACUUGAGCAAAUAUAUGAGAAAUAACAGAAUGCGUAGCACCAUAAUCAAUUAAAACUCUAGCAAAGUGACCAAGAAUGUUUAAUGUACCCAUGAUCAAAGCUGGAUGAUUCUGAGCAUCUUGCAGAGAGAUAUUAUUAAUAAGUCCCUGGGCUUGCUGCCGUCCCCCACGACUGCUAAUAGCUUGAUUACCUCGCCCCUGCACACCUCGUCCCUGACUUGGCUGACCAGAUUGUCUUGAAGAUUCUGCACUACUGAACCAAUCUCUACUUGCUGGGGUUGUCCUCUCUGAUACCAUUGAGAUCCACAGCUGGAACGGAAGGAUACGAUGUAUAACCUCCAGGAUACUGAGAAUACCCAUUCUGGUAAUAGGGAUCCUACGAAUACUGAUAUUGCCUGAAGCAUAAGGAACGACAUCGCCUUGAUAAUGGUAAGCACCACCUUGACCCAUCUGACCAUAACUAGCAGACCCCGGAACUUGUUGGAUUGGCGCUGGUGGUGGCAUAGGAGGCUGCUGAGGCCUCUGCUGACUCUAGGGACAAUUUAUAGCUUUAUGUUCCAUCUGCCCACAAGUAAAACAUCCACUGCUACCUCUCCUACACUCCCCAAAAUGCCUAUUAUUACAUCUGUACUCUUCCAGCAUCUUCCUGCCUCUGAAAUCUAUGACCUCUUGAAAAUCUACCACCUUUCUUCUGACCAGUGGCACUAAAACCUCCGCUAGAAGAACUGAAACUAGUUUCACUCCUCUUAAAGCUCUGAGUCUUGUGAGGUUCUUGAGAAGACUGACCUUUACCUUUAUCAUCUCGCCUUUGAUUUCCAUUCAUUUCUUUUUCUUCUUCAUUUUCGCUGGGCAUAUUUUCUAAGUCCUCAAUCCUCAACAAAAUCUCAUAAAACUCUUGGUAAGUGGCACAAGGAGUCGAGGUCACUAUAGAACGUCAUUUCUUCAUUGUACCCAAUAUGAAGCGACAGAGCAUCUCAACCGGCUUAGCAGCAAGCUUCGGAUGAUAAUGAGACAAGUCAGUGAAUCUCCUAUAAUACUCAUUUGUCGUCAUCUUCCCCUGCUUUAAUUGAGUAAACUCUUGUUUUUUGCGAUCAAUAUACUCAGGGGGAAUAUACCUUUUCUGAAAUAACUGUUUAAAUACUUCUGAGUCCGCAAUUUCCUUUGGGGUCAACUGAUAAGACUCAUGUCUCCACCAGGAUGCAAGUUUGGGACCUAAAAACCAGGUAGUCGUCUCGGCUUACCUAUCAGGAGGAAGAUUCCCCUAACUCUGCAUUACAUGGAAAAUCUUCUCAAGAUGAUUGAUCCAAAUCUUCGCUCUUUCAUGUCCUUUAUUCCCCAUAAAAUGAUUCAGCUUCAGAUUAUACACAGUCUCAAGAAGUGUCAUUUGGGACGGACGAAGCGAAGACUAAAUGGCAUUAGCUAUAGCUUCCCCUAACUGAGUUAUAUCGGGGAAACUAGGCUCAAUAGAAGGACAUGGAUCUCUACGAGGCGGCAUAGUUCUGACAGAAGACAUCAAAAUAAUUAGAAAUUCUCAAGAUAUAUAGGACUGCUAACCUAAAGCUCUGAUACCAAACUGGCACACCCUGACCUAGAUCAAGGCAUGCUAGCCGUCACGUGGGAGUGACGUAACCAUGUUCACAAUGCGGAAGAAAUAAAGAUAUAAGGGAAUUUCGAAGGAAUAAAAACCAAACUACUAGCAUAACUAGCUAAGAUAAAGUGCUAGUGCGAGAUUAAAGGUGAAAUACAUAACUAGAGCAUAAAUAACCUAGAUGCAAUCAAGCAGGACAAAUACUAAAUAAACCACACCCAAGGGUGAUCCUACAUUUACGAUGUUCUGUCAGAAUCACCGAUGAAAUCCCCGCUAGCCACCAAAUUACUUUUAGCUAAAACCUGGAGAGGCGCAAAACAGAAAGUAUGAGUGGGAAAAAACAAAGCUUUUCAAAAUCAUUUCAAUUCAUAAAAGUUCUCAAAAGUUUUAACAAUAUGGAUACAUUCUUUUGCCAUUUAUUAUUUCUUAUUUUUACAUAGUUUUUAUCCAUUUAUUCAAUCAAAAUGUUUGAAUUCUUUUAUUGUAACCAUUUCUAAUAGUAUUAUAAUUGUAAGACCCCACAUUGCCCAGGAGCGAGGAUCCUGUAAGCUUUAUAUGUAUAUUCCCAUCUCUACCUAGCACGAGGCAUUUUGGGAGCUCACUGGCUUCGGUUUCUAUCGGAACACCAAAGUUAAGUGAGUUCGGUCAAGAGCAUUCCUAGGAUGGGUGACCCACUGGGAAGUUCUCGUGUGAGUUCCCAAAAACAAAACCGUGAAUGUGUGGUCGGGGCCCAAAGAGGACAAUAUCGUGCUACGGUAGAGUCGAGCUCGGGAUGUGGUGGGGCCCCGGGCUGGGAUGUGACAAUUUGGUAUCAGAGCCAAUCCCCGGUCUGAAGUGUGUCGAUGAGGACGUUGGGCCCCUAAGGGGGUGGAUUAUAAGAUCCCACAUCGCCCAAGAGUGAGGAUCCUGUAAGCUUUAUAUGUAUAUUCCGAUCUCUACCUAGCACGAGGCCUUUUGGGAGCUCAUCGGAACUCCGAAGUUAAGUGAGUUCGGGCGAGAGCAUUCCCAGGAUGAGUGACCCACUGGGAAGUUUUCAUGUGAGUUCCCAGAAACAAAACUAUGAAGGCGUGGUUGGGGCCCAAAGCGGACAAUAUCAUGCUACGGUAGAGUCGAGCUCGGGAUGUGGUAGGGGCCUGGGCCAGGAUGUGACAAAACUGACCUAGAUCGAGGCAUGCUAGCCGUCACGUGGGGGUGAUGUAACCAUGUGCACAAUGUGGAAGCAAUAAAGAUAUAAGGGAAUUUCGAAGGAAUAAAAACCAAACUACUAGCAGAACUAGCUAAGAUAAAGAAGUGCUAGUGCGAGAUUAAGGGUGAAAUACACAACCAGAGCAUAAAUAACCUAGAUAAAGUCAAGCAGGACAAAUACUAAAUAAACCACACCUAAGGUUGAUCCUACAUUUAUGAUGUUUUGUUAGAAUCAUCGUUGAAAUCCCCACGAGCCACCAAAGCACUUUCACCUAAAACCUAGAGGGGCGCAAAACAGAAAGCUAAGUGGGCCAAAACAAAGUUUUUCAAAAUAAUUUCAAUUCUCAAAAGUUCUAACCCCUCACCGUAAAACUUGUAUAGUUUCUUAGAAAAUAAUAAUAAUAAUAAUAAACUGAAUCAGAAAUCAUACUCAAGAUGAAAAUCCAUAGAAGUAUACCAUGCCAAAGUAUCUCAAUGCAAUGCUAUAAGUAAUCCAGGCAAAAUAUAUCAAUGUCAAAUAUCGCAUAAGCCAAAUCCCUCUAACUUAAUCUGCACGGCUGAGUAUAUAACGCAUAACCAAUUUCAAUCACAUCAAAUCAAAUCCUACACACGAGUCGAAACCACCUAAACUUGUCUGUACGACAAGACGAGGUGUAAAGUAAAUAUGCUCUAGUGCUACGAUUACGUGAAGGCUGUUCGAAUAAUCGCGGGUCACCUACGAGUCGUAACCACCUAAAGUGGUAUGUACGACAAGCUUGUGCACCUAACUUGGAUCCAAGGUGAGCAUAUGGUGUGGGAGGUGAACAUCAUGUGAAGGACUGUGCCCUAACUCAAGGCGGGAGCACUAACACCGGGGUGCAGGUUUAUGAGCUUUCAAUACAUCACAUCAUGUCUCACAUAACUGAAGCAAUCUCAUACGUGGCAUUUACCUGUGCGUCCGCAACACUACUCAUAAAUAUAUGCAACUACUAAUGCAUACUAAAAUAGACAGAUACUUUGCAUGACAAUUCAAAACGUAAUUUCAUUCAAAUUCAUUUUAUGGGAAAAAUCAAGUAUAUAGGUAUAUACGGAAAACCAAAAGCCCAUUCACUGAUAUGUCGAAUGGUUGUAGCCCCCGAGCCUCGAUUGAUGGCGCUCGUCCUCAGGAUAGGUCUCACCUAUAUACAAAAUAAUUGAAUAAACAUUAUUUAAAGCACAUACACAAAACUAGGAAAUAACUUCUCAUACAUUGUUCAAAUGGGGUACUUGAAUAUACGACCAUGAUCUACUCAACCUCAGGAACAUCCUAAAAUAUUUAGAAAAAAAUUCCGACCACCCACGCGCGGCCAAACCCUAACUUAAACUUAACUGCCGUUAGGAUAUUCCGUUAAAACCUUAAAAAAAAUUAAUGACGUUACCUGACGUCAUUAGAAUAUUCCAUCAGACUUGACGGAAUAUUCCCCUUCGUCUUCCUUGGAUCGUCAGAGAUCGUCACCGGUGCCGGUUUCUAGAAAAAUAAUCAAACCUUCAUAUCUUUUUUGAUUUUUAACCAAAAUUCACGAAAUCUAUACCAAAUUAAAGCUUAGGAUGAGAGGAACAAAACCUUACCACUUUGGGGACAUAAGACCAACGGAAUCUCGCUGGAGAAACUUCAAUAAUCCGGCCAAACUUGAAACUUAUCGAACUCAACUUCCUGACGUCCAAAACACUCUGUUUUUCUUCUCCGAGCCUUGCAUAGACAUCCUAAAGCUCACUAUCAGCUUAAAAUCUCAUAAAAACUUCGAAAUCACGAGUGCAUGAACAAUAACCCAAAACUGGGUUCUCGGAUUCUCGGGAAAAUGAGGUAUUAACGCCCAAAUAAGAGUAUCAAUGGGUUCCUAGGCUCGCAAGGAACUUGAAUAUGGUCUCCAUUGGUUCGAUCUGAGGACGGAAGUGAAGGUUCAAGGUUUGUCCGUACAAUCGUACAAACAUGUAAGAAAAUGCGAGAAGGAGGAAAGAGAGUCAACGGGAUAGGGUGAGGGUAUGUGUGUGAUCCAGUUUGCAGUCAAUCAACAAAAACCUUAGGCCUUUUGUUCUAAUUAGGUCCAAAUAAUAAGGAAUAGAACCUAUUGGUCCAAAACCUUAAUUUAUACACACACACAACUUAAUAAUAAAAAGGGUAUAGUAGAAAUUUUCACACUCUCGAGGAUAAAUAAUAUAUACGUCAGAGACGGGCUGUCACAACCUACCCCCUUAAGAAAAUUUCAUCCUCGAAAUUUACACAAUAAAUGCAACCCACUAAUAAACAUAAAACAAGCGCGGAUACAUCUCUUUCAUACGCUCCUCCGUCUCCCAGGUGGCUUCCUCCACCGAGUGAUUUCUCCACAAAACCUUCACUAAGCGCACUGUUUUAUUUCUCAGAACCUUGUCUUUCCAAUCCAAAUUAGUCACUAGCUCCUCAUCAUAAGUCAAAUUUGAAUUAAUUUCCAGUGGUUGAGGAGAUAUCACAUGAGAAGGAUCUGAGACAUAAUGAGGGAUUUUAAAGUAAUUUCCACGCUCUCGAGGAUAAAUAAUAUAUACUUCAGGGACGGGCUAUCACAAUAAUGAGGGAUUUUAAAUUUAUAGGAUUAUAAAUCUCAUAAAAUAUCAAACAAUUAAUGUCAAAACUAUAAAAAUAUAAAUAUUACUAUAUAAUGAGGUGUACAAAGGUAAGAGACUUUGAUCAAGCUUUGAAUACCAUUAAGGUUUUAAUCAAAGAAUGUUAAGGAUUAGGGACUGCAUCUAAAGUAUCAUUUUAAUCAUUCAAGGCAUACUCUGUUUAGAAAAUUUAAUUCAAAAUGAUGAAUUAAAUUAUUUUAUGUGAAUGUAAAUUAUAUUAGAUGAGUUGUUACUAUUCAAGAAUAAGUUUGUGAUUGUUCAAUUAGAGAAGGGGUGCAACCUAAUCUUUGCCAUUUUAUUGAAAAAGUAUAACUAUUGACUCUUUAAGAAAAGACACAACUAUUCAGAAGAGUCACUCAUACAUCUAUUAAAGGCAUCAUCAUAUUGAGUUAUUAGUAAUUUACUUAAUUAGUGGAGUCAUACACGUUCAUGUAUCAUAUCAUACUUAGAGAUUAAGUGAGUCUUUAAAAGAGUCAAACACAAUCGUGGUUUGUUAAAGCCUAACGAUCUUGUAUGCAAGUUGAGGUUAUGGUGGUGUUCUUGUCUAAUGAAGGAGAGAAAGGUCUCUUAAAUACACAAAUUGAUCCGCUAGACUACAAAAUUGCUUUUAAAAAAGUCGUCCAAUUAUUUACAACUGUUUAUGAAAGUGGCUGUGUUAAUGUCACUGUUACUGAUUUGCACUGUUUAUGGACAUUUCUGCCAACUGUUAUUGAUUCUGACGAAAUCUUUCUUAGACCACACCGCAUGUCUUUUUUUAUUUGUCUUCCCAGACCAAAUUCUUGUGUUGUCUGAAUGUUUUCAAGGGCAAAAUUGAUAUUUUAUAAAAAGUUGUCUUCAAGAUUAAAUAAGAGUUUUGAAGAUUUUUCAUUAGUUUUGCCUAAAAGUUAACCAAUCUGCAUAUGAUAUGGGGAAAAAAACAUAACACAUGGGAUUAAACCAACCAGAUUAAAUUGUAUUAGAUUGAAUUCUCGUAAGCAAAUCCGGCAUUUAAUCCAAUAUUGUAUAUUUGAGGAUUCAGGGGUCUAAUCCCAAUCCUAGGAUUGAUAGGUCUAGCCAAAUUGGAUUAGAGUUCUACUUAAGCUUUCUAAGAUUAAGGUGUGCAAUAAAGUUAUCAUUAAGCCAUUAGACAACAUAUAUUUGUAGGAGUCGGCAUGAUCUAGUUUGGAUCGGUUUAACCCCAAAUCAUGUCCGAACUAUUUACAAUACAACAGUGUGAUGCCCCUAUCGUGAUCCUAUCGAAUAGCUUCAAAGUGUGAGUAUACUGUUUGUUUACCUUUCGGCUUUUGCUGCUAAAAGGGCUCUUUAUGGUAGUGAUUGUUUUCAGAUAUAGCGAUUAGUUCUCUAGGUGCCUUGUAUGUUGAACACAUGAAAAGUGACGUGUAGCGCAAGGUAUUGUUUCUGUAAUCUUUGUUUCUUCUCAUGUUAAAGGGUAUUUGAUUCAUAUUUAAAGAUGCUAGCUAGAGUUUUCAGGUACUUAAUCCGCAAUUUGUUCAAUUGGCUAAUAUUAAAUGUGCAUUUACUUGCCCGUAUUUUCUCACAAUUCGAGGAAAAACACUUGGCAGAUUUCUACAAUAUAUAAGAGUUAUGUCUUAACUUCGAUUAACGUGGACAGCAAAGACAAUUUAAUUAUAAAUUGAGUUUGAUACUUUGGAGUGGAGAAUCAUUGUAUUAAGAAAAACCUAACGAUUUUAAAAUACAAGAAAAAAAGGUUUCUGUACCAUGUCAACAUUCUUUAUUAACAUCGUGGUUUAUGGUUAGGUGUCCAUCUUCCGAUACAAACUUUUUAUUUAAUAAAGUUGGAAUUGUGGUAAGUGGUGAAUUGUCUUGGUAGACAGAGUUAUUUUGUAACUCAUUACAUUUUGAGUUCAAACGAAUCAAUCUUUUCCUUGUCCCUUGUUUUAGUAUUGUUUGGAUUAAAAGUUAACUUUGGGCUCAAGAAAGGAGUUGGCCCAAAAGGAGGCCCGAAAGGGGAAAUAGCCGAAGCCCAACCGAAGCCCAGAAGGCAGGAGAAGGCCUUUUCUGACUUGGUGCAGUUCAUGAAGACCACUUGCUUACCUACCCAAAGGCCAAGUGGUGUAGACUGGUCAGCUACACAGCCCAUGAAAGUACUUUAUGGUGGCAUUACAUGUAAAAUAGCUGAUGAGUCAUCACCCUCAAACCGCAUUCGGGCAAAGCUGCUGCUACCAAAGGCCAAGCCGAGUUGUCUAUAUAAGAAGAAAGAAAAUCAAGGAUUAAGGACACUCAAUCAAACAAACAAAUGCAAGCACAAACUCUGCUCAAAGCCAGAUUUGCCUUCAAAACAAAGCUGUAGUCAGCCUUCAUCCCUUUCGGGAUAAACCUCCAUCCCUCUCGGGAUAACCCUCUCUUCAACCUUUUGUAAUAGCUCUGCUACCUUGUUCAACCUUGCUGUAGUAUCGAUUAAUCUUUUGUAAUCUCUCUCUCUCUCUACCCCUCUAAGCUUUCAGACCUUUGACAAAACUACAAAGAUAGGAACCUGCAAGACGAGCAACCUUACCCGAUAAGGUUUAACCUUGCCCGACCUUCUUUGCUUUAGUUUUAUCUUUUCAAUAUGUUGUAUACUUCCAGUUAUAUGCAAGUUAUUUCUAGCAACAUGAUUAUUAAGAGGCUUUCUCAGUACUUGAAUCCGAUUUGAAUAUAUCGUCAGUGUUCAAACCAGAUCCAAGUCCUAAGCCAUCGGGCAUGUAAAUCUGAUCAGUUAAAAGUCCUUGGCCUCAAGGCAUAAAAAAGAACCUUAUGUGGACUUAACCCAUCCACGAUAGUCCUUGAUAAACGAGAAGUCCGAAGUUACUUGGGGCGCAAGUAAUCAACCUACCUUCUAGUUUUCUUUCUAUUAUGUCAUGAUUAUCAUAGAACGCUUGAGCAUGGGAUGGAUUCUAAUGGAAAGCCUCAAGGCCUACACCUAAAGCCCCACAAAGGCAUCCAUUUGGAUUCAUUCCGUUCAGCGAUCUAAAGAGUCUAAGUAUAAGAAUGAACUCUGAUGGGAAGCCUCAAGGCCUACACCUAAGGCCCCACAAAGGCACCUAUUUGGGUUCAUUCUACUUCUUGGAUUCGGGUAAUCAGAAGUAUAAUAGUUAGAAAACUCCUAUAAUCACGAGAACAAAUAUGAUGCGUUCGAGCACUGGUUUAGUUAUUUAUGGGAAGCCUCAAGGCCUACAUCUAAGGCCCUACAAAGGCACCUGUUAUAACUAACACGGUUUCUUGAAUACAUACAUAUAUACAACUAAAGCACGACAACCAUUUUACAUCUGCCAUGCUAAAGAUGGCAGUGGCACGCCUGAGCACCUAAAUGUUAACCUUGAUUGUGAGCCUCAAGGCCUACACCUAAGGCCCCACAAAGGCGCCUUUCAAAGUUAACGCUGUCCUUCUCUUUCAGCCUUGCCCGAAGAGUCUUGCCCGAAGAGUCUUGCCCGACGAGACUUGCCCGACGAGACUUGCCCGACAACGCCCGAAAACGAAGCAGAAGCCCGACAGCAGCCCUCAACCGACGCCAACCUCCAGGGGAGCUGUGUGCUCGUCGGCCAGGAAACAUCCUCGACGGAAAUUCCUGCCACGAACAUAGUUUUGGCACGCCCGGUGGGAUUUCAAGCUUCUUGAUCUCGCAUGUCCAAAAAGAAAAGACAGAAAACUUGGCAAAAACAAUUUGAAGGAAAGUCUUUACAAAUGGCAGAUCAAUCAGAAAACCCUUCCUCCCCAUCAGGACAAGUGGUCCUAGAGAGCCCAACUGCAUCCGAGAGAUCAGAAGGAAAUGGAACUAAUGAAGAGCUACAGGCUACGAUGAUCCAAGUGUUGAAGAGCAUGGAAAGAAUCUCCUUGGAAACCAAGGGAGAAGUAAGUAGGCUUUGUACACUAACGGGGAAUCUGCAGCGAAGACUGGAUUUAGAGUUCUCUACUCCAAAAGGGGCUCAGGGGAGCGGGAUGAGCCAAGUAGUUAUGAGAAAUGAACCAGUCAUUCCUUUAUUCCCACUGUUAGAAGAAGAAAAAGAUAGGGGAAAGAAAAAGGUAGCUCCUGAAGGGAGUCAACCAGUGAUAGAGCCAGUUAUGGAGAGAGAGUUUCCCAGCUUCCCAGUAUUAUCAUUCAAUAAUAGGAAGCCAAGCGAGCAAGAGAGAACGAGGUACGGGAUGCCUGCUACGAUGGGCGAAACUAGAGCAAAGGAAGGCUCCAGUACUGCAGAUAAACCCCCACCUUAUCGGCCACCCCCGUUGGUGAAUAAAGGUAGAUGAGCUAGUUGGAGGAAGCCCGAACCAAGGAGGGAAGCAAGUGCGGGCAAUGACCGGAGUCCAAAAAUCAAACCUACUCUCUUUGGUCAUAAUGAUACUCUAGCUACUCAGCAGCUGAGGGAGGAACUAGCUGAGUUGAGAAGGGCGGUGGCUCAAAAUGCUCAACCACGAGCUCGCCCAGUAUUCAGGAUUACUUACCAGAAGCCUUAUCCUGAAUACGUUGACGAGUUGAAUCCAUUCCCUCUCAACUUCAAGAUGCCCGCAUUCCCAAUAUUAACAGGUGAAGAUAGCAGCGUGUCCUCCAGAGACCACAUUUUUAAAUUCUCCAAUCAUUGCGUGGCGUAUGAGGACAACCCAAACUAUAAGUUGAGGUUGUUUGGGAAUUCAUUAGCUGGGUUAGCAUCUCAGUGGUAUUCUCUAUUGCCCCCUAACUUUAUCGCUAACUGGGGGCAAAUGGAGAUGGCCUUCCAUGAACAAUUUUACAGAAUAGAGCCAGAAUUGACUAUCAACGACCUAGUUGAAGUCAAGCAAUACGAUCAUGAAUCUACUGAGGACUUCAUGAUGAGGUUCAGAAGAACAAGGAUGAGAUGCCAAUUCACCGUCAACCAAGCGCAGCUCAUAUCGAUUGCUCAAAGGGCUUUGAAAUUGCCUUUGAGGAAAAGAUUUUAUGAUGCACAGUUUAAUGAGCUGCAAGAGUUGGUGAUUGUUGCCACGAAGUAUGAGAGGCUGUUGCAAGAAGAGCAACAAGUGAAGCACACUUCCAAAGUUCCUCCUUUCUACAAAAAUAAGGCUGCAAUUCAUUGGGUGGAAGUGGGAGAAGCCAGGCCAGAGCAUGAAGAUGGCCGUGAUGAAGAGGAUGUAGAUGUGUGUGCCGCUGAGAUGACCACACCUUUCAAACCAUUGACGGUAAAGGGGCUGGUCCAGCCUGUCAAGGAUCAGAAGGUCGUUAUGAACGAUGGUGGUUUUGUCCCCAUAAAACCACCCAAGUACCAGAGCUAUUCGUUCGAUCUAUCCAAGACACCCGAGAUCUAUGAAGAGCUGGUACGAGCAAGAGUAAUCUUGCCCGACAAUACUAAGAAAAUGCCCAAGCCAGAAGAACUCAGGGGGAAAAAGUAUUGCAAGGUGCACUAUACCUUCAACCAUUCCAUAGUUAAUUGUGUCCAGUUUAGGGACUGGAUACAAGAUCUUAUAGUGAAGGGAAAGUUGUUGCUUGAUCCGCCCCAAGCCAGUAUGAUGGUGGAUACUAACCCUUUCCCUGAGGCUCCUAUCAAUAUGAUCAACCUCAUUUUACAAGAGGCGGGGUCACCAUUUGGUAUUGCAGGGAAAGAGAAGGGCCCAGGUUGUCCCAGCACCUUUGCAUGAAUAAAAUGCCACGAAGGGGAUCAAGGGACCAAGAUCAGGUCCUGAGAUUGGUGUUAGCCAGGGCAGAAGAAGAAAGAGGAUUAAAGGGGGGGCAAAGAAUUGUCCAAAGUCAAUACAAGCAGUACCAAAGAGCAGAGCAGGAAGCAAAUUACAUGUUCAUUCCAAUAAAAGAAGAGUUACAAAUCAUCAUAUUCUAAAAAAUUUACAUCUUCACAUAGGGUGAUUAUUCGGGAAUGAUAUGUUUGCAUAAUGGUAAAUAUCCUACUGGGUUCGGCCAAAACAGUAUGGAUAUUCACAAGUUGAGACCGGGCAUGCUCUAACUCCGAAUUUGACUUCUCCACCCCCUCAAUUUGAUUUUCAAGGGUAUCUAGAAGAGUUGCUUGUUCUGCUUUGAGGGCAACCAAUUGUUCCUCCAGCUCUUGGAUUUUAGAAGUGACAACUCUAACCCUUUCUUUUGUUUGUAAGCUUUCUGCCAUCCUCCGAUCAAUUUGGGCAGAGGUGCUUGAUUCUUUCUCUAUGAAGCAUUUUGCCCGAUUAGCCUGUCUGUCCGCUCUCUGGUAUUGUUCCCUAAGGGCUCUCAAGUUCUCAAAGAAGGAUAGAAAAGAAUCAUGUUGAGACUUUGAUAGCCGACCGGUUUUGAAAGACUCAGUUAUGAUCUUCUCCAAAUCACAAAGAGCCCUAAGGCUGAAUGAAGCGGUGAAGUCCUUCCUUGCCCAUUCCUGAAGGACUCGCUUUUGCUCUGAAGAAAUGGGGGUAGCUGAAGAUUGUCUUAAUGAUUUCAACCGCGUCUCAAGCCGUCCAAGUGCUUCGAACAGUCUGGGCAACUUAGCAGGGCGUGGAGGUGUGAAAGAAGGAGAAUCCUGCACUGCAGCUUCCUCUAAUGAAGGAAUGCCCAUUGAGGGGGCAAUUUCUGCCUGCCCGACCUGCUCAAUACCAGAAGGGGGAAUCGCAGUACCUCCAGAAGAGUGAGGAUGAGAGCGCUUUGAUUUGCGGACCAAAUGGGGGGGAGAAGUUUCUCUUGAAACUUGCUGAAGAAAGCCAAAAGACCAGGUCAAGACAAUUUGAAUAUGGUUUGAGGCAAAAGAAGAUUUGGAGAGAUGAAAUAUACCUGACUCAGCCCUGGGGUUUCACCAGGAAGAGGACUAAUUCUUGGUUGGCGGGAAGGUUCCUCACCACCAGCACCACCAGCAGGAGAAUGAUGAGCUGCACCUGAACCUGUACCAGUGCCCUAGAGGUACCCAGAGAUAGCAGUAAUUGUCAGUAAAUAGAGCCUAAGAGAAAGACUAAUGAGAGAAUACUCCCAUACCUGAGUUUGGUCUUGAGGAGGAGAAGGAGGUUUAUCAACUGUCGGGCAAGCAAAUACCCGCGAGGUUGCUACCUCGGAAGCUACAGGGAUCUCAUGGACUAUGGGUUCAUCAUCUGUAACCACUAUUGAAGGGGGUGGCCCAUAUACUGGAGAAGGCUGUGGAGAACAUAAGUAAAAGUUAGUUGGGAAGCAAUGCGCAGAAGUUCAAUAUGGAAUAUGCGACUCACCAAGUUACUAUCUUCAUCCACGAAGUGCAGCAUAACUCAUGUGGAUGGAUCAAAUUAAGAAGAAGGGGUUGCAUCCAGAGCAGUAGAAGAGGUCAUGGACCUCAGAGGAGGGCCAUGACAAGGCAAGGAAGCGGAUGCUCCAGCCUAACAAUAUUCAGACAUUAGGUUCAGAAGUUAGAAAAUUAUCCAAGAAUCAAAAGAGAAGAAAAAUCACCUCUGCAGGGUCGACCUGAGAAGGAGGUAGGCUUGUCUCUCGGGCAAAUGGUGGAGAGGCUUCGGGCGAAGAAAGCUUUUCCUUUCUUGCGGCCUAAGUCAAAUAAUCAGAUUUAGAGUUAUAUGAGAGCAAGAAGAGGCCUAAAGAGAAAUAUAUAAAUCAUACCUCAAGUUCUCUGAGGGCAGUAUUUCGCAGAUCUUCGGCCUUUUUGAGUAUUGCAGCUCUUAGUGGUUCCUCCUUAGAAGCAAGGAUUGGUCUUUUAGAUGCUUGGGGUCCUGUUCACCGAUGAAGGAGACAAUCAGAUAAGUGUGAAAGGUAACAGUUUGAAAAAAAACAGAAACUCACUUGAGGAUUGUUGCUUCUUUCUGCCGGCCUCAAGAACUGAUGGAGCUGAUAACUUAGGAGGAGCGGUAGUUCUUGCUCUCUUACUUUUUCUAGUAAGAAUUGGUCGGGUGGUUUUGGGUAGAGGUACUGGAUCAGGAUCUGAAGUCUUAGUCACCGCCGCUUUCUUUCUCUUAGUUGCUUUGAUAAGAGCUUCAGGUGUUUCUUCAGCUCCUGAAUCCCCAAAGGAUUCUGAGACAUCUGCACCCUCCCCAGCUUCUCGUCUCCCAGCUUCUGCGGCAGCUCCAUGAAGAAUUGCAGCAUCAGCAGAGUCAUCUUCGGAUUCAAUGACUUCCGAUUCAACAUCCACUGGAGCUGCAAAAUUCAGCAAAAGUAAGGAUAGAAGGACUUCAGAAGGGAAGCCAAAUCGAGUUGAAAGAGAAGUACCUAUCAGAAGUGACCGAUUCUCCUCUUGAAUCAUUUCCUUCCAAUUUUCAAGUUCGCCCGAGCUAGGGUAUGACUUAAGAGAAAGUUGGUUGAAAAGGCGAUCGUGAGUCUCUUUCAAAUCUCCUCCAUACUUCUUAGUCCAUUUGUCUUCCCACCAAGAAGAGAAAAGCAAGGUGCACUCAAAAUUGAGGAUAAUGGACUUUCGGGCUGCUUGACUCAUUACGUCAAGACUUCGUCGGGCAGCUCGGAAUGUCACUUCAGAUGGAGUUGGUAACCGGAAGUGUUGGAAAUGUGCCCUAAAGCCAAUCAUAUGAUGAUACUUUACGGACAUUUCACAUGUUAAACUAAUCUAGUUUAAUAUAAAGGGCAAAGAUUAUUGUUUGAGCCGUCUCAUAUAAAUGUUAUAUGCUUAAACGAUAAAGUCCAAGGAAUAUGUGAUUGGGAGAAUGCAAUCUAAUGAAGUUAGAUUCAUGAGACCAUUCUUUCGUAGACACAUCCUAAAUGUUCCUGAUCAUAGGAUUGUCAAUUAGGCAUUGACAGUCCGUUAAGAUCGGUAUGUACUGUGUCUUCUCUCAGGGAGAGUGACUAGUCUCGAGUCAUUGGUGUGUGUGACAUCAAGUCAAGUACGUAAGUGCUCAAUAGAGAAUGAGUUCGCUGAACACGAUCAACGAAGAGUUCUCAUAUUCAUGUCACAUGAGAACUCAUGGUUGGGAUAAUGCAAAGUAGUCCUUUGACCUGAGGCAUCAUCGUUGUCUUGUGGUUAAGUCCUUGAUCUUUGAUUAUGUCAAACGUCAUUCCAUUGGAGUGUCCACGGCAUCGUUGGGGUUAAGCCACUUAGCCAUGGAGGCAAGUGAAUGCGCAACAAGGGAUCUCUAACCUUCAAACCGUUUGAGGGAGAAUACUCUAUGAUAUGAUUAGAAUAUCUGGCCAGAGUAUGAAUGAGAUUUAGGAAUGCGUUCCAAAUCACAUUCAAGGUAAUCAUAUAAGCACACGAAUCACAUUGGAUAGUAGACAUGAAUAAAUAAACUAUCAAACCAAACAAUGUGGUCAAGAGUAUUGUAUUAGAGAAAGAAGACCGUAUUGCAUUUGUAAUCCUAAACUGAAUAGGUUCUCCACCUCUUCUGAUUAG